CCUCCUUAGGUUCAAUCCUAGGCUUUUAGGUGAUCCUUCUCAUAACAGAAUAAGCCAGUUAUAGUGGAAGAGGACGCCUACGAUCACCAGCUCGAAUUAGAUUUUAGACUUACGAUUUAAAGGAACCCGGCUCUAGCCAACCGUCACUUUUAUGGGAUCGUCUUACAUUAGAUCGUCACUUCUCAAUGGCGAAUGCCAUGUCAUGUUGUCUCUUGGGCUCAACAACCACCGAUGCAGUAAGCUAACGAACUGAUUGUGCAACCUUCCCAAAACAUACAAACUGGCCACUUUUGCACAAGAUGAAAAGAUCACUUUUGGAAGGACAUGGAUGGAAGCGUCAGUCCUAUAAUGCAAAGAAACGAUGAUUACUCGUUGAGAAGGCUAAAUGCGAAUUCUAAGCCUCAUGAACCUCUUUUUGGGGAAUGUCGACAACCUUUAGCUAGAUGAGUUUAGUGACUCAUGCUUUUUGGGAAAAAAAGAAAUAAGUUUAAUCAAAUGGAAUUUUAUUGAAUAAUAAAAGGAACAAAAGCUAGGGCUUUUUGAAGAGGGAGCUUUUACAAAAAAGAUGAGUGUCAAUUUGUGUCACUCCAUCCCUUAUUUAUAGUACAUGGAAAACUUAGUUUGUUCCUAUUUAAACUCUAAAGGAUAAAUGAAAAUAAAAGCUGAAAUUAAAUCCAAAUAAUAAUCUUAACAAUAAUCCUAAUAAAAUUCAAAUUUAAAUAGUCUUAUGUUUAUAAAUCUCUUCUUUGAAUUUUUGCCCCAAGUCUUCCACACAUUAUAUUUUCGGCACCAGUUCUUUCCUAUUUCGCAUGCUGACCCAUUUUGUCUUCAAAUUCACGCUUUUUGCCCCCAAAUUUCCUUUUGCCUUCAAUUUGGUCCCUACAAGAUAAAAAGCCAUAAAAAGCACAAUUUAGUAGAAUCAUACUCAAAAUAUAUUUGCAAUUAACACAUAAAAGUAUGUCAUUUUAGAGUAUUAUCAUAUUCCCCCUACUUAGCCCAUGCUUGCCCUCAAGUAUGGUUCCUAUCCACUGUGUAAUUUAGAUUUUAUCAUAAAAGAAGUAUCACUCCAAAGUUUUAUAAAAAUUAGGCAUAAUGCAUAUGAAAAAUAAAGGGAAAAUUUAGCUUGCUUUAAGUAAAACUUGAAAAAGUAUCCAACUUAAACACACAAAAAUUAAAUCAUCUUGGAUUAUUUCAUGAAAAUUAGGUAAUUUACUAAACUUACCAAGACACCCUAUUUGUUUCCACCCUUAGUUCCCAAAUGUAAAUCUUUAUUAAUAUUAUUUACUUGUUUUUCCUUCUUUUUUCUUUUCGUUUUUCUUUUCUUAAGAAUAUAUUAAACCUUUUGAAGCGAAGAGAGAUGACAACCAAGUACCCCACACUGGUUAUUCAGCCCAACAUACUCCUAAUUCAUUAUAUUUAUAUAUGUUUUCUUUUCUUAAGAAUAUAUUGAACCUUUUGACGCGAAAAGAGAUGACAACCAAGCACCUCACCCCGGUUACUCAUCCCAACACUUUCUUAAUUUUUUUAUUUAAUUCCUAUUAGCGGAGUUUUACCUAACACGUCACACAAACUUUUGACGCGAAGUAGGAUGACAACCCAAACACCCUACCCCGGUUACUCAGUCAGUCACGUUUUAAGCUGCGCUCAUAACCACGGAGGCAUUAAAAUUUAUUAUUAUCAUGAAACAUAAUUUUAAUUUUGGAGGACUAGGAAAAAAAACAAUCAAGUGCCAAAAAUAAGUUUCGGCAGCUACCUAACAGUCAUGAAAAUAAAUUUAGCAUACAAUUGUAUUAAGUGUCCUCUUUGCAUUAAACUUAAUCGAUUUUACUUAGCUGUGCUUUUUGCAUUCGAUAAAUUUAGACCAUGUUUGAUAUUAUCUAAAGUUGUUGUUUACACUGACCAUUCAACUCUUCAUUAUCUCCUAACUAAAUCAGAUGCAAAACCUUGAAUUAUAAGAUGGAUUUGAUUAUUGCAGGAGUUCGAUUUGGAAAUCCAGGAUAAGAAGGGAGCUGAAAAUCUUGCAACAGAUUACCUUUCCAGACUAGAGAAUUCACAUAUCAAGGAGCUUAAUGAGAAUGAGAUAAAUGACUCGUUCUUUGAGGAAUAACUCUUGGUUAUAACCGAUUUUAAAGCCCUUUGGUUUGCGGAUAUCGCAAAUUACUUAGCUGCUAACAUCUUAUUAAAAAGGUGGACACAUCAUCAAAAGAAGUGAUUCUUUAUCGAUGUGAAAAAUUAUUUUUGGGAGGAUUCUUUUCUUUUUCGUGUAUGUGCAGAUCAAGUAAUUCGGAGGUGUGUUACAAAAUCAGAAGCGAGUAAAAUCUUGGAACACUGCCACUCAGGACCAAUAGGAGGACAUUACAGUGGGACUAGGAUAGCACAUAAAACACUUGAAUCAGGUUUGUAUUGGCCUACACUGUUCAAGGACGCUAAAAAGAAUGUUGCUUAUUGUGAUAGAUGCCAAAGAAUAACUUUACCUACCAACGAUGCUAGAGUGGUAGUUCGAUUUCUUAAGAAGCUCUUUUCUCGAUUUGGAACACCUAAAGCGAUUAUUAGUGAUAGGGGUACGCAUUUUUGUAACGCCAUCAUUUCAUUUUUACCCACUACCAUUUUACUUCAUUUUGCUAAUCACCAUGCCAUGUAUCGUGUUAAAAUAUAUUUAUCCAUUUUACUAUUAUGCCAAAACAUAUUAAAAAAUAUAUUGUUUUAAAAAAGUUACAUUCAUUCUACCUAACGUAUAGGAAAUAUUUAAAACCAAGACAAUGUUCAUUAUUUUUGGGAUUCGAAGAGUCGAGCUUCUAACUUACGGAGCAUGACAUCUUCUUAGAAUCGAAAUAACAAAUAUUCUAUUUAAAAUAAAAACGAGAUUUAAGUAAGGAUCAAAUGGUUAUUAUUCUUGUUUUCGAGGAUUAAAAGCAUCGUGUCCUAACUUACAGGGUAUGAUCUUUUCUUCUCGACUAACUCGAAAUAGGACCUUUUCGUAAAAUUUAGUUUAGUUAAGUGAUUUUAAUUAAAAAGAACAUCAUACAAAGAAGGGUCGUGUUUUAAUUCGAAAUAUCAAUUUUUGACAUCAAAACAUCAAGUAAUCAACUAGGUACCAAUUUUGGGCGUUAUGAGGGUGCUAAUACUUCCUCAUACGUAACUAAUUCCCGAACCAAUUUUCUAGAUUUUUUAGACCGAAAGUUACCGUUUUAGUAAAUCUAACAUUUUAUUAAAAUGAACGAAUUUUGAGGUGAUCUGAUCACACCUAAAUAAAAAAAGAUUGGUGGUGACUCCAUUUUCGUUUUUAAAAUAAAAGUCGAUUUCAAAAAAAGGUUUCGACAAUGGCAAUCCACUGAUGCAUGAUAAAACGUGACUUAAUCAAUGACCAACCGAACAUCAAAUACACAAAGCGGAACAAUGACAAUACUCUCGGACGCUCAAGGCAGUACGCACAAAUAAGAAAUGAUGGAAAACCCUUCACACUACGGCAUGUUGACUAUAUCUGAAGAAUUUCUCACUAGUUUUAUCAGGCAUUUUUAUCAUUUAAUAAAAAUAGCAAUUAAAAUAGAGCUUCACUUAAUCAUCAAAGAAAAAUAGCAUUAAAUCAAUUACUUCGCAAAAUAAAUUUAGAAUGUGAAGAGUCACAAAAUAACUUUAAAAUAUCAAGCAAUUAAAUUAACCACAAUAUAAGGCAAUCGAAAUUCAAAGGUAACAAAUCGAAUUUUCUAACUGUUUAAUGCUUGGAUGCGAGAAAUCCUUGAUGACCUUCAAUUUCAACAAUUCGCCUAACUCUUUCACUUUAAUAAAGAAAAACAUACAAAUUCAUUAAAAACAAUUAUGAGUUAUCAAUUCCAUGGCUAUUAGUGUGGUUUUAAUAUUUAAACAAAAUUUAAUUAUUCUAAGUCAAAUUGAAAAAAAAAAGGUCACGAGAUCUGGGGUGCUCCACACAGCCUGGACACACGGGCGUGUCCUAGGCCGUGUGCAUACUGGAGUUAAUGUUUUUCAAUUCUCUUUCGACACACACGUCAACAGAAAGUUACACGAUUUAAAGAUAUGGUCGUGUGAGACACACAGCCUCUCACACGGGCAUGGGAGAAGCGAAGGAUCAUCGCACACGGGCGUGUCCUAAGCCAUGUGGAUACUGGGCAUAUUUUUAUUUUCUUUUCGAAGAAGCAUACGGGCUAAGGUUACCCACACGGCCUGGUGACACGGCCGUGUGCGGCAUACGGCCUGGACACACGGGCGUGUCGCGGGCCGUGUGAUGCCUGGAGCUUAAUUGUCUUAAAUUUUAAAGUUACACAUGGCCUCAGAGUGCACACGCGGGUGAGAGGCAAAGCCGUGUGGCUCAACACGGGCCCUCUACAUGACCGUGUCCUCUCUUUAAAACUAGGGUUUUGUUUUUUUUUAAAUUUUGUUUUGUCUUCCUCUAGUCACGCCGUGUGCUUCCCCUGUCUCUUGUUUCUUUUAGGCCUUUCAUCGUCCCUUCACCGCCGACCACCUCUGCUGCCAUCCUUCGUCCCCCACCACCAUUCGGCUCCCCUUUUCGUUGUAUUUUAUUUUAUUUAAUACUAUAUUUUUUAUUAUUUCAUUUAUUAUUAUGAUGAUGAUGUUAACUAUGUUUAUGUUUAAUGGUAUUAUGCUAGUUUAUUAUUAUUAUUAUUACUGUGUUGAUUAUGUCUUUUUUUAUUUAUUGUUUUUAUUAUUCCUGUUGUUAGCUUUAGGUUGUUAGUUUAGUAUUGGUUGUUUGUCGUAUUAGGAAUAGGUUUUAGGCAUAGUAGUUAAGUGAUCCGGCUGUCGCCUUGAGAUGAAUUGCGUGCUGAUUUGUGUUAUUUAAUAAUGCCAAUUUUCCAUAACGCAUCAAUACAAAUUCAUAUUUUAAAAUUACCCAAGAAACACAAGAUGGAAAUGCAUUCAGACACAUAAGUGCCCAAGCAAACACUAAACGGUUGAUGAAAACGGUGCAAGCGUCAAUAAUGGCAAUACACCGAUGCGCGAUAAACGUGACUUAAUCAGUGACCAACCGAACAUCAAAUGCGCAAGGCACAACAAUGACAAUACUCCCAGACGCUCAAGGCAGUACGCACAAAUAAGAAAUGAUGGAAACACCCACACUACGACAUGCCGACUAUACCCGAAGAAUUUCUCACUAGUUUUAUCAGGUAUUUCUAUCAUUUAAUAAAAAUAGCAAUUUAAAUAGAGCUUCACUUAACCAUCAAAGAAAAAUAGCAUUAAAUCAAUUACUUUGCAAAAUAAAUUUAGAAUGCAAAGAAUCACAAAAUAAUUUUAAAAUAUCAAGCAAUUAAAUUGACCACAAUAUAAGGCGAUCAAAAUUCAAUGGUCACAAAUCGAAUUUUCUAAGCGUUUAAUGCUUAGAUGCGAGGAAUCCUCGAUGACCUUCACUUUCAACAGUUUGCCUAACUCUUUGGCUUCAAUAGAGAAAAACAUACGAAUUCAUUAGAAACAAUUAUGAGUUAUCAACUCCAUGGCUAUUAGUAUCGUUUUAAUCUUUAAACAAAAUUUAAUUAUUCCAAUUAGUCAAAUUAAUUUGAUUGUAUAUCUAGUUUAAACAUAUUUUCAAUUUAAUCAUUAUUCGAACACUAAUUAUCCUACACCAUGUCUACAUGUAUCAACUCAAAUAAAUUAGCUUUAAUAUAUGCAAAUUAAUCUAAACAUAACUCCGACUGAAUCAAUAUACCGAAUCAAUUUAUAGCAAUUCGAAUUAAAUAAACUUUAAUAUAAGCAAACUAAUGUAAAAUUUCCACCACAUUUACCUUAGCCUCUCACAAUUAAUUAAUCUAAAUUUAAAUAAACUCAAGUUAUCUCCAGCUACACCAAAUUCAAUUUAAUUAUUUAAUUAAUCUAAAUUUAACUCAAAACAAGUUCAAUUUAAUUAUUUCUAUUUAAUUACUAGUACUUUUAGUCCUCAUUGAUAUGAUAUUCCCUACUCACCAUAACUAUACUAUCGUUUGAUAGGUACGCUUGCCUUAGUCGUAUUUAUAGUUAGUUCAGUGAUCAUCAUCCCCUUUCACCGAAAUGGCAAGGCGCGGCUCCGCAGCUUCGUUGACCUUGCCAUGGAUACCUGCCAAUAAAAAGAAACGAGAUAGAUGACAGAGAUACCAGAAACAACCAAAAAACAAAACAAAAAAAAAUGUAAUCGGCUAUAAAAGCUGUAACAUUGAUGUGUAUAUUUUAUGAGAUUUUGAAAUAACAGAGAACAAAGAAAACAAAAGGUAGAUUAUUUUUCUUCUUUUUUUUAUUUAAAAAAACAUAAUAAAUAAAAAAUAUAAGACCCUUUUACCUGACAUUUCACCUUCUACCACCGUAGGAGACCAUUUCCGGCCCCGAAUACCUCAGAGCCCACUAGGGUUCUGCCGAGGGUUCGAUGAGCGUGCAAGGCUGAGAGUUUUUUUUUUCCGCUUCUUUCUGAUUUUUAGAAGGCCUUAGCCUUCAGAUCUGGCUCCUAGGGUGUUAAAUAGGGCUAAAAAUCUUUUUUUUUUGUAACUUCGGCCACCAGAGGCGACAGUCACCGUCACUGAUGACCGGUGGCCAUGGCAGGGAGACGACGACCCUAUGGUCGGACUCAGAGAUGCAUUUAGAGAAACAAAAAAAGGAAAGAAGAGAAUUUUUUUUAAAACACAAGAGAGAAUUGAAAAUUUUCAAAAAACUUUGGCUUAUAUAGUGCCUCGGUGCGACGUCGUUUUGGCCUGGCUUGAGAAGCCCCAAAAUGGCGUCGUUUUAAAGUACGACCCGAAUCUCCCCUAGGAUCUGCAUGUUUUUGCAUAGAGAGGAUAAUUUCUAUUUUGGUCCCUUUGCUUUUUUGCUUUUUUUUAAUUUUUUCCUAUUUCAUCUUUAUUUGUUUUAUUUUUAUCAUUUUAUUUUAUUCUUGUGCAAUUUAGUCCCUUGACCCACUGUUGACCUUCUGAGGGAAGGACACAUUUAAUAUGGGUGGGUUAAUACCCCUUUCGGUCUCUUUUCAUUUUCUCAUUUCAAUUUAGUCCUUUAUAUCCCUUUUUUAUUUAGGCAUCAAAUUUUGUUAGACUUUCAAUUUAGUCCUUAUUCUCCUUUCUUUGUUUAUUUUGCGAUUUAUGCUUUAAGUUUUGCUUAAAUUUCAAUUUAAUCCCUUAUUUGGUUAGCUUUGCCUCUUUAUUUACUACAUCAUUUAUUUAGCACUUAAAAUUUAUGCAUUUUAUUUUUAUUUAUUUAUACAUUUUAUUUUAUCAAUUUACUAUAUCAUUUAUUUAUACAUUUUAUUUUUAUUUUAUCCUUGUUAUUAUUGUUAUUAUUUUAUUUAUUCAUUUAGUACUAUGAUAGUAAUCAUGACAUGAGUAUUGCUAUUACUACUAUAAAUUGAUUUUUUUUAGUAUCAUUAUAGUUGCAUUGAUAUUAUUCACUAGCAUAACAUUUCUUUUGUUUUUAUCUUCUUAUUUAUCUUCAUCUAUUUAUUUAUUCAUUUGUUUAUUUAUCAUUUAAACGUCAUCAUUUCAUUUUUACCCACUACCAUAUUACUUCAUUUUGCUAAUCACCAUGCCAUGUAUCGUGUUAAAAUAUAUUUAUCCAUUUUCUUACUAUGCCUAAACAUAUUAAAAAAUAUAUCGUUUUAAAAAAGUUACAUUCAUUCUACCUAACGUAUAGGAAAUAUUUAAAACCAAGACAAUGUUCAUUAUUUUUGGGAUUCGAAGAGUCGUGCUUCUAACUUACGGAGUAUGGCAUCUUCUUAGAACCAAAAUAAGCGAAUAUCCUAUUUAAAAUAAAAAUGAGAUUUAAGUAAGAAUCAAAUGGUGAUUAUUCUUGUUUUCGAGGACUAAAAGCAUCGUGUCCUAACUUACGGGGCAUGAUCUUUUCUUCUCGACUAACUCGAAAUAGGACCUUUCGUAAAAUUUAAUUUUGUUCAGUGAUUUUAAUUAAAAAGAACAUCAUACAAAGAGGGGUCGUGUUUUAAUUCGAAAUAUCAAUUUUCGACAUCAAAACAUCAAGUAAUCAACUAGGUACCAAUUUUGGGCGUUAUGAGGGUGCUAAUCCUUCCUCAUACGUAACCAACUCCCGAACUUAUUUUUUGGAUUUUGUAGACUGAAGGUUGCCGUUUUAGUAAAUCUAACGUUUUAUUAAAAUGAACGAGUUUUGAGGUGAUCUGAUCACGCCUAAAUAAAAAAAGAUUGGUGGCGGCUCUAUUUUCGUUUUUAAAAUAAAAUUCUAUUUCAAAAAAAGGUUUCGACAAUGACAAUCCACCAAUGCAUGAUAAAACGUGACUUAAUCAAUGACCAACUGAACAUCAAAUACACAAAGUGCAACAAUGACAAUACUCUCGGACACUCAAGGCAGUACGCACAAAUAAGCAAUGAUGGAAAACCCUACACUCUACGGCAUGCCGAUUAUAUCUUAAGAAUUUCUCACUAGUUUUACCAGGCAUUUUUAUCAUUUAAUAAAAAUAGCAAUUUAAAUAGAGCUUCACUUAAUCAUUGAAGAAAAAUAGCACUAAAUCAAUUACUUUGCAAAAUAAAUUUAGAAUGCAAACAGUCACAAAAAUAAUUUUAAAAUAUCAAGCAAUUAAAUUAACCACAAUCUAAAGCAAUCAAAAUUCAAAGGUAACAAAUUGAAUUUUCUAAGCGUUUAAUGCUUGGAUGCGAGAAAUCCUCGAUAACCUUCACUUUCAACAAUUCGUCUAACUUUGUUAGAAUUGUGUGACCCAAAUUCUAAGAGAUUGCUUGCAAGUCAAGUUAAACAAAAAUAUAUUUUCUUUCUAGAAGAUUUAGUAUUUAUUAGUAUAAUAUAUUUAGCAUUUAUUAGUAUAGUUUAUUUGACUUACUAAUUUAGCCUAUAAAUAGGCUCCUUUACAAUCUUAGAAUUAAGAGACACCCAUUAGAUUAGAACUCAUAACACAUUCAGAGAAUUUUGUGUUUACGUUUGAGGGUUCUUUAUUUUUCGGGUUUUCGGGGUUUAGUUUUUAUCUCCAUCUUUUGUACUCUUCAUUCUUUUGCCAUUAUAGUAAAAUUAUCUUUGCCCGUGGUUUUUUAUCCUCUUUUGAGGGGUUUUUCCACGUUAAAUUUGUGUGUUCAUCUUCUCAAUUUCUUCUACUAUUUUUACUUGUUCGUUGCUUAUUCGGGACGAUCCUAACAAGUGGUAUCAGAGCUAGUUUAACUUUCAUAGAUCAGCCCGGUCAGAGAUGGCAGCAACAAGGUUUGAAAUUGAGAAGUUCGAUGGUGAGACAAAUUUCAAUAUGUGGCAAGUUCGGAUGAUGGCAAUUCUAGUUCAAAAUGGCUUGAAAAAGGUUGUUACAGGGAAAAAGCCUGAGAAUCUAAAUCAAACAGAAUGGGAAGAGCUUGAUGAAAAGGCCUUGUCUGCAAUCUAGUUGUGCCUCGCGAAUACAGUAUUGCAGGAGGUAUUGAUGGAGAAGACCUCAUUCGCCUUGUGGAAAAGGUUAGAAACUCUUUAUGCGACUAAGUCUCUGGCUAACCGUUUAGUGUUGAAACAACGUCUAUUUACGUUUCGCAUGAACGAAGGUGAGCUUCUUAAAGAUCACAUCAGUCAAUUCAUUACUCUUUUAAAUGAUUUAAAGAACGUUGAGGUUCAUAUUGACGAUGAAGAUCAAGCUAUGCUAUUAUUGUGCUCUUUACCCUCUUCAUACAAGUCUUUCAGGGAGACCCUGAUUUAUGGCAGAGACAAACUCUCGUUCAAAGAUGUGAAGAGUCAUUUGUUGAGUAGAGACAAACUCGAUAAUGAGUUUGAUUUGAAUAGCAAAGCAGAUAGACAAGCUUCCGUUUUGGUAGCAUCAAAGAAACGAGACAAAAGGUGUCGCUAUUGCAAAAAGUUAGGUCACGUCAAAGCAGAUUGUUAUAAACUGCGAAAUAAAAGAGCUGCUGAGAGUAACGAGGAAGAUGUAGCUGGUGCUAAUUUGGUCGAUGAAGGCGGUGAUGAUUUCUUGUUAGUGUCAACGAGCGAUAACUCCAAGCUUACGUCUGAGUGGAUCCUAGAUUCAGGAUGUUCUUUCCACAUGUGUCCCAAUAGAGAAUGGUUCUCCACAUACAGUUCAGUUGAAGGUGGAGUUGUGCACAUGGGAAACGAUUCAUCUAGUAAAAUAAUCAGUAUUGGUACUGUUAAAAUUAGGAUACACAAUGGGACGAUUAGGACACUCUCAGAUGUCAGGUAUGUACCUGAUUUACGAAAGAAUCUCAUCUCCUUGAAUAUUUUAGACUUGAAAGGAUGCAGAAUCAACAUCGAGUCGAGCAACAUUAAAGUAUCUCGUGGAGCUCUCGUUUUGUUAAAAGGUAAAAGAACCGGCAGUCUUUAUAUUCUGGAAGGUUCUACAGUGACCGAUGAAAUCGGACGUCCCUCGUCCAUUACGGAGUCAAAGUCAACUCAUUUGAAGCGGAGGCAACUUGGUCAUAGGAGGGAAAAAGGUAUGACCGUUUCGUUGAAGAGAGGUUCUCUUUUGGAUGCAGGUUUUGAAAAGUUAGGGCACUGUAUUCGUGAAAAUCAGACCCGGGUUAGUUUUGAUUUGGCAGUGCACAAGUCGAAGGCUAGAAGUCUUCCAGCUUCUAAGCAUAGAUUCGACUCAGUUAAUUCCCUGCAUAGUUCAAGAUAGGCCCAUGGCGGGUUUUGGCAAAGAUGGCAUUGAAAGAAUUCGUGUCAAGGUGGAGAUUGUUAGAAUUGUGUGACCCAAAUUCUAAGAGAUUGCUUGCAAGUCAAGUUAAACAAAAAUAUAUUUUCUUUCUAGAAGAUUUAGUAUUUAUUAGUAUAAUAUAUUUAGCAUUUAUUAGUAUAGUUUAUUUGACUUACUAAUUUAGCCUAUAAAUAGGCUCCUUUACAAUCUUAGAAUUAAGAGACACCCAUUAGAUUAGAACUCAUAACACAUUCAGAGAAUUUUGUGUUUACGUUUGAGGGUUCUUUGUUUUUCGGGUUUUCGGGGUUUAGUUUUUAUCUCCAUCUUUUGUACUCUUCAUUCUUUUGCCAUUAUAGUAAAAUUAUCUUUGCACGUGGUUUUUUAUCCUCUUUUGAGGGGUUUUUCCACGUUAAAUUUGUGUGUUCAUCUUCUCAAUUUCUUCUACUAUUUUUACUUGUUCGUUGCUUAUUCGGGACGAUACUAACAAACUUUUUCGCUUCAAUAUAGAAAAGCAUAAGAAUUCAUUAAAAACAAUUAUGAGUUAUCAAUUCCAUGGCUAUUAGUGAGGUUUUAAUAUUUAAACAAAAUUUAAUUAUUCUAAGUCAAAUUGAAAAAAACGAAAGGGCCAUACGGUCUGGGGUGCUUCACACGGCCUGGACACACGGACGCGUUCUAGGCCGUGUGUAUACUGGAGCUAAUGUUUUUCAAUGCUCUUUCGACACACACAACAAUAGAAAGUUACAUGAUUUAGAGACAUGGUCGUGUAAGAUACACAACCUCUCACACGAGCAUGGGAGAAGUGAAGGAUCAUCGCACACGGGUGUGUCCUAAGCCGUGUGGAUACUGAGCAUAUUUUUAUUUUCUUUUCGAAGAAGCACACAGGCUAAGGUGACCCACAGGGCCGUGUGUGGCACACGUCCUGGACACACGGGCGUGUCACGGGCCGUGUGAUACCUGAAGCUUAAUUGUCUUAAAUUUUGAAGUUACACAUGGGACUUCUAUUUUAUUUUAUUUGGGUUUUCCAAUUUUAUUAUAAGUUGAAAAACAAUCUGAGAAUCCUUGUAGGUAUAGGAAAACUUAAUUUUCAAACUCCAAAAGAAAUAGGAAUUCUCAUGUUGAUGAGAAUUGAUAUGAUCUAAGUCGGUUUAUUUCACUUUUUAUAGAGCUUCUGCUUCUUCUUCUUCUCUGCUCUUUUCACUGCAUUGUACGUACUCGAGAAAAGAAGAAACGAUGGGUUUAAAGGAAAAUGAUGAAGAUCGGAGUCCCUUCCAGUGCUUGCUAGAUGCGGCUGCCUUGGUAGAGAGGCUGGACGAAGAAACGAUGAGACUGAAACUGAAACAAGGGUUGAGCAAAAUUGACGACAACAACUCGUCUGGCGUUGAUAACCAACCCACAAACUCUACAACUGUGAGAAUAUUUGGAACUAAUAUUAUAAUUGCUGCCAUUGACGAAGACGUGAUUACGAACCAGCCUCCAGCUGGUUCUUCAAAGAAACGAAAAGAAAUGGUUGAGUCAAGUAGAGCAAAGAAGCCGAUGCCGAAACAGCAAAGGAAAAAGCACAAGCACAAGGCUACUUUUGGGGCUGAACCCUGUUUGCCCCAAAGGUUGAAAGAGAUGAUCAAAUGCAUGGAUGGAAGCGAGGAGAAACUAAUUAUACAGAAGGCACUCUACAAAACUGAUUUGAGCAAGCACCACGGACGUCUCUCCAUACCCAUGAAUCAAGUCGAGGUCGAGUUUCUUACAGAUGAAGAGCUGAAACAAAGCAGCAAGGAGGGGAUAGAAGCAUUGGUGAUUGAGCCAUGUUUGAAAACCAGGGACAUGAGUUUGAGAAUAUGGGACAUGCCAAAGCCAACAGGCCGUUUCAGCUCCCUCUACGUCUUAGUAACUGGGUGGAAAUCAGUGGUAGAAGGUAAUGACUUGAAGGAAGGUGAUGUGAUUCAAGUGUGGUCAUUUCGGGUCAAUUCCAAACUAUGUUUUGCACUCGUAAUUGUUCCUUGAACAAGGAAGACGAAGCUAGAUUUCAGAUUGGACUGGAGUUGUUCCAAAAUCAAGGCGGUUGUAAUUUUAUUUGCCAUUAUUUCUUAAUUUUUAGAAUUUCUUGUAUUGGAAACAUCUAUCAAUCCAUGCAACUCUUCUCUUUUUUAUCUUUAUUUUUUCAAUCUAAUUUACCUAGAAAUAUACUGCUGCAGUAUAAAACAAAAUAUUUCUUUAACAAUAUUUGGCAUGUAAAAUGUGUUGAUUUAGGGAUGUAUAGGCAUAUGUCUCGUUAUUUUGUACAUGAUACAAAUAGGAAAUAUAUAUUCAUAUGUAAUUCAGUGGCACAACACAAAGAUAAUUCAAUGUCCCUUUGUACGCCGUCCCAAUCGUUGAAGAAUCAAUUAGGUUGCUGAAAUCUUGGCAGGCUGUUGAUCUCUUCAGCUCUGGUACACCUGAAAUGCCAUUUUGCUGCAGAUAUCAAUAGAUAACUACUAAUAUUUUUAAGUUUUAUGAAAUUAAGGAACAGGAACUCCUACUCUUUAUUUGGAACUUUUAGGAUAUUUACACUUGAAAGUUCAAAUCUGCAAACUAAACAUAAUGUAUCUGAACAAGAGAUUGAAUAUCGAAAGAUGAACCAUUUUUUUGUGGAUCAUUUCUCAUGCAUACACAUCCAAACAUCCGUAGUCAGGAAGGGCACAUAUAUAACAGAUAGACAAAUGACUAUCAUUGGAUUUUCUUGCAAUCAAGAUAUCAGGAAGCACUACAAAGCUCAAUGAUACUUGAGGCCAGUGGUCAUAGCCGAUACAGUGCCAUUGCUGCUUCAGCAUCUUCAGCUUUUUUUUCUUUUUCUUUUUCUUUUUUUUUUUGUCUUUUAGAGGUUAACGAUUGUUGGCUUUUAAGAUCCCAUGGAUUGGAUCUAUGGCUUGGGAGAUGAUCCUCAGAUUCAUAAUACAAGAGCUUGCUUUAUCCAGGCUAACAACGCUGUGCAAUGGUGUCUUUUGUUUGGUCAAAUUAUGUAGAUGGCCUUGUACUAUUGCAUUUUCUGUAGUAUAAUAUGAUGUUUUGAGGGGAAAAUUAGGCGAAUAUGCCAAUUUUCGAAAAAAAAAAAAAAGGAGUUGGGCCAAUUUUUUAGAAAAUUUGGGAUACACGCCGAUUUCACAGAGCGACGUUGCCACGUAACCAAACCAGAACUCUAGAUCGUCUUUUGCCUCAUUGUCGUUGGUGGUUUGCGAAGCCAUGACUUGAGCAAGUCGUUGACCUAUGGCUUUUGCGGCAGCGUUUUUAAGAAACCAUUGGUUUCACUAUGUUAAACACGCGGUUGAGGAUGUGUUGAAGAUGAUGAUCUCGUUUCACCAAAUCUUGAACACAUUGGUGAUCAAGUUGUAUUUCAUUUUAGUUCAACACUAAUUAUUCUACACCAUCUCUACUUGUAUCGACUCAAAUAAAUUAGCUUUAAUAUAUGCAAAUUAACCUAAACAUAAUUCAAAUUAAAUUAAUUUAUUAAAUCAAUUUGCAGUGAUUCGAAUUAAAUAAACUUUAAUAUAAGUAAAUUAAUGUAAAAAUUCCACCACAUUUAUCUUAGCCUCUCACAAUUAAUUAAUCUAAAUUUAACUCAAACCAAGUUAUCUUCAACUACACUAAAUUCAAUUUAAUUAUUUCUAUUUAGCCCAAUUAUUAUCGAUAGUAGACCUGUCCAUGGGCCAGGCGGCCCGGCCCGGCCCGAAGGCCCGCCCGAAAUAUGGGAGGGUUUGGAUAAAAAUAUAGGCUCGAAAUAUGAGCUUGGGCAAAAUUUUAGGCCCGUUUAGAAAACGGGCCGGGCCUCGGGCACAAUUUUUUUGGCCCGGCCCGGCCCGAAAAUAUAUUAAAUAAUAUAUAUUUUUAUUUUUAAAAUAUAAUAAUUUUUUAUUUUAAUACUUUACUUUCAUUAUAAAAGAAAUAAAGUGUUAUAAAAGAAAUAUGAUAGUUUAGUGUUUCUAUUUUCAAUAAAAGAGGGAUAAGAAAACAAUAAAUCUAACUUCAUUAGCUCUUGAUUCUUAUUCAGUGAUAUAUACAUUGUUGGUAUAUACAAUGACAUUCUUUAAAGCAUGUAGGUGCAUUGAAGUCGUGUAAUUUCCAUUUCAUUUCACCACUUAAAAUAAAGUGUUAUUUCUUGUCUCAUGACUUAUGUCUCACAUACUUCCAUUACUUGCAGUGUAGGGUUUGAUGAAAAUUGAAAAUCUAAUUGAAUUCAUGUAUGCCCAUGAUCAUAAACUGACAAUUCUUCUUAACUUGUGCACAUGGUAGGUGCAUUUUAAAAUUUUAAGGUGAUAUGAUAUGUUGGAAGAAUACCUUUACCAGUAUAAAUUAUUUGUAAAAUUUAAAAUUUAGCAUAUAUAUCUUAAAAGUGUGAUGUAGACAUCUUGGGCCAUUAGUUUCAAGGAUCAAUUAUCAACCUUGGAUAGAAAUAUCAAAAUAGAAAUAGAAAUGGAAUAAAUAAACCCAUGUAUUGUAUAUGUUUAAUAAUACAUAUUAAAUGUCAAUUCAUUAUAAAAGAAAUCUGUUUAACAGAUUUCCAUUAGUUAUUAUUUUAACAGAAAUCUGUUACAAAAUAAAAAUAAUAAAACAUUAAGAUCAAAUGUUAGAUUUACUAGUUAGAUUUUGUUAUAAUAAUUAAUACAAUUAAUACAAUUAACAAUUAAUACAAUUAAUAAUUUGAUAAUUUUAUUAAUCAAAUGUUAGAUUUUAUUACAAUAAUUAAUACAAUUAACAAUUAAUAAUUUGAUAAUUUUACUAACAAGUAACAACUAAUCUUAAUAACAAUUAGUUUUAAUUUUAUUAAAAAAAAUAAUUUUAAUUUUAAUUUUAAUUAAAAACUGGCCGGGCCGGGCCGGACUCGGGCCUCUUAUUUUUUCCUCGGGCCGGGCCUGGGCAAAAUCUCAAGCCCAUAUUUCGGGCCGGGCCGGGCCCGGGCCUAGUAAACGGGCUGAAAUUUUUUAUGGGUCCAGCCCGAACCCGGCCCGGCCCGGCCCAUGGACACCUCUAAUCGAUAGGCUUAUACCAAUUUAUCUAAAUUGUCAAAUUAAAAGUUAGACUAAUAUAAAAUUAAGCUACAUGAAUUCUAGUUACUCUUAACUUAAAAACAAUCCAAGUUAAUCUAGUCAAUUAAUUCUAAACAAAUUUUAGCUAUUUAAUUAAUUUUAACAAUCUUCUGAUACAUCAAAUUUUAAUCAAAUUAACUAAUCAAACAGAGCUUCAUAACUCCACCACUAACCAGUUAAUCCGAAACAAGAAUUAACCUUAAAUCUAGUAGCGAGUCACAAUAACAUUAAAAAUUGCAGCAACCAAACCGAUUUUAAUGGCCCCUUACUUGAAACGACUAACAACAACAAUAUAUAGGAGUAAUGAUCGGCAAUUGGCAGCAUCUUAGAGCAGCAAUUUUGGAGAUAAUUAACCGCAAUAACUGAGGUGGUGAAGGCAGCAAAAUUAAUGAAAUACCAAGCAAAAAUGGCAGCAACUUGAAGCACGACACAGAAGCAAAAUGGAGGCGAUAAGCAGCAUGUCGACUCAGUAAAAUUGGGGCACCAAACGGAAACAAAGAUCAAGCGAAAGAGCAUUGAAGGAAAGCAGCUUACUGGAUUGCAUAAAGAGCUGCUAUUUUGGUGAAAUUACAGCAGAGGUUUCGAUUUUUGCAGUAGCAAAUUUCCUAAUUCGUACAAUUCCACAAAGUUAUUUUUAAUAGCAAAUUGCAACUUUUUUUCAAUUUCAAUAAACAAAAUCUUUAAUUCAUUUUAAACAUUUCGAGUAUAACAUAACUAGCUUUAGAAACAAUCUAAAUAUUUCAUAUAACAUUUCACAGUAAACAUCAUUAACAAUUAAUAAAUUUCCUAGAACACAUCAAUAAAAAUUCAUAUGUUAAAAUUAUCCGAGUAACACAAGAUGGAUAUACAUUCAGACACACAAGUGCCCAAGCAAACACUAAAUGGUCGAAGCAAAUGGUGCUAGCGUCAAUAAUGACAAUCCACCGAUGCGUGAUAAAACAUGACUUAAUCAAUGACCAACCAAACAUCAAAUACGCAAAGCGCAACAAUGACAAUACUCUCGGACGCUCAAGGCAGUAUGCACAAAUAAGCAAUGAUGGAAAACCCUUCACUCUACGGCAUGCCGACUAUAUCUCAAGAAUUUCUCACUAGUUUUAUUAGACAUUUUUAUCAUUUAAUAAAAAUAGCAAUUUAAUUAGAGCUUCACUUAAUCAUCGAAGAAAAAUAGCAUUAAAUCAAUUACUUUGCAAAAUAAAUUUAGAAUGCAAAGAGUCACAAAAUAAUUUUAGAACUGAAGUUGGUAACGGAGGGUCGGCUGGUAACGAUAAACGCUGAAGAGAAUAUCAUUGCAUCCGUAACUAGUGACGCACCAUACAUAGGAGCGGAUGACGAGGCAAUAGAAUGUUCUUUUCGAUCAUCGGAAUUUGUUAAUGCAACUUUCAUUGUUGAAGAAAAUAAGAUCCCAGUGCCAAAAAUAUCCAAAACCACGAGGAUGGGUCUACAGUUGACGGUUGAGAAAUGAGCCUUGCCUGGAUGAGGACUCGAAAAAUAUCUUCAAGGAAUAGUCGAUGCACCAACGCUGAUGGACAAACAAGACAGCUUUGGCUUAGGGUACAAGCCAGAUGCGAGACUGAAGAAGAAGGAAAUGGAAAAGAAGCAAGAAAGAAUAAGAACACGACUAAGUGCAGGAGAGGUCAAAUGGGAACUGAUGAUCUUCCCCAUAUAUCUAAAACAUUCGUGUCAGGAGAAAUCAUUUAUUCUGAACAAAAAAUGGUAGAAAAAGAGAGCCCGUUAACCAAAACUGCGGAAGGAAUGUUGGGAAACUUGAGCAUCAAUGUCAUAUCCGAAGAAAGAAUUGGGGAAGAAAGCCUAUCAGACAUUUUCCUUAUAUCCCUGGAAGUGUUCUGAACAAUUGGACUACAAAAGAGAUCCCUGUAAUUUUUAGAACUACUUCAGAGUAAUGUUCAAAACACACUUAUUUCUCUAAGCCUGGGAGCAAUAAGAAUCCUUUUGUGAAAAAUGCAUAUGUCCACUAUUUUUAUUUCAAUAAAAUAAUAUUCUUCUUUUUUUUUCAUUUCAUUCAUACUCAUACCACACAGAUAACUAUUCUUAAAUUUAUUUGCUCAUUGGGUCUUCUUUUGUUCCUAUAACAGGUCUCCGGAUAUCAAUGAUACGAGUGACAUUACUGCUGACUCAGAGUCUCCUUUUGAGCAGGAUAUGUGUCCAGAGGAACCUCAGGACUUUGAAGAUGAUCAAAAUUGUAACUUAUCUCCUGAUUUGUUAAGGAUGAUAGAAUAAGAUGAGAAACAUAUCCUACAUCACAAAAAGUCAAUGGAAAUUGUGAGCUUAGGAGACAAACAAUAAAAGAAAAAGGUGAAGAUCGGAGCUUGCAUCACUGUAGAGAUAAAGCGAGACCUCAUUGAGUUACUCCAAGAAUUCAAAGAUGUCUUUGCAUGGUCGUAUCAAGACAUGCCUGGUCUAAGUACUAAUAUCAUGGUACAUCGGCUUCCCAUAAAGGAAGAAUGCAAGCCGGUUCAACAGAAACUUUGAAAGAUGAUACUUGACGUCCUGUUGAAAAUAAAAGAAGAGGUCAAGAAACAAUUCGACGUUGGUUUCCUACAAGUGGUUAAAUACCUGGAGUGGGUAGCCAAUAUAGUCCCCGUCCCUAAGAAAGACGGGAAAGUACGAAUGUGUGUAGACUACAGGGGUUUAAACAAAGCCAGCCCAAAGGACAAUUUCUCUUUGCCUCACAUUGAUUCCUUAGUGGACAUCACGGUAGGUUAUUCACUAUUCUCCUUAAUGGAUGGCUUCUCUGGAUACAGCCAGAUAAAUAUACAUCUUGAUGACAUGGAAAAGACCAUAUUCGUAAUAAUGUGGGGAACAUUUUGCUAUAAAGUGAUGCCAUUCGGACUAAAAGAUACGAUAGCAACAUAUUAAAGAGUCAUGGUAACUUUGUUUCAUGAUAUGAUGCACAAAGAAAUCGAGGUUUUUGUUGAUGAUAUGAUUGCAAAGUCCCAAACAUAAAAGGAGCAUGUGAAAGUCUUGAGGAGAUUGUUUUUAAGGUUGAGAAAAUUCCAGCUAAAGUUGAAUCCAGCAAAAUGUACUUCCGAGGCGACGUCAGGAAAAUUACUAGGAUUUGUAGUCAGCAAGAAAGAGAUCGAGAUCGAACUGGAUAAAGUCAAGGCUAUACAGGAGUUGCCUCUGUCGCGCACUCAAAAGGAGGUCUAAGGUUUCUUAGGCAGAUUAAAUUAUAUCACCCGAUUCAUUUCACAACUAACCGAAAAAAUGUGACCCUAUAUUCCACUUCCUUAAGAAACAUAAUCCAAGUGUAUGGGAUGAGGAAUGCCAGAAGACCUUUGACAAGGUCAAACAUUACUUGUCCAAUGCCCCAGUGCUGAUGCCACCUAGCUCAAGUAAGCCACUGGUACUGUACUUGGCAGUAUUUGGGAAUUCUAUGGGAUGUGUGCUUGGCCAACAUGAUGAGUCAGGAAGGAAAGAAAUAGUGAUAUAUUACCUUAGUAGGAAAUUUACUGAAUGUGAGAUAAGAUACUUGCCAAUUGAGAAGUUGUGUUGCGCUUUAAUCUGGACGACCUAGAGACUGAGACAAUACAUGUUGUACCAUACAACUUGGCUCACCUUAAAAAUGGAUCCUUUAAAGUAUAUGAUGGAGUUGACUGCAUUGAUGGAAGAAUGGCUCGAUGAAAAAUUAUGCUAUCCAAAUUUGAUAUAAUUUAUGUAAACCAAAAGGCAGUAAAGGGGAGUGUAAUAGCAGACUUCCUAACUAGCAGAGCUCUAGAGAAUUAUGAGCCUUUAAAUUUUGAUUUCCCAAACGAUGAUUUGAUGUAUGUUGCGACCAUUGAAGAAGGUACUCUAAAAGAACAUCCCUAGAAACUAAAUUUUGAUGGGGCCUCAAACGCCAUGGGUAACAGAAUUGGGUCAAUCUUGAUAUCCCUAGAAAAAGAUCAUUAUCUUUUUACCAGUAAACUUGAUUUUGAUUGCACAAAUUACUUGGCAGGAUUUGAAGCAUGCAUCAUGGAUAUCGUACAACCAAAAAACACAAUAUCAAGGUUCUAGAAGUAUAUGGGGAUUCUGCACUAGUGAUCUAUCAACUCAAAAUUAAAUGGGAGAUGAGAGAUCCCAAGUUAACCGAUUAUCGAAGGUUGUCCUUUAGCUAAUUAAGGAGUUUGAUGACACCACAUUCUGUUACCUCCUGCAAAAUGAAAGUCAGAUGGCCGACGCGUUGGCUACCUUAGCUUCCAUAGUUAAAGUAAACAAACAAGAGCAUGUAAAACAUAUCCAAAUGAGUAUUUAUGAGGCUCCGACCCAUUGUUACAACAUUGAAGAAGAAAAGGAUGACCACCCUUAGUACCACGACAUAUUGCACUAUAUAAAGAACCGUGAGGCAAACGAGAAUGAUAAAAGGACGUUAAGAAGGUUGGCCAACGAGUAUGUCCUUGAUGAAGAGAUCCAAUACAAAAGAAUAAAGGAUCAGGUGCUACUAAGAUGUGUGGACACUGUUGAGGCUAAGAAAAUCUUGGAAGAAGCCCAUGAGGGUGUUUGCGGAACACAUGUUAAUGGUUUUACAAUGGCUAGGCAAAUCAUGAGAUUCAUAUAUUAUUGGUCCAUCAUAGAGGGGGAUUGUAUCAGUUAUGCCAAGAGAUGUCAUAUAUGCCAAAUUUAUGGAGACAAAAUUCAUGUGCCUCAUUCACCUCUUUAUGUUAUUACUUUUCCUUGGUCUUUCUCUAUAUGAGGCAUGGAUGUCAUUAGGCCAAUUUUGUCAAAAGCUUUAAUGGACAUCGAUUCAUCUUUGUGGUCAUCGAUUACUUCACCAAGUGGGUAGAGUUCGCUUCUUAUGUCAAUGUCACGAAAUCAACAGUUAGCAAGUUCUUGAAGAAAGAGAUCAUAUGUCGAUAUGGAAUGCCAAAAAGGAUCAUAUCUGAAAAUGCAUUAAAUUUGAACAACAACACGAUAUCAGAAGUCUGCAGUCAAUUCAAGAUCAAACAUCACAACUCGUAACCAUAUCGCCCAAAAAUGAGCGAUGCAGUUGAGGUAGCCAGUAAGAACAUUAAGAAGAUCAUGAGGAAAAUGGUAGAGAUUUAUAAAGAUUGGCAUGAGAAGUUUCUAUUUGCCCUCUAUGCUUAUCGAAUGUCUAUCAUAACCUCUAUCGGGGCAACACCUUUCUCAUUAGUUCAUGGAAUAGAGGCAGUCUUGCCCAUUGAAGUCGAGAUUCCUUCUCUCUGAGUUUUAUUAGAGUUGAAGUUAGAUGAAGCAGAAUGGAUCCAAUCUCGAUAUGAUCAGUUGAACUUGAUCGAAGAGAAGAGGUUAAAAGCUAUCCGUCAUGGUCAAAUGUACCAAAAACAGAUGAUGCGAGCUUAUGAAAAAAAAGUCCGCCCCAGAGAAUUCCAUGAGGGGGACCUGGUACUGAAAAAGAUUAUGCCUAUACAAAAAGACUUCAGAGGAAAAUAGAUACCGAAUUGGGAAUGACCUUAUAUGGAAAAGAAAUUUUUUUUCUAGAGGAACAUUGAUUUUCACCGAGAUGGAUGGCAAAAACUUGCCCAAUCCCGUGAACUCGGAUUUAGUCAAGAAAUACUUUACCUAAAACAAAGAGGGGGAGGCCAAGGCGAAAACUCGCAAAAGGGCGCCUAGAGGCCAAAGGGAUUUUGAGUUCAAAACCCUAAAAAGGGCAGCUCAAAUUUGGAUUGAAGAUUGAGCAUGUGGUAGUCGUGUCUUUUCAGAAGAAGAAACGUUGCAUCUUGAGGCAUCAACAAAGUACUCUAAACCUCUUAGACACAUAUCAAGCUCAAAAUGGUCCUCAAGAAGUUUGUGUAGAGAAGCUCAUGUUUCGAUAUUUGGAGCACCUAAUUUCAUUUUACUCAUUUUGUGUUUUAACAAUAUUGGCUAUUUUGAUUAAUCUUUUCAUUUUGAUCUUUGCUCCCAAUAAAUUUUAAUCUUGUCUAUUAUUAUGACCUUUUUCAAGCAUUUUUACAUUGAAAUAAUGAUUAAUGGACUAAAAAUAUUCAAGUAAAAAGAUUUUUACAUAUUGCUCUAAAAGGUUUCUAAAUAGUACAAUGACCUAAAACAGGACCACUAGUUAGAACUAAACAAAUCUAAGGGUUGGAAAUAUCUGGGAACGAAUAGUGUAAAUUGUGAUUACUUCUUCAGGUUUCCUAUCAAAGAUACCAUAUUUGAACAAGAAGGCAUGGUAACACAUCAAUGAUAGAACCUUGACGUACAACGAGCAAUGUCAGCCUAAGCACUAAAAAGGGGAUCAUUCUGCAUUCAUACAAAUGUCAUUCAUAUACAUCUAGUUAUAAGUAUUUGAUUCAUUUUUCUCAUAACAUCCUAAUCGCUUGGCAUAAAAUAUAGGCAUAUGAAAUGGAUUCUACAGGUCUUGUUCCCUAGAGAGCAGUGUAAAAGAUCAGUGAAAUAAAUCCUAUACCCUCGAAGUUGCAACGGGUCGGAUUGAACUUACCAUAACGAAUCUUAUCUCUCUGAAGUUACAGUGGAACGAGAUGAAGUUACAAGUCCUAUAUCCCAGAAGUUGUAGUGGAACAAGAUGAAGCUAUAAAUCCUAUACCCCUGAAGUUACAGUGGGUUGGAAUGAAGCCACAACAACAAUCUUAUCUCCUUGAAGUUGCAAUGGAGCAAGAUGAAACAGUGAUACCAAAUCCUGCCUUCCUAAAGUUGUAGCGAAAUGGAUACAGUAAAGUAGAGUAACCAAGGAACUAAAAGAGUGAAUUACUUGAAAAAGGGAAGCACUAGAGAACUCGAGAUUCAGCGGGACUGGACAGAAUUGGUCAUAUUUUAAGGUAUUUGCUCCCUUCCCAAUACACGACAACGAGCAAAGAGGGGCAGCUAUAAGGGGCCAAAUUUGUCCAGCCCAAACAAAAACAAACAAAAACAAGAAAUAAAUAAAGCCCAUUUACAAACAAACAUACUGGCCCAAAUUAAAAGCCCAAACCUAGCCUAAAUCUACUAAAGCCCAAACCAAUACCAAACCCUAAAAGUCCCAAAACUUAAAAAAAUAACAGAAACCUUAGUCUCUAUAAGGCCGUCCACACUGUAGCCUUCGCCUCGUCAGCGAGCUCAUCGCCCAAGGUCUGAUGCCUCGUCUGCCCCUUUCACCGAAAUGGCAAGGCGCGCGUCCCCAGCGCCAUUGAUCGUCCCAUGGAUACCUGCAAAGAAAAAGAAACGAGACAAAUGACAUAAAUAACAGAAACAACCAAAAAAAAAGAAAAUAUAUAUAUGCAAUCGGCUAUAAAAGCCAUAACAUUGAGGUGUAUUUUUUUAUGAGAUUUUGAAAUAAUAGAGAACAAAGAAAACAAAAGGUAGUUUAUUUUUCUUAUUUUUUAUUUUUUUAAAAAAGCAUAAUAAAAAAAAUAUAAGACCCUUUUAUCUGUUGUUUCACUUCUGCCGCCGUCGAAGACCAUCUCUGGCCCCGAAUACCUUAGAGCCCACUAGGGUUCUGCCGAGGGUUCAAUGAGCGCGCAAGGCUGAGAGUUUUUUUUCCCUUCUUUCUGAUUUUAGAAGGCAUUAGCCUUCAAAUCUGGCUCCUAGACGGUUAAAUAGGGCUAAAAACUGCUUUUUGUAACUUUCGCCACCGAAGGCAACGGUUGUCGACGCCGACGACCUGUGACCGUGGCGGGGCGACGACAACCCUAUGGCUGGACUGAGAGACACAUUUAGAGUAAAAAAAGGAAAGAAGAGAAUUUUUUUUAAAAAACGUAAGAGAGAAGUGAAAUAUUUCAAAAAAUUUUGGCUUAUAUACGGCCUCGGUGUGACGUCAUUUUGGCCUGGCUUUAGAAGCCCCAAAACGGCGUUGUUUUGAAGUACGACCCGAAUCUCCCCUAGGAUCCGUGUGUUUUGGCAUGGAGGAGAUAAUUUCUAUUUUGGUCCCUUCACUUUUUUUUCUUUUUAAUUUUGUCCUAUUUCAUCUUUAUUUUUUUAUUUUUAUCCUUUUAUUUUAUUCUUGUGCAAUUUAGUCCCUUGACCCACUAUUGACCUUCUGAGGGAAGGACGCGUUUAAUAUGGGUGGGAUAAUACCCCUUUCGGUCCCUUUUUCAUUUUCACAUUUCAAUUUAGUCCUUUAUAUCUCUUUUUUAUUUAGGCAUCAGAUUUUGUUGGACUUUCAAUUUAGUCCUUUAUUUCCUUUAUUUAUUUAUUUUUUGAUUUAUGCUUUAAGUUUCGCUUAAAUUUCAAUUUAAUCCCUUAUUUGGUUAGCUUUGCCUCUUUAUUUACUACAUCAUUUAUUUAGCACUUAAAAUUUAUACAUUUUAUUUUAUCAAUUUACUAUAUCAUUUAUUUAUACAUUUUAUUUUUAUUUUAUCCUUGUUAUUAUUGUUAUUAUUUUAUUUAUUCAUAUGUACUAUGAUAGUAAUCAUGACAUGGUUAUCGCUAUUACUACUAUAAAUUGAUUUUUUUAUCACUAGCAUAGCCUUUCUUUUGUUUUUAUCUUCUUAUUUUUAUUCAUCUAUUUAUUUAUUUAUUCAUUCGUUUAUUUAUCAUUUUAAUGUCAUCAUUCAUUUUUACCCACCACUAUUUUACUUCAUUUUGCUAAUCACCAUGACAUGUAUCGUGUUAAAAUAUAUUUAUCCAUUUUCUUACUAUGCCUAAACAUAUUAAAAAUAUAUAUCAUUUUAAAAAAGUUACAUUCGUUCUACCUAACGUAUAGGAAAUAUUUAAAACCGAGGCAAUAUUUAUUAUUUUUGGGAUUCGAAGAGUUGUGCUUCUAACUUACGGAGUAUGGCAUCUUCUUAGAACCAUAAUAACCGAAUAUCCUAUUUAAAAUAAAAACGAGAUUUAAGUAAGGAUCAAAUGGUGAUUAUUCUUGUUUUCGAGGACUAAAAGCAUCGUGUCCUAACUUACGGGGCAUGAUCUUUUCUUCUUGACUAAAUUGAAAUAGGACCUUUCAUAAAAUUUAAUUUAGUUCAGUGAUUUUAAUUAAAAAGAACAUCAUACAAAGAGGGGUAGUGUUUUAAUUCGAAAUAUCAAUUUUCGACAUCAAAACAUCAAGUAAUCAACUAGGUAUCAAUUUUGGGCGUUAUGAGGGUGCUAAUCCUUCCUCAUACGUAACCAACUCCCGAACCUAUUUUUUGGAUUUUGUAGACUGCAGGUUACCGUUUUUGGGCGUCAUGAAGGCACUUAGGUUGUUGGGCGUUAUGAAGGCACUUAGGUUUUAACCCACUUAUCCUAUAAAAAGCUUACCUACAUAAUUAACCCUUACUGAACCCCAUUGAGCCUAACACACUGUUUCUUGAUUUACAUAUUAAUGUUAACCCAUAACUCUUUUUUUUUUGCUCGUUAAGAAUUUUUCCCGUUUUAUUAAUUCCCUUUUUAACGAGACUUGAUUUGGUUAAUUCCCUAAUUAAGCCCUUUUGUUUAUUUUGCUGAAUUAUUUCUUAUUGUAAAAAAAAUAGAAGAAAAAAAAUUGAUUAUUAUUUAGUUCUAUGUUAAUUGAGCUUGAACAGUUAAAUUCAUAGUUAUUUAGUUCUAUGUUAAUUGAGCUUGAACAGUUAAAUUCAUAGUUUGACAAUAAGCUCGUGUUAUUCUUGAACAGUUUUCGAUUAAUGUAAUUGUUUCUAAUUUAGCAUUUAUUUAUUUUUCUAGUUUGGUAAUUUAUCAAUUCAAUCUCGAUUUUAACUAUCUUUUUCGGCCUUUCUCCACACCCUUAACCUAAGCCCCAUUACAACCUCUUAAAGACCUUUUGAUUUGUGUAUCAUAUCAUUUUAUAGUGGUGGAGAUUUGAUUUUCAUGCAAGCCUAUGGUAAUGACUUUUCAUGUUUGACUAUUGAGUAGUACUUAUUCUUGAACCUUAAACACUUUGAGUGAUUUGACUGAAUCUUUAGUGAGGAUGUCGAUUCUUAUCGAUUUUGAAUUAAAGGUAAUUACUUAGAUAAGGGGAAAUACCUAUGUUUUCAUGCUUUAAAAAUGUUUGACUUGGAUUGUUUGAAUCUUUAGUGCUCUUUUAGUUGAAUUACCAAUGUAUGAUUAUUUGUGAAUUAUGACAAAACAUCAUUGAUGAGAAUUAUGAGUUGAGAAAGAUUAAUUUUAAUUGUGAGUUGAGGAUUUUGCUUGAGGACAAGCAAACGCUUAUGUGUGGGGAUAUUUGAUAAGUCAUAAAAGUAACAUAUUUUAAUUACAUUCUUAAUGCGUUUUUGGAUGAUUAAUUAUGUAAAUUAGUGAAUUUGAUGCUCCUAAUCCUUUAAAUUCAUGUUUCUAUACUUAGGAGAGCAUUUGGGAGCGAAAGGAGUGAAAAACGAGCCAAAAUCGAAUAAAUAAAGUUGUUUUUAGGAUCCACACAGCCUGGGCAUUUCCACACAGUCUUAGAGUGCACAUACGGGUGAGAGGCACGGUCUUGUGGCUCAAGAUGAGCCCUAUAAACGUCCAUGUCCUCUUUUUAAAACAAGGGUUUUAUUUUUUAAAAUUUUAUUUUGUCUUCCUCUAGUCACGCCGUGUGCUUUCCCUAUCUUCCAUUUCUUCAGCGUCCCUUCUCCGCCGUCCACCUCCGCUGCCAUUCGUCGUCCCCCACCACCAUUUGACUCCUUCCCCUUUUUGUUGUAUUUUAUUUUAUUUAAUACUAUAUUUUUUUUAUUAUUUUAUUUAUUAUGAUGAUAAUGUUCACUAUGUUUAUGUUUAAUGGUUGAUAAAUGAUAAAACUAACAUAUUUUAAUCUCAUUCUUAAUGCAUUUUUGGAUGAUUAUUUAUGCAAAUUGGUGAAUUUGAUGCUCCUAAUCCAUUUAAUUCAUGUUCUUAUACUUAGGUGAGCAUUUCGAAGCAAAAGGAGAAAAAAUUGGAGAAAAAGAGCAGAUUCAGGGGUCACACGGGCUGGGCACAUACCCAUGUGCCAACCCGUGUCUAUUUUGCACCUUGCUUCCCAAACACGUGGAAAAACAAAAAUUUUAGGCUUUAUGAGAAUUCUGAAGUCUAUAAAUACCAAAUAGAAGAAGAGAUAUGGAGCCAUCAGAGAAGAUCGAAGAAAACACUCAAGGAGCAGCAUUAGAGCCAGUUCCGAAGCAGAUUUCCAUCAAGAUCAAAGAUCUCAUUUUUAUUUUUUCUGAAGUUUUUAUGAGUUUCUUUGUUUCUUGUGCUUUUUCUGACUUUAAGAUGUUUUUAUUUAGAAUUAUGAGCUAAUUCCCUAGAUACCUAGGGAAGAAGAAAUCUAUGAUGAAUUCUAUUAUUUAAUUUCUGUUUUACAUGAUAAAUACUUUAUUCUUGUCCUCAAUUAUGUGUGCUUAUUUUUUGUUCUAAUAUUUUUGGGUUAUUAAUUCAUGUUUAAUGUGCUUAAUUCAGUGGAGCAAAGUUAUUGUUUAAGAGUAGAUCUAAUAUAAUUGAGUGGAGUUGCAUGCAAUCCUAGAAAUAGGACGACAUAAAUCUACCAAAUUAGAGCCAAAUCUAAUAGGGAAAUCCAUAGAUCGAGUUAAUGGGACAAUAAGGUUUUAAUUAGAAAGAUAUUCCAAUUAAUCAACCAAGAGUCAGUUGCAUCUACUGUCGAAAGAGAUAUUAGCAUAAUUUAGGGAUUUCUACGGAUCAAGCCACUAAGUGAAUAAAUCGUUUAAAUCAGAUUAAUAAUAAUAGGAGUCUAAGUGGAUUCUUUCUUGGGUAUUGUCUUGCUCAUUGGUUAUCUUUCGGUUAUUUUCCUAAUUCAUUCUCUAUUGCGUUUUUAGUUAAAUUAGUUUAGUAAUUUUAGAUUAAAACUCAUCACUCCAAAUUGUCGGGUAAAUAAUAAGAAAACGGUAAUUCCUAAUACUUUUAGUUCUCAUGGAUACAAUAUCUCUACUCACCUUAGCUAUACUAUUGUUCGAUAGGUACGCUUGCCUUUGUCACAAAUUUUAGUUAGUACGAAAAACACACAUCAAGUUUUUGGCGUCGUUGUCGGGGACUAAAAUAUUAGGAACACUUUAUUUUUAUUAAUUUGGUCAUUUUUAUUUUAUUUUAUUUUAUUAUUUUUAGUUUAAUUUUUACAUUCUCAUUUUUCUUUUAUUUGCUUCUAGAAGGUUCUUUUGGUUUAUGACUAGAAGAAACUCGUCAGGACCAUUACUUUUCAAUACUAAAAUUGAAAGUACAGCUCACAGAAAUUGUAGAGAAGCAAGGCAGAGCCAAUAAAUUAUAGUAGACGGAUAAGAGGACCUCAUUAUUACUGAGGAGAUAGACGAUAAUAAGAAUAUUCAGCUACCCCCUGCAACAGCAGUAGCUCCUAUUCCUCGAAUUAUAUACGAUUAUGCCAACCCCGCUCUGAUUGGGGCUGAAUCGAGUAUUCUGCGACCCACCAUUACUGCAAAUAAUUUUGAACUGAAGCUAAACACUAUUUAGAUGGUACAGUAGUUUGUUCAAUUUGAUGUUUGCAAGACAAAUAUCCAAAUUUUCAUUUGGCCAAUUUCCUGGAAAUCUGCUAUACUUUCAAGAUUAAUGGUGCCACUAAUGACGCCAUUCACUUACAGUUAUUCCCUUUCUCGUUAAGAAACAAAGCAAAACAGUGGUUAAACUCUUUACCACAAGAUUCCAUCACUACAUGGGCUCAAGUGACUGAGAAAUUUCUACUUAAGUACUUCCCACCGACUAAGACAGCCAAGUUGAGGAAUGACAUCUCUUCCUUUGUACAAAUCGAUUUAGAGACUUUAUAUGAUGCAUGGGAGAGAUACAAUGACUUAUUGAGAAGGUGUCCUCAUCAUGGGUUACCUUUAUGGUUACAAGUUCAAACCUUCUACAACGGUUUGAAUCCCCCAACUAGACAGUUAAUUGAUGCAGUAGCCGGUGGAACACUUAACAAUAAAACACCCAAAGCAGCUUAUGAAUUUAUUGAAGAGAUGGUAUUGAAUAAUUAUCAGUGGUAAGUCAUGAGGACAAAGCCGAUGAAAGCUGUCGGUGUUUUUAACUUAGAUGCAGUCACCAUGUUAUCAAACCAAGUAGAGGUAUUAAAUAAGAAAACUGAUGGUUUAUAUCUUUCUACGCAAGUACACCCGGUGAUGCAAUGCGAUACAAAUAGAGGUGAAAUAAAUAAUCAAAAAUGUUUACCCUUUACUCCUAGCACAGAGAAUGAACAAAUCAAUUAUAUGGGUAAUAAUUCUAGGCCUCAAAAUAACCCUUAUAGUAAUAAUUAUAAUGCAGGUUGGAAGAACCAUCCUAAUUUCUCUUGGGGUGGUCAAGGAAAUCAGAGAGCACAACCUCAUCCAGGCUUCCAACAACCACCUUAUUAACAAGAGAAAAAGUUGAACCUUAAGGAGAUGUUGACAAAGUUUAUCUCGGUGCCAGAAACUCGUUUUCAAAACACUGAGGCAACACUAAAAAAUCAACAAGCAUCGAUUCAAGGGCUCGAGAAUCUAAUAGGACAACUUGCUAAGAUAAUUUGGGAAAGACCACAAGGUAACUUGCCUAGCAAUACUGAAACUAACCCAAUGGAGCAAUUUCAUGCAAUUACUGUUCAAGACAAAGAAAGGUUAGUUGAAUCUGAACAAGAAUCGAGGUAAGAAAUUGUGGUGAAUAUUAAUAAAGUUGAGGAAGAUAAGAAAGAACAAAAGCCGACUGUCAAAUAAUAUACACAUCGAGUGCCAUAUCCUAACGCGACGAAAAGAGACCACACAAACGAGCAAUUUGGUAAACUCUUCAAGUUCUUAAAAGAAUUACAUAUUAACUUACCGUUUGUUGAAUCUCAUUCGCAGAUGUCAAAUUACGUUAAAUUUUUAAAGGAGUUAUUGGCAAACAAGAGGAAGUUAGACGAGUCAUCAACUGUGAAGCUCAAUGUAGUUUGCUCGACCAUCUUACAAAAUAAACUACCUAGGAAACUCAAAGAUCCAGGGAGUUUUACUAUUCCUUGUCUCAUUGGUAGUUUAAAUAUCGAUAAUGAUUUUGCUGAUUUAGAGGCUAGUAUUAAUGUUAUGCCCUAUAAAAUGUUUAAACAACUAGGUCUUGGGAAACCCAAACACACUAGGAUGAGUAUUCAAUUAGCAGAUAGAACCAUAAGAUAUCCUAGGGGUGUUACUGAUGAUGUACUUGUUAAAAUAGAUAAAUUUAUGUUCCCUGUUGACUUUGUUGUGUUGGAUAUGGAUGAGGGUAGUGAGGUACCUUUAAUUUUAGAUCGCCCCUUUUUAGCCACUGCCAAGACUAUUAUUGAUGUUGCUACGGGUGAAUUAGUACUUCGUGUAGGUGACGAAAUGAUUACUCUCCAAGCUCGUGAUUCUGUGAGAACAUCCAGUGAUCGAGAUGAUAUUGAAAGUUCUGUUAAUGUGAGUGAUAAGAUAUAAAAGUAAAAUAUUUUAAUCUCAUUCUUAAUGUGUUUUUGGAUGAUUAAUUAUACAAUUUAGUGAAUUUGAUGUUCCUAAUCCUUUAAAUUCAUGUUUUUUAUACUUAGGAGAGCAUUUGGGAACGAAAGGAGCGAAAAAUGAGCCAAAAUCGAAUAAAUAAAUUUGUUUUCAGGAUUCACAUAGACUGGGCAUUUCCAAACGGUCUGACCACACGCCCGUGUGAGCCACACUGGUUAGCCACACGCCCAUGUGCCAAUCUGUGUCGAUAUUGCACCCUACUUCCCAGAUACGCAGAAAAACUCAAUUUUUAGGCUUUCUGAGCAUUCUAAAGUUUAUAAAUACCAAUUAGAAUAAAACCUAAAGGGGCAACCAGAGAAGAUAAAUGAAAACACUCGAAAAACACCAUCGGAAUCAACUCGGAAGCAGAUCCCCAUCAAGAUCGAAGAUCUCCUUUUAAUUUAUUUCGAAGUUUUAUUGAGUUUCUUUAUGUCUUAUGGUUAUCCUAAAUUUGAGAUGUUUCUAUUCAGGAUUAUGAACAAAAUUCCCUAGAUACCUAGGGAAGAUGAAACCUAUGAUGAAUCUUAUUAUUUGAUUUCUGAAUUACAUGAUAAAUACUUGAUUCUUGUUCUUAAUUAUGUCUGCUUAUUUCUAUUUUAAUAUUCCGAAAUAUUAAUUCAUGUUUAAUGUGCUUAUUUCAGUGGAGCAAAAGUCCUUGUUUAAGAGUUGAUCUAGCAUAAUUGAGUGGAUUUGAAUGCAAUCCUAGAAAUAAGAUGACAUAAAUCUACCGGAUUAGAGUCAAAUCUAAUAGGGGAAUCCAUAAAUUGAGUUAAUGCGACAAUAGGGGUUUUAAUUAGAAAGAGAUUUCAAUUAAUUAACCUAGAGUUAGUUGUUCUUACUCUCGAAAGAGAUAUUAAUAUAAUUUAGGGAUUUCUGUGGAUCAAGACAAAAGUGAAUACAUUGUUUAAUUCAUAUUCAUAAUAAUAGGUGGAGUCUAGGUGGAUUCUUUCCUGGGUAUUGUCUAUCUCGUUGGUUAUCUUCAAUUAUUUUCCUAUUUCAUUCACUGUUGGGUUCUUAGUUAGAUUAAUUUAGUAAUUUUAGAUUAUUAAAACAAUCACUCCAAUUUGUCAGAUAAAUAAUAGAAAAACGAUAAUUACUAAUAUUUUUACUCAUCAUGGAUACGAUAUUCCCUACUUACCAUAACUAUACUAUUGUUCGAUAGGUACGCUUGCCUUAGUCAUAUUUAUAGCUAGUUUAGUGACCAUCAAGUUUUUUGCACCGUCUCCAGGGACCAAAAUAUUAAGAACACUCGAUUUUUAUUAAUUUAGCCAUUUUUAUUUCUAUUAUAAUAUUUAUUUCUAGUAUAAUUUUUAUUUUGUUUUUAGUUUAAUUUUUACAUUCUAAUCUUUCUUUUAUUUGCUUCUGGCAGGUUCCUUUAGUUUAUGACUAGAAGAAACCCAUCGGGACCAUUAUUAUUUGACAGUGAAAUUGAAAGUAUAGCUCGCAGAAACCGUAGAUAACUAAGGCAAAGUCAAUAGAAUAUAGUAGAUGAGCAAGAGGACGUUAUUAUUAUUAAGGAGAUGUGUGAUAAUCAGAAUAAUCACCUACCUCCUGCAGAUCCUACAAAUUCAGAUCUUAUUCCUCGUACUAUGUAUGAUUAUGCCAAGCCCACUCUAACUGUGGCUGAAUCGAGUAUUGUGAGACCCACCAUUGUUGUGAAUAAUUUCGAAUUGAAGCCGAACACUAUUCAGAUGGUACAACAAUUUGUUUGGUUUGAUGGUUUGUAAAACGAAGAUCCAAAUACUCAUUUGACUAAUUUUUUGGAAGUCUGUGAUACUUUCAAGAUAAAUGGCAUUUCUGACGAUGCCAUUCGCCUACAAUUAUUCCCUGUCUCGUUGAGGAACAAAGCUAAACAGUGAUUGAAUUUUUUACUACGAGGUUCCAUCACUACAUGGGAUAAAAAGACCGAGAAAUUCCUAUGGAAGUACUUCCCAUCUACUGAGAUAGCCAAAUUGAAGAUUAAUGAUAUCGCUUCCUUCAUUCAGAUCGACUUAGAGACCUUAUAUGAUGCAUGGAAGAGGUAUAAGGACUUAUUGAGAUGGUGCCCUCACCAUGGGUUACCUUUAUGGUUACAAGUUCAAACCUUCUACAACGGUUUGAAUCCCUCAACUAGACAGUUGAUCGAUGCAGCAGCCAAUAGAACACUUAACAGUAAAACACCUGAAGCGGGUUAUGAGUUUAUAGAAGAGAUGGCACUGGAUAAUUAUCAGUGGCAAGUCAUGAGAAUGAAGCCGGUGUUUUCAACUUAGAUGCAAUCACCAUGUUAUCAAAUCAGGUAGAACAAUUAAGUAAGAAAAUUGAUGGUUUAUAUGUUUCUACGUAGGUACAUCCGGUGAUGCAAUGCAAUACAAAUGGAGGAAGAAUGAACAAUCCAGAAUGUUCACCCUACGGUCCUAGCACAGAGAACGAACAAAUCAAUUAUAUGGGUAAUAAUUUUAGGCCUCAAAAUAACCCUUAUAGUAACAUCUAUAAUACAUGUUAGAGGAACCAUCCCAAUUUCUCUUGGGUGGUCAAGGAAAUCAGAUAGCACAACCUCCUCCAGGCUUCCAACAACAACCUUACCAGUAAGAGGAGAAGCCAAACCUUAAGGAGAUGUUGACAAAUUUUAUCUCGGUGUCAAAAACUCACUUUCAAAACACUGAAGUAGCACUGAAAAACCAGCAAGCAUCAAUUCAAGGACUUAAGAUUCAAAUGGGCCAACUUGCUAAGUUAAUUUCAGAACGACCAUAAGGUAGUUUGCCUAGCAAUACUGAAACUAACCCAAGGGAAAAACUUUAUGCAAUUACUGUGCGAGAUGAAGAAGGGUUAGUUGAAUCUAAACUAGAAUCAAGGCAAGAAAUUUUGGUAAGUAACGGUAAGGUCGAGGUAAGCCAAAAUAAGCAAAAACUGGUUGGUAUAUGAAUCUCAACUGCCAUAUCUUAACGCGACGAAGAGAGACCACACGGAUGUAAAAAAAGCGAAGGAGAUCGCACACGGCCUGGUAUACAAUCAUGUGAAGACUGGGCUUGAUUUUUAAAAUACACACGGGCUGAAGAUGCCCCACACAAGUGUAUGACACGACCGUGUGGCCCAACACGGGCCUUUACACGACCGUGUCACCCAUUUAAACCCUAGCCCUCUUCUUUUUCUCUUCAUCUUCCUCUUAACACUCCAACUAACCCUAGUUGCCGCACUACCCACGUCGACCUUCCCUUUUCUGGCAACUGUCACCCCACCCUAUUGCUAUUUGUCCAUUCUUCUUUCCCUUCCCUUAGACGACACAUCCCCACUCCCUCACCACCACGCACCUUCCUCCACCCCCUAGCCUCUCCCCCCUCCGUGACCAAACUUUCCCCCAUCGUCCCCUAUACCAUGCACCACCACAAACAACCUUACCCUCACCCCUCACAAUACCACGACUUCUUCCCUAAUCCCUUACGCGCCGCAACAGACCCUUUUCCCCUCUUCUCCUUUCUUUUCUCUUUCACUGUCGACCAACGCCACCCCCAUUCUUCCCUUUUCCUUUUUAUUCCCUCUACAACCCCUCACCGUCUACCCUUCUUCCAAAUUUCCUCCCCCCACACCGAUCAUCACCAACCCUUCUCUGCCGUGUGCGCCACUCACCAUAGCCGUCCAACUUACCCACUGUUUGCUCAUUCCUCUACCCUUUCCAUUUCAUUAAUUAAUUGUUUUUAUUUAAUUAAUUUUUAAUUACUGAUUGUUUUAUUACUAUUAUUUGUUUUAAUUAUUUUUUUGUUUUCUUAUGCCUUUACUUACUAUUUUGUUUAUUUUUUUUGAAUUAUUUUUACUCUUUACAUUUAGUAUUUCAUUAUAUUUAUUAUUAUUGUUAGUUUUUUAUUCAUGUUAUUAUCCUUUUUAGGUUUAAUUUUAUUAUUGUGCUUAGUUAAAUUUGUUCUUUUUUAUUAUUGUUUUAUUUUGCUUAGUAUUUAUUCCACUUGUUAUCUUAGGAGUAGUAUCUUGCUAGAUUGGUAUUUUGUUUUGGUUUUCGUACUGUGCUUAUCCAUUAUCGAUGUAAUUUAAAUUGUAUGAUUUUUCUAUUCUUUUUUCUUGCAUAAUUGGUGGUGUUUUAUUUAUUAUUUUUCUAAUAUUGGAUUCUUUUAUUUUCAGGCACACCAUAACGAACAAACACAGUAAAUCUAAGGUCGCCGUCCUAGCUUUGAAAAAUGAAAAACUCUGGGUGCGACCACCUCCUCGGGUGCUUCCGCUGAUGCCCCCAUCCAUCCUUAUGAUUUUCACAAGGUCCCUAGGAGGACUUAUAUCAGCAUCUUCGACAAAGGCCAUUUGGAUUAAGCUGGUGUAUUGAUUGGGCCGCUUUGGAGCAGGUUCAGUUAGUUGAUCGAGUCCGCACCAUCAUUGCUACAGCUUCUUAGGACCGAUUCGUCUCCAUCAUCGAGGCCACCUAUUUGGAGCUGACCUUAGAGUUUUGUUCGACAUUUCUCCUACAGUAGGUGAUGUCAACUCAUGACGAGCCGCCCACUAUUACAUUCCGACUCGACAGUACGGCGCAUCAUAUGAGUGUCCCAGAGUUCGGAGCUACCUUAGGACUAUACACGAAAGAGUUCAUAGGUGGCGAGGGUUUCUCCGAUUAUACCGACACAUCCACUACUCGCUAUCUCUUUACUGGGUAGACCCUACAGCUAGUACGACGCCUUAUAACUCGAGUUGUUUGAAAGCGACUUCUCUUCCUCAAGCCUUGCGCUACAUUCAUGUCAUCUUGGCUCACACAUUGGCCGGUAGGAGAGAGAGCAAUGGAGUUGUCGGUACAACCGACACAUAUUUUUGUGGAGCAUAGCCAUAAGGCACACCUUUGGUCUUGCUUAUUUCAUCGUCCUAACUGUCCACCAUCAGACAGAGCAUAGUAGGAAGGGUUCUAUCUGCUUAGGUCCUUACGUGACUCGCCUUGCACAACACUUCAGUCUCCUCGACACACCGGAGCAGUCUUCCUCUUUUACACUAGUUGGAUAGAUGUCCCCGUAAUGAUUAUCUAGUAUAAGCCAAAUGAGGAUGAUCGAGAGACUGCAUGGAGUGGAUCCUCCUUAUACCGAUUGUCUCAUUCUGACCCUCAAGAUGAGCAUGCGGACUUCACUAAUGAUGUCCCCUUCUACCAUGAGGAUCCACCACAUUCUCCAUCUCAGAGUCACCUCCACAUUUCCUCUUCAGGGCCAACGACUCACGAUACCGAUGGCUCUGACGAUAAGGAUUAUUUAUUUUAUUUAUUUUCUUUUUAGUUUUAGUUUUAUUUUAUGUCUAUGAUUAUUUUUAUUUUUAGUUUUAGUUUUAGUUUUAGUUUUAGUUUUAGUUUUAGUUUUAGUUUUAGUUUUAGUUUUAGUUUUAGUUGUUUUAGUCUUAUUUUCUUAGACUUAUUUUGUUUAUUAUCUUUUAAAUUAUAUUUUUCUUUUGAUGGUUGUUUCAAAUUGAGUUGUAACCUUUUAAUCUUCUUCACUAUUUGUGUUUAUUUUCUUAUUUGUUUGCUCGGAAUCAUGCACUACAUUUAGAUUUGCCUACAAUUCCUGUAACAACCCGUUUUUAAUGAAAUUAGAAUAGUGGUUUCGGGACCACAAAUUUGAGUCCGAAAGAAAUUUUAUUUUAAUAUUAUUGUAUAGUCUAUAGUAUGAAAGAAAUAUUGUAUGAAAAUUUUGUUAAAAAAUUUCACUGUUUACAUGCCUAACUCGAUAAAAGGACCAAAUUGCAUUAAGUGCAAAAAUUGAAUUCUAGUAGCUAAAAGGAUUAAAUAGCUAUGCAAUUCAAAAUUUGAGGUCCUUAUAUGGCAAAUAGACCAUUAAGAAGAGUUAUUAUAUAAGUAUAAUGAUUCAUCCGUGGAAAAUUAAAUAAAGAAAAUGAUGAAAUUGGAAAGAUGAAAUAAUUAAAGAUGAUAAAUAAUAGAAAUCUAAUAUAUCAUCAUUUAUCAUCAUCUUUUCCAAAUAAAAACAUGGAAACCCUGGCCAUGAGAGCUUGAGCUCUAGCAAGCUUAUUUUUCCAAAUUAGGCAUGUGUUCUUGUCUCGUUUUUAGUAAUUUUUAUAUUUCCAAGACCGUAAUAGCUUAAUCUAGCUAUCUCAGGGAUUAAUUUGUAAACUUAUCAAAGUACUAGGGAUUUUCCAUGGAUGAAUAUAGUUGAAUUAUGAAUUUUUAUGGUAGAAAUUGAAAGGUUGUUGAUAAAUAAACAACGUUUGUAAAGGGAAUUUUAAUGAAAUCAUGAUUUAGGGACUAAAUUGAAAAGAUGUAAAAUUCAUGGAAAAAUUCUGAUUUUUAUGAAAUAUAUGAGCUUCUAAUGUUAUAUGUAAAAAUCGACUAGGCUUGGAAUAAGGAUUAAAUUGCAUGAAUUUCAUUUUUCGAGUCUAAGGACGAAAUCAUAAUUAAUUAAAAGUAUAGGGGCAAAAUGGUAAUUUUUCCAAAGAUGUGAAUUGAAUUUAAAUGAAUAAAAAUUGAUGUUAAAUUCAUUUGUAUAGAUCCAACUAGAUCAAAUACGAAGUCAGAUUGUGGAAAAGAAAAAAUGUCAGAUUAGUAGAUUUUUCGUACACAAACACUUGUCGAGGUAAGUUCGUGUAACUAAAUAGUAUAUUUAUAUGAUUGAAUUGAAUAUUGUGUAUGUGAAUUGUAUAACUGUCAUACAUAUGAAAUGGAUCGCAUAUCCGACAAUGUCCGAUAAAUGUUAAGUCCUGUUUAAAUAAAUAAAUUUCGCUGGCUAUAUGGUUCCCACAUUGGUUGUGGUCCUGCAUAUGUUGCAGACACACCACAGCUCGAAAGAGCGUCCCAUUAUUAGCCCUCUCGAGCUUCCCGUUAUAUGAUUCCUGCGAGCUUCUUGUUAAUAGCUCUUCGGAGCAUCCCGAUCAGUUAUGGUCCUACAUGUGUUGUGGACACACCGCAGCUCUUAUGAGCAUCCCAAUAAAUGGCCCUUCGGAGCUUUCCAAUUAAAGGAUCUUUGUGAACUUCCUAAUUAAUGGCUCUCUGAGCUUCCCGAUAUGGCUCGCUUGAACUUCCCGAUAUAUGGUUAUCUGGAGCUUCCUGAUUAAUGGCUCUUCAAAGCUACCCGUUAUUGGCUUGCAUGAGCUUCUUGAAUAUGGCUCUUAUGAGCUUCCCGUUAUACAGCUCACAUAAGGUUCCUGUUAUAUGGCUUGAGAGUGAGCAUCUCAUUUAUGUGCUCGUAUGAGCAUUCCCGAAUAUGAAUUGACGGAUUACAAUUUUGUACACUCCGAGUGUACUACCUAUGUAUCCAUCGAUAUUUCAAAUAAAUUUAACGGGCAAAGUUCUGACAUGGGAUAAUCUGAACUUGAGAUGAAUUAUUACAGAAAUGUACAUGUUAUAUGGAUAUAUGAUGUGGAAAGCAUAUGUACAUGAAAAUUGUUAUAUGAUGAGCUCAUCCUUGUUUCUUGAUAUUCAAAUGAAGUACAUAAACUAACAUGUUUCUUGAGGUUAUAUGUGUUUAGGCAAAUUGCUAAAUUUCUUUGGAUGAAUUUUGUGUGCAUAUCUUAAAUCUAAAUGAAUGGUAAGUUAAUAUCCCGUUAUACGAACUUACUAAGCAUUAAAUGUUUAAUCUGUGUUAGUUUCCUCUGUUUUAUAGUAUUCAGAAGCUCGUUGGGUUGGAAGCUUGGCGGAGAUAUCUUACACUAUCCAUCAACCCAUUUCGGUAUAUAUAUAGUAAAUCAACUUUGGUUAUAAUGGCAUGUAUAGACUAAAUUAGGCCAAAUGAUGGUAUAUAUGUGUUUGGUUGUGAUUAGCCAUUGGUAUGGCUUAUGUUGGACAUAUUAUGAUGUAUAUAUGUGUGUGUGGUUUAAUCAUGAUUGAUAUAUGUUUGGUAUAAGUAAGCAAAUAUGUUUCUUUAUCAUCAUGGCAAAUGUGAAUACUAAGAUAUAUGUGAUAAAACGACUUGUUUAAGACUUGGUUUUGGAUUGAUUUGAAUGUUUUAUAUUGGCUUGCAAAUGUGUUAAAGUAUUAAUGUAGGUGAAUGACAAAUAGGGUGAGAAAUAUGGCAUUGGAAAUGGCUUAUUUUCGUCCACACGGACAGAGACACAGGCGUGUGAUCUGGCCUUGUGUCCCCUGCAUCUUUAAAAUUCAAAACAGAAUGUUCAGGUAUUUUCACACGACCUAGCACAUAGGAGUGUGACUUGGCCAUGUGACCUCUGCACAUUAAGCAUGCAAGUUAGUAUGCUCACACGGCCUAGCACACGGGCGUGUGGCUUGGCCGUGUGACCUAAGUCAGUAACCACCCCAAUUUGGACACGGGCUGGGACACGGUCGUGUGUCCCUACUUCGAAUACCCAUACAGCCUGAGACACGGGCGUGUCUCUUGACUGUGUGAGACACACGACCUAGCCACACGGGUGUGUGUCCCCUGUAUUUUAGAAAAUUUUUGAUAUUUUGUGCAAAAUUCUCUAAGUACCCGGUUUAGUCUCGACUUGUUUUUAAUGUACAUUUUAGACCUCAAUGGCUCAUAGAAGAGACCAUAUGAUUGAUUUUGAUUGGUUUAUGAAAUGAAUGUCAAAUGAUAUGAAAUGUCUGAAAUUGAUCUGUAUAUUUCGGUAAUGCUUCGAAACCCUAUUCCGGUAACGGAUAUGGAUUAGAAGUGUUAUAAUUUCACUUUUCACCAUUUUGGUAAUUUAAUCCAAUAUUCAGGGCCGUUUCAGUUUUUUCCCUCUUAUGAUAUUCUGCUUAUACUGUGCUUAUUUCUAUUUGAACAUUGAGGAUAAUGUACAUCUUGAGUGUGGGGAGAUUAUUCAUGUAAUUAUUAGAAAAUCCCAUUACAAUGAAUUUUUAUUGAUUUAGGAUUUUUGUGAAUGUGUUUUGGAUUAAUUUGUAGAUAUUUGUGCAUUGAUUGAUUUAAACUUUAAGACAUGAAAGAAUCAAGCAUGAUAAGUUAUUUUUCAAAAUUAAAAAUUUUUAGGUUAUUUCCCUAAAUUGAGGUAUUAUCUUGAAGUUUUAAAUUUGCAAGUUUGACGUCAAAAACCAUGUUUUUUUGUGAGAUUUUAAGCCUUUAGAGCAUACAUUUUUCAUGCUCAUUCUAUUAUUGGUUAUGAGUGUGUCAACUUGAUUUGUUAUUCUAGAACUUGAUUCGAUUAUGCAUGUCUAGACCCACUUUUGAUUUGAUAUACUAAGAUGAUAAAGGCACUGAGGUUUUAACCCACUUAUCCCAUAAAAGCCUCUCUUUUUAAUUAACCCUUAGUGAACCCCAUUGAGUCUAGCAUCUAGUUUCUUGAUUAACCUGUUAAUGUUAACCCAUAACCCAUUUUUUCGUUGCGACUCUUUCUCGUUUUAUUGACUCCCUUUUUGUCGAGAUUUGAUUUGGUUAGUUGCCUAACUAUGCUCUUCUAUUUGAUUUACUGAAUUAUUUAUGAUUGUUCUAGAUAAAAGAAUAAAAAGAAAAAAAUCGAAAAAAAUAUUUAUUUAUCAAUUUUUAUUUAGUUCUUUGUUGAUUGAGCUUGAACAAUUAAAUUCAUAUUUUGAGAAGAAGCUCGUUUUUAUUCUUGAAUAGUUCUUGAUUGAUGUACUUGUUUUUAAUUCAGCAUUUGUUUAUUUUUUUCUAAUUUGGUAAUUUAUCAACUCGAUCUCGAUCAUAACCAACUUUCCUGGCCUUUUCCCACACCAUUAACCUAAGUCCCAUUACAACCUCUUAAAGACUUUUUGAUUGGUGUGUCAUAUCAUUUUAUAGUGGUGGAGAUUUGAUUUUAAAGCAAGCUUAUGGAAAUGACAUUUCAUAUUCGACUGUUGAGUGCUUAUUUAUUGAACCUUAAACACUUUGAGUGAUUUGAAUGAAUCUUUAGUGAGGAUGUCAAUUCUUGUCGAUUUUGAAUUAAAGGUAAUUACUUAGAUAAGGGGAGAUACAUAUGUUUUCGUGCUUUAAAAUUUUCGACUUGGAUUGUUUGAAUCUUUAGUGCCAUUUUAGUUUAACUGCCAAUGCAUGAUUACUUGCGAAUUAUUUUGAGACAUUAUUGAUGAGAAUCAUAAGUUGAGAAAUAUUAACUUUAAUGAGAGUUGAGGAUUUAGCUUAAGGGCAAGCAAACGCUUAAGUGUGGGGAUAUUUGAUAAAUGAUAAAACUAACAUAUUAUAAUCUCAUUCUUAAUGCAUUUUUAGACGAUUAUUUAUGCAAAUUGGUGAAUUUGAUGCUCCUAAUCCCUUUAAUCCAUGUUCUUAUACUUAGGUGAGCAUUUAGGAGCAAAAUGAAUGAAAAUUGGAGAAAAAGAGCAGCUUCAGGGGCCACACGGGUUGGGCACAUGCCCAUGUGAGCCACACGGGCUGGCCAUAUGCCCAUGUGAGCCACACGAGCUGGCCACAUGCCCAUGUGCCAGCCCGUUUCGAUUUCACACAUUGUUUCCCAAACACGCGAAAAAACAUAAUUUUUAGGCUUUCUGAGAAUUCUAAAGCCUAUAACUACCAAAUAGAAGAAGAGAUAUGGAGCCAUCAGAGAAGAUCGAAGAAAACACUCAAGGAACAGCAUUAGAGCCACUUUCGAAGCAGAUUUCUAUCAAGAUCGAAGAUCUCCUUUUAAUUUCUUCUAAAGUUUUUAUGAGUUUCUUUGUUUCUUGUGGUUUUUCUGACUUUGAGAUUUUUUUAUUCAGAAUUAUGAACUAAUUCCCUAGAUAUCUAGGGAAGAUGAAACCUAUGACAAAUUUUAUUAUUUAAUUUAUGUUUUACAUGAUAAAUACUUUAUUCUUAUUCUCAAUUAUGUGUACUUAUUUCUUGUUUUAAUAUUUCUGGGAUAUUAAUUCAUGUUUAAUGUGCUUAAUUCAGUGGAGCAAAAGUCUAUUUAAAAGUAGAUCUAGCAUAAUUGAGUGGAGUUGCAUGCAAUCCUAGAAAUAGGAUGACAUAAAUCUACCGGAUUAGAGUCAAAUCUAAUAGAGGAAUCCAUAGAUCGAUUUAAUGCGACAAUAGGGGUUUUAAUUAGAAAGAAAUUUCAAUUAAUCAACCAAGAGUCAGUUGCUUUUACUCUCGAAAGGGAUAUUAGAAUAAGUUAGGGAUUUCUACGGAUCAAGACACCAAGUGAAUAAAUCGUUUAAAUCAGAUUAACAAUAAUAGGAGUCUAGGUGGAUUCUUUCCUAGGUAUUGUCUCGCUCAUUGGUUAUCUUUCGAUUAUUUUCCAAAUUCGUUUAUUUGUUGCGUUCUUAGUUAAAUUAAUUUAGUAAUUUUAGAUUAAAACUCAUCACUCCAAAUUAUCGGCUAGAUAAUAAGAAAACAGUAAUUACUAAUACUUUUAGUCCUCGUGGAUACGAUAUCUCUAUUCACCGUAGCUAUACUAUUGUUCGAUAGAUGCGCUUGCCUUUGUUGUAAAUUUUAGUUAGUACGGCAAACACACAUCAAUGGUAUUAUGCUAGUUUAGUAUUUUUAUUAGUCUUAUUAUUAUUGAUGUGUUGAUUAUGUCUUAUUUAUUGUUUUUAUUAUUCCUGUUGUUAGCUUUAGGUUGUUAGUUUAGUAUUGGUUGUAUGUCGUAUUAGGAAUAGAUUUUAAUCAUAGUAGUUAAGUGAUCCGAUUGUCGUGUUGAGAUGAAUUGCAUGCUGAUUUGUGUUAUUUAAUAUGUCAAUUUAUCUAUUUGCUCGAGUAAUUGUUAGCGAUACUGCUUUUUUUGGUUAACUGAUAUUUGAUUUUAUCUUUUAUUUCACGUACAUCAUGACUAAUACCCGCUAUAAAUCUAAGGUCGUAGUUCCCGCUUCGAAAAAGCGGAAGACUCCGAGCGCAACCUCAUCUUCGGGCCCUACCUCUAGUGCACGCCAUCCAUGUCUCCAGUUUCCAUCGGGUCCUCACGAGGACCAAUAUCAGCAUCUCCAACUGCGACCCUUAGGAUUGGGCCGUUGUAUUGACUGGGCGGCUCUACAAGAGAUUCACUUAGCCGACAAAGUGCAAGCACUGAUCGAGACAGCUCCAUGGGAUCGACUUUUCUCCAUCGUCGAUCCUACCUACUCAGAGGUUACAUUGGAGUUCUGCUCGACAUCUUUUUUGCAGCACGCGGUGUCGAGAUAUGAUGAGCCAUGCACCGUCUCUUUCCGGUUGGUAUUAAUUAAUUAAUCUAAAUUUAACUCAAAUCAAGUCAUCUUUAGCUACACCAAAUUCUAUUUAAUUAUUUCUAUUUAGCCCAAUCAUUAUCGAUAGGAUUAUACCAAUUUAUCUAAACCGACAAAUUAAAAGUUAGACUAAUUUAAAAUUAAGCUACAUAAAUUCUAGUUACUCUUAACUUAAAAACAGUCCAAGUUAAUCUAGUCAAUUAAUUCUAAACACAUUUCAACUAUUUAAUUAAUUUUAACAAUCUUUGGAUACAUCAAAUUUUAAUCAAAGUAACUGAUCAAACAAAGCUUCAUAACUCCACCACUAACCAGUUAAUCCAAAGCAAGAAUUAACCUUAAAUCUAGUAGCGAGUCACAAUAACAUUAAAAACUGCGGCAACUAAACCAAAUUUUAAUGGCCGCUUACUUGUAACGACUAACAACAACAAUAUCUAGGAGUAAUGAUCUGCAAUUGGAAGCAUCUUAGAGCAGCAAUUUUGGAGAUCAUUAACCGCAAUAACUGAGGUGGUGAAAGCAGCAAAAUUUAUGAAAUAGCAAGCACAAUUGGCAGCAAUUUGAAGCACGACACAGCAGCAAAAUUGAGGCGAUAAGCAGCAUAUCGAAUCAGUAAAAUGGGAGCACCAAACGGAAUCAAAGAUCAAGCCAAAGAGCAUUGAAGGAAAGCUACUUGGUGCUGCAAACUAAAGGAUCAAGUAGCAGCUUACUGGAUGGCACAAAGAGCUGCUAUUUGGGUGAAAUUACAGCAGAGAUUUUGAUGAUUUGCAGUAGCAAAUUGACGACAAAGACAACAGCAAAAAACAAUGGUUUGAAGGAGCUGGCAAUAUUUAAGGCUUUGGACUGCGAUUUCUGUUGAAGUUUUAUUAUGUAUUUAAGAAAAUUACACAAUCCCAUAUUCUUGAAAUAAACCUACCAAGGUAAUGUUGAAAUAAACCUAUUAAUAGAAGUAUUUGUUAAAUCGUGACAAUAUCUUUAGAGUGAUCCUUACACCUCAAGCAACAGUUUCAAAUUUCUAACCCUCGGAAUUCUAACAAUUUGAUGGCUAUUUUGGAGUAGCUGAAGCAAAUAGCAACAGUAAAUUGAAGGAUGGUCGGCACCAAUUCGCAGCAAACUGAGGCAAUUUUGGUCGGCAAACAAGCAAGAAGAUGGCCAACAAUUUGGAAGCAAUAAAACACCAACGGUGGUGAAAGCAAAAAGUGACAAGGCAGCGGUGGAAUUUAGAAAGAAUAAUCGCAGAGGUUCAAAACAACGAAUUUCUAACCCUAAAUUUUAUGAUGGAGAUCUUAACAAACGGUAGUAGGGUUUUGAAGCUAAUUAAAUUAGCAUGGACGGCUCAGAUAAAAUAGAAAGGGAGAGAAACUAAAUGGAAAAUUAUGAAUUGAGGACUUCUAGUUUUAAAAGACUUUUAAUUAUCUUAAUAUACCUAACAAAAAUUCUUAAGAAGAUCCCAACUAAAUUCUUAAUCUAAUGUAAACAACAAUAACACGACACAACACACGCCUAAUAUAUUGAAAAUGAAAAAAAACUUAAUUCUAACUUUAAUCUCCUACUAAAUUUUGAAAAUUUUAGAGGCAAUAUGAGCUAAUAUGAGCUAAUUAUUGAUGAGUGACAUUUGAUAAUGCCAACAGCAAAUUAUCACUAAAGUUGUUUAUUAUUUACCUUAUUUGAUUUGAUUAUUUAAUGAAGAAAACUUUGGGCCUGUAUUGUUUUAUGAAAAUACCAUAAUCUAUUUAUGGAAACCAAUCCAUGACUUUUGAAGAUUGAAUUAGAUACAAGUGAAUCAAUUCAACCCUUAAAAUACGGAGAUUUGAUCGAUAUUGUAUUGUUGAUUUUGGAGACCAUAUCUUCGAUUGAUUCUGCUUUGAUUGUUAAUGAUGUAAUAGUUAUUUUAAGGAGUUACUUUAUAUUCACUUGGAUUCUAUGUCAGCAAAUCGAAAUCGAUAUACGCUUUUGAGACAUGUCUAGGUAUGUAUGAGAGUUUAUUGACUGCGUUCUAAUCUAUUCAUUGAGGAAAUGUUUUGUGAGAGUGCAAAUUGUUAUUGUAAACAUUAUUGAGUGUUUACUGCCAAGUUCUUAGGGGGAGGAUUUGGAGGUGAGUAUUCUAAUAUUUAGGUAUAAAGGUGAGAUCUCUAUACUUGGAGAGUGAUAAAGUUUGAAUCACGUGUAGUAUUUGUGAACAUAGAUGGUGAAAUUACUCACUAAGCUAAGUUACGUAGAUGUAGGAAAAUCGAACUGUGUAAACAAAUCCUUUAUGUUAUUUGUUAUUUUGUUUGCACAGUUUUCGUAGUGCCAAGCUGUAAUGGCCACUGCAAUCUAACACUUCCAUUGUAGAUAUCAUUUUAAGCAGACAAGUAACUUAUGGUAGCAACAAAAUUUAAUUUAAUCCUUAAAACAAAAUCGAAUGUCAAUUUAGUCAUGAAAUCAAGCUAAAAUUUCAAAUAGGUUCAUAAAAAUACUGAAAAUCUAAAUUUGAUAAUUUUGUACAAAAUUGUUUAAUAAUUUAUUAUAAAAGAGUUUUAUUGAUUUUAUAUCGAUUCGGUACAAAAUUUGAUACCAAAAAUUUCGAGGCGUUAUAUUCAUGUUUUUUGGUAUUUCCUUAAAAUUUUAUGUAUUCCCUCAUAAUUUUUGACACUCUCUCAUGUUUAUUGGUGUUCUCUAAUUAUUUUUGGUACACGCCUCAUAAUUUUUUUGUACUCCCUUAUGUAUUUUGGUGUGCUUUUAUAAUUUUUUGAGUCUCUUCAUAAUUUUUUAUAAACCUUCAUAAUUUUUAAUACGCUUUCUCAAUAAUUGGAAAUAUAAUUUUCUUUAGUGAAAAAUAUUAUUUUUCAUAUUAAAAAUUUUAAUGGGAUUUUAUUGAAGGGAAAAAUUGGUCAUUUUUAAUUAUUAAUUUUGCAUACUAAUAUUCAAUACUAAAAAUAUUAUAUAUAAGGAUAAAAUUUUAAAAAAUAAAUAAAUAAAUAAAACUAAUAUUUGAUAAUCCAUUAUAAUUUUUUAUACUUCUUCAAUUUUUUUAAAACCCAACUCUCAUACUUAUUGCUACUUUUUUUAUAAUUUUUUGUAUUCUCUUAUAAUGUAUUUUUGGUAUUUCGUCAUUAUUUUUUGCACUCUCUCGUGUUUUUUUAUAUGCUCUCAUAGUUUUUUAUGUAAACCUUCAUAAUUUUUUAUAUGCUUUGGAAAAGAGGAUUUGGGAUCAAAAAUAUAUAUAUUUAGUUAAAAAUAAUAUUAUUUUGCAUGUUAAUAGGAUUUUGUUGACGAAAAGCUUUAAAAUUAUUAAUUUUACAUAGUGUAAAAGAAAGAGAAGCCUUCUUUCUGGAUGCGGUUGAGUCUGUGAUGUCAGUCUAUUCAGCAGGGGAAGUUGAGGUUUUAAUCGAUCGUUUAUUUUGAAAAUGGCAAUGGAACCUCCAAGACUAUGCCUUCUCAACCUACUUAUCUAGGAGUGGGUUAAAAGGCCUACUCUAGUGGGACUGCCCACUGCUCCUUCCUUGCCACAUCGGAAAUUCACUUCGAAGCGCAACAAAAGGGAACCUUCUCUCUAAUAAAAUGAACCACCAUCAGCUCACUACAUCCUUCCCCCAUCCUCUCUUUCUUUUUAUUUCCUUUUCAAUCUACCUAGAUAAAUAUAUACAUAUUGAAAAACAAAUAGAUCAACAUCAUAUAUAAUAAGGGAUAAUUUCUUAAUCCAUAAGCCAAACUUGGAUCUUACUGAAGAAGAAAGCUGAGAUACAGGACGAAAACUUACCAGCAGAUGGUAAAUACAUAUAUAGCUUCUCACCAUUCUAAUAUUACUAUGGAUCACCAAUGCAUAUACAUUAAGAACACAAGUUGAUACUACUUAUAAUAAUUGCAUCCACAAAAUGAACAGCAAAACAGCUUCACCAGCAUUCAAAGCCUUGCCUCUCCUCCCUUCUACUCACUUGUUCUCUAACACUUCUUUCACUACAUCGAUGCUGCAAGUCGGGUCAGGGAUCUUUUGCUUAUGUUGAUACAGAUCAAAUGGCCUCAGAUUUGCUAGUAGGAACCCAAGAAACUUGGAAUGGUUGCUAAGUGUGCAGUGCCAUGAAUAAAUUCUGCUUGCAAGCAUGCUCCGGAAUAAGUUUCUUGACAACUUCAGGAGGGAUACCAGAGAGCUCUGCCGUUUAAGAGGAAAAAGAGAGCAAGAGGUUAAGACCACUCAGCAGGUUGGAAAGUCAUCAGGAUAUGAUUAACCAAUUGAACAACGUAGUUACUAGAUAGAUUUUAUCAUAGUUCUUUUUUUUUCUUUUAUGCUAUGAUGAUUUGUCAAUGAGAUUUCUCAGCAAAAUAAUGCAACAACGCAUCUAAAUGACAUAAGAUGCUAAGUGUAUUUAAGUACCAAGCGGAACUGACCUUGAGGCUUGAAAUUGAAGAGUGGUGGUAGCGGACGGCCGUUGGGAAGGCGAACAUUUGGGUCCCUCAAUUCAUCAAAGAAAGGGUGAAUGCAAGCCUCCAACUAAAGAAGUACCAUUACAAGGAGAUACACAUGGAAACGGGAGAAGAAGAGGCUGAUUAUUGAAUUAUAUUUUUACCAUUACUUAUCAAGGAAGCAAACUUAAGAAUGUCACACUUACAGCAGUGCAUCGCAAAUUAGGAGAGUACUGAAAAAACCUACAGACAAGGUCUACUGCUUCUGGAGGUAAACGCUUUUGGAAGACCUGUUGCAAAAAUGUAAUAUGAAUUUUGAAAAAGAAAAUAUUAUGACAAAGGCACAAAAAAUGGAGAAGAAAAAAGAACAUGCAUAUACCUUGUGCCAUGGAUGUGGUUUUAUCUGGGGAAACUUGAAUUCGGUGUAGUUUGGGUUCAUGCACUUGAUCUCCUCCCUUGUUGGAGUCCCCAAAACCUAAACAACAAUUGAAAAUAUAUAGAAGCUUUCUUAGGGCCAUCCAAAAGGCACCAACCAAAUAGUUAUGGUGCAGACUGUAUCUGGCAGUACUUUUAACAUAUUCAAAUCCCCAAAUACUGAAUUUAUUUGGUUCAACAUUUUUUUUCUCUAUUCAUCAAAAGGAAGAGUGACACCAUAGAAACUCAUUUCUAACUUCUGUGAAACAUGUCAACUUAUAUUCGGAGUUUAUAAACCAACCCAAGAGUACAUUUAGUUUCAUUCUUAACUGAGUUUAAGAAAAAGUUAGUCUACACUGAUUAUAAAAGUUUAUGGUUUAUUUUAUUAGUAUCCUUUUGGUCAAUCUAUAAUCUGAGAGUUGUGUUGGGAUGUCAUAAACUUCAACUGAUUUGUCCAAUUCUAGCCAAUGGUCAAAAUUAACAGAUUAAUCAUGCCUCAAGAGCAUAUACUCCAAAAAAUUUAUGAGAAUUGGUAGAAGCAAUCACCUUAAUGAUUUCAACUAAUUGGUCGACCCCGCUCUCACCAGGAAACAGUGGCUGCAUGGAAGUUAGAAGUCAGAAACAACUGACUUAUUAAACCAACAGUAACUUAUAACAGUAUUCUGAUUAUACAAACCUGUCCAAGAAGCAACUCAGCCAUCACACAACCAGUGGACCAUAUAUCUAUAGCAGUUGUGUACUCAGUAGCACCAAAUAUGAGUUCAGGAGCACGAUAAUAUCUCGAGCAGAUGUAAGAAACAUUCGGCUCUCCCUUUACCUGAAAAGGUUGGAAAGGAACCAUGCUGAGGUGAUGAAAACAGAACCGGCCACAAAAAUUACUAUUGUAUCAAGCUUACCAGCAUUUUAGCACUCCCAAAAUCACAAAUUUUCAGCUGAUGUGUAUGUGGAUUCACCUGGGCAUGAACCAUAGCAGUUCUCAUCAAAUGGAGGACAAUUUGAAACCAAAUAUGAAGCCAGUUUAACAUUUUCUUUUUUCCUCAUAUAAAAAGAAAAAACUAAUAAAUCCUGAAGCUACCUAAUUUAUAUCAGGGUAGCUCCACAUAACUACUAUAUGUCUAGCAAAGAUAAAAAGAAUGAAGCCAAUAAUUCAAAUGUCUUUUUAAGGUCAAGAGACUUUACCACCAAGAGUAACAAACAAUACAUUUAUGAGCAAAGAGUACACUAUUACAUGAAAAAUAUCUCUUUCUGCGGCAAAUACAUGAUUCCUGAGAAGAAGAGUCUUACAAGUAAGUUUUGAGGUUUAAUAUCACGGUGACAUAUACCAAUGCAGUUGUGUAUAUAGGCAAGUGCUCUGCAAAUCUGCAAGCCAAAAGAAGACAAUUAACUACAGCUUUCUUCUAUUCAAUUAAAAUCUUUUUGCAUAUAAACUAGACAGAAGAAAGGUAUAAAGAAAAGCAAAUUUAUCUCAAAAGAAAUUAAAAUAUUUGACCAACCUUAUGGGAAAGCAAUAGUUUGAAUUUAAAAUUGAAGGAUGACUUCUCAUUAUAUUACCAUAUGAGAUAAUAACAAUACCGGAGAAGUUAGACCACAAAUCAUUUUUCAAACAAUUUUGAACUACCCAAUUACCUAAGAAACAUAUUCCAACUCCAUCAGUCCAUAAAUCAACAAAACAUAUAAGGAUAUGCUUCCAUAAAACAGGGACGCACCUGAUAGGUAUAGAGUUUAACAUAUAUUAAAGGCAUUCGCGUGUUGAUCCGGCUGUAGCUUCUUGCUGUGCGAUUAACAGUCUCAGGAACAUACUCAAGAACAAGAUUGAGGUAGAGUUCCUCCUUGUCUGUUUUUGAGAAAAAAUAAUGCUUAAGGGAAACUAUAUUUGGAUGGUCCAGCAUUUGCAUAAUCUGUAACUCCCUGUUCUUGUAACGCUUGUCUUGUAGAACCUUCUUGAUGGCAACAAUUUCUCCAGUUUCACGACAUUUUGCCUGCAGCAAUCAGCCGACUCACUUCAAGGUUAUAAUCUAUUUGCAUAAAGUCAAGAACAUAUACAGACAGGAGUAUAAUAGUACAUACUUGGAAAACAACACCAAAAGAACCAGUUCCAACCACGUGCUCAGCAAUAUAACUGACAUUCUGUCAAUCAAAACAAAAAGUAAAAUAAUGCGUGUCAGUAACAAAACCAAAUAAAUUGAAUUUCAAAAGAAAAUUUGCAAGCUAAUUCAUUUUUCUUCCAACCUGCUUUGAAUGACCAUUUCGGCCACCAAUGGUUGUUCUAAUCACAUGCCCUGUUUCAGCACCCACUCCAUCAACUACAUCAGGUUCACUAUCCUGCAUGGACAACAAAAGGGGUCACUUACAAAGUAUAAAAGCAUUUUGCAAAGAUUGUGAACUUCUACUUAAGGUUUCAACAGGCAAACUACCAUAUUUUCAAUUAGAUAUUUUGGCACGUCCAAUCCCCCACCCCAACCCCUCUCUAUAUAUAAAUUGAGCUGCUUACUCUGUCUUCGUCAUGGUCCACUUUGUCUCUCAAUCUCAUUUCAAGCAUUUCUCUCCCCAGCCAAUCAACAGAACUAGAAGAACUUUUGAAACUGUUGACAGACCUUGAACUACCUGCUCCACCAUUUCCUAGGCUUGCAGAAGCCAUAAUUCAGCCAGGAAACCUUAAUAGAUUCUCUAGUAUUUGCUAUCCACCAUAUACUCUGCAGUGCAGCUGCCCAUCCCGUCCAAGCACCAAUCUUCCUAACAGAUUCCCGAAAUUAAGAGUCAGAAACCUUAACAAAGAUAAAUAUAGAAUGAUUAGUUAACAUAAAUGGCCACCAACUGAGAUAAAAAGAUCUGAUAAGAAGAAAAAGAAAUGCAUCAAGAAAAUAGCUUCCUAGACAACAUCACAAGAAUAAACUCCUCAAAUAGAAACAAUUAUAUGCUUCUAGCAGAGGUGAACUUAAUCGUUUACAUAUUAGAACAAAUAACAACAAGAUAGAUAAAAUGGAAUAUUGAAAACAUGUUGGAAUUAAAAUUAUCAGUUCUUUGCGUAGGAUAUAAUUUUAGGAAUUUGUGUCAAAAGAAAUGCAACGAAACAAGGAAACUGGGAAACAAAGAAGAAAUAUAUUCUCAGUCAAGAAACGAACUGUUAAGACAAACAGACCAGAGCUUGACUUCAAAAUAGUGAGAUCAGCUAUAUAAAUUCAUUUCCAUGUAAAAGUUAAAGUCUAAUGUCGUACUCUCUGAAAGAUGCCCUAGAUUUACUGUUUUGCUUAAUCUUCAGUCAAUUAUUUUACCUUAAAAAAUGAACCUUCUUUCUAUUAAAAAAAAGCUUACUUCUUAGCAAUUAGUUUCCAUAAAAUAAUCAUUGUGAUCUCAAAAUAAUGUAAAAGAAAAAUCGAGGACAAAAUAGUAACAAAAUUAGCAAAAAGUGAAGAAAAUUUCACAGUGACUCACAAUCACAACGUGAAAUCAUCCGUCUAACUGGUAACGAGCUUCGAUCAGAUCCAACCCUAAUCUAACCAGUCGAAACACAAGAAACCACACCUAUGUCCACUCUAAGGACAAAUUUAUAGAAGAAAAUCCUUAAAAAAGCACUUCUGCUUAUAAUUAAACCUAAACUAUUUAUAGAAGAAAUUUUAUAGAAGAAAAUCCUUAAAAAAGCACUUCUGCUUAUAAUUAAACCUAAACUAUUUCACUUUAAAAAAAAAACAGAUCGUGAAAACAUUGUUAGCGUUUCGGAUACUUACUGGGAAGAGUUGGAAAUGAAACUUGGAACAGAUCAAGCGCAUCUUUCUCUUCCAAUCUCCGGCGUCCACUUACGAAUUCAAAGCAGCUCUUGCAAAAAAAAAAAAAAAGGAAACUAAGAACAGUUUCUGAUCUGAUCAAGUAUUCUAUUUUCUUGAUUUUCCUUUUUUUUAUUUUUUGUAAUUUACAUUUUUCUAUGUUCUUUUGAGUGGAGAGAGAGAUGGGGAUAUAUAUAUGGAGAGAGAAAGUGAAUGUUUGGAGUUUUAUGGAUGUUUUUGGGAAUGAAAUUGAGAACUGAAAAUUACCUGACAACCUUCAUUUAACCUAAUAAUUAUAAUCAUCAUUGCUAUUCUUUUAAACAAAUCCCUUCACUGUUGCUUCUAUUCCGCUUCCAUUCAUUCUAAAUUAUUUUUUGUUAAUCAGUUUAAAUCAACUUCUUCAAUCCCUCAGAAUAUAUUUGUUUUCCCUUUUCAAACUACAUAACCACGUAAAUUUAUACCUAAUUUAAAAUAACAUUUUAUCCCUAACGAAUCCAACAUUAUUAUCCAAUUUAAUUACAAAUUUCAUUCGUCCAACCCUACAAAAAUUGGAAAUUUAUUUUUUUAUAUUUUAAUUUAUUAGUUUUUUUUAAGUAGUGAUUUAAUAGCAAAUUUUAAAAGUAUUAUCCAAUUACAUUAAAUCUUCAAUUUUUAUAAAGUAGAGAGGUAGAAAUUUAGAAUCUGACGUGUGCCUAAUUACUUUACCAGUUCAAUUAUUUUGAUUUGGAAUAAAAAUAAGAAUAAUCAUAUAUUACGCCACCUAUUUCUUUAACUAAUUUUGUUUAUUUCUUACUCUUCAUAUUAUAUAUAAUUAAUCAUAAUACAACUUUUAUUUGUUUAAAACGACGAGGAGAAUUGUUAGUGAAGCUUUUUGCAUUGUUGAUCAAAGCUUAGUAUCUACAAUUUUCUUUUAUUUUAGAGGACGAGAUAAGAUUAAAAGAAUUGGAGGCAUCAAAGUGUUAAAUUGACUUUUUGAAGGCCAAAUUUUCAUUUAAUUAAGGGUAAACUACACCCAUGGCCACUUUUGUUUACCUUAGGUUACAUUUUAGUCACUUAUGUUUGAAAUGUUACGUUUUAGUCACUUACGUUAUUGUGUUGUAACAUUUUAGUCACUGAGCCGUUAAUUGUCGUUAAUGGUGUAAUGGUAAGCUGACGUGGCACGUUAAAUUAUCAUUUAAAACAAAAAAUUUAGGUUAAAUUAUACAAUUGGUCCCCAUAAUUUUUCGUUUUGAGCAAUUUAAUUCUUUUAUGUUCUUUUAACUUUCAUUCUUUAUUUUCUUUAUUUUCCAUUCUCUUCUGUUUCUCUCUCUGUUUUCCUACCUUCUUUAUUUAUUUUAACAUACCAGGAAGUCGAAUUGGUAGUGAAGAAAGAAGCAUGGUAUGGGUUUAUGGGUUUUGGUUAUAGGGUUUUGGUUAUAGGCAAAUGAUGAUAGUCGACUUCCUACUUCUUUUUUCACUGCCAAUUCGACUUCUUAAUAUGUUAAAAGAAAUGGGAAAGAUAUGAAAACUGAGGGAGAAACAAAAGAGAAUGGAAAAAAAGAGGAAAGUUUAAAGAACAUAAAAUAAAAAAAAUUAAAUUACUUAAAACGAAAAAAAUAUGGGGACCAAUUGUAUAAUUUAACCUAAAAUUUUGUUUGAAAUGAUGAUUUAACGUGCCACGUCAGCUUACCGUUACACCAUUAACGACGAUAUGGCUCAGUGACUAAAAUGUUACAACAUGAUAACGUAAAUGACUAAAACAUGACAUUUCAAACAUAAGUGACUAAAACAUAACCUAAGGUAAACAAAAGUGACCAUGGGUGUAGUUUACCCUUUAAUUAAAGAGCUACAAGAAAUUUAAUUAAAAUAUCAAAUUCAAGAAGGUUUGAAAAGGCAAUUAUACCAUUACCUGCUUCCAUUGGUUAACCCAGUUAUCAUGCGAUUCUUAAUUCGUUUAUAUUUCAUAUAUGAUAAUGUUAUACUUGUGAUUGUAUUGAAUUUGAAUGAGAAUUAGGAAGAAUUCCAUGCAGUUGUUAUAGAUAACUGGAUGGUAAAUCUGAUUUAUUAUUAUAGACUGGAAAUUAUCAAAUCAUAUACCUUCUGAAUUUAAAAUUAGUUGAUAUGAUUAAAAUUUGCUAUAAUAAACUCAAAUCAGUGCUUAUAUAAUUGUUUUUUUUUUUAAAAAUUCGUAAGAUAUUGCAUAAAAUGAUAAAAACAGGAAAGGAGAGUAGCCAAGGCCCAAGUGUCAUAGUCAUGGGUAAGAAAGGGCAAUUAUAUAAAUGUCGAGUUAAGGUGUCCUCCUCCUCCACUGCACAAGCAUAUAUACAUACCCUCUGUAACGAUAUAAAAGUGGUUUGUUUAUCUAUAAGAAAAAGAAAGAAAAGAAAAACACUAGUUAUGGUCCACUACCUAAUUAAAGAAAAAGAGUAUACUUAUGGACAUGUUCUGCCCCAACUUGUCUCUAAAAUUCUAUCUAAUUUACAUCUCUCUCUUUUUUAUUUUCUAAAAUUAUUUCAUUUUUAGAUAUACGAACGUUGAAUGAUCCAGAUCCAACAAAACAUGAUCUAAAAAAGGAACAGUAUUCUGAGGAGUCAUUCUGGACUCCUCUGAUAGUGCAUGAGUACGAAGGGUAACCUCUAAACCUAACAAUCUAUGAAUGUACUACUAAAUUUACAUAAUAGAGAAAUGUGGCGCUCGUUUCGCUUCAAAGGAUACUCGUCUUUUUUGUUGAAAUACCUUAUACAAAUUCUUGUUUUUUUACUAUUAUUAUUAUUUUGCCAGAAAGUAUAAUUUAUUCGAAGGAGAAACACUUGUCCAAUUUUCAACCAGCACUUUAUUAAGAGAAAAAGAAAAGAAAGAAAUCUCGUUGGGCAAUCACAUCAAAUGGCAUCAUCAAUUUGAGUAACAAGGGAGGUGGGUUCCCAACGACAUUUAAAUUUACCAUAUUCCUCCAAAACACUCAAAAAGUAUCAACGAAGUCAAAGAAAUAAAGAUCCAAAACAAGCUGCGAAGGAGGGUGACUUUCCUUCUCUUGCACAAAACCCACCUGAAAACUUGUGGGGCUGGCUGGCUGCCUUUUAUACACAAAGUGCUAACCCUAAACUAAAGUCCAGCAAACAAGACCACACCGCUGCAUUUAUAUUUACAGUUCCAGUUGAGUCCUCAACUGGAUAAUAUCUGCAGGGACCAAGAAAACAGUGGUAUCGUGUGAUUAGAAAAUCAUAACCUUCUUCUAUUCUCAACCAUCUUUCACAAAGAUGGAGAUUUCUUCACCCUCCCGUGUGUUAAUUACAGUGAUACCAUCUGCAACCUCUGUAGGUCACCCAACCUUCUGCGAUAAGAUCAUGGGUACCAAGACAGCCUACAGCAAUUGCAACUGCAUGCUCAAAAUUCAAGUGACCAUGCACUCUGCUGCAUAAAUAAUGAUACAAAGUGAGAAUGACUACAAUACCUUGAAAUAAAAAUAAAUGUAUGUUGCAUCCGACAACACAAAUGAAAUAGUAUGAACCAUGCAAUGAGGCAACACCCUACCUACACUGGAAUUUUCUUUCAUGUCGCACUCCUCAAGACAACAAUCCAAUUCAAUAAACCAAUUUGUUUCACAGCCACGACAAACAAAUUUUACUCGGAUGGAUGAAUUCAAGCAGAUUUUAAUAUUCCAUACUCUAGAUGAGAUUUAUGAUCAAUGUCUCAUUCAUAAUAUAUUAUCAGUAACACAGAUUAACAUUUCAAGGCACGGCUUCCGAACUUUUUCUUUUACAUCACCACUUUUCAUAAUUUGUAAAACUUCCGUCGAGAUUCUUGUGUUUUGUUUGACAAAAGAAUUAAUCACAAGCUAAUAACAGGAACACACUAAUGGUUGCAUUAGACCAACUUCAAACAAGUUAGCUAUGGUUUGACAGAUGUUUCGAGUCUUAAGCUAACUUGGCAACCACCUAACUAAUUCAAGGUGAACAUUUGAGGCAUUACCUGGCAAAAGGUUUAGACCUUCAACUAGACUCAAAAAAACAGACUGAUUAUGAUCUAACUGGCCAUUCCCUGAAUUUCAAUACAGCACUCCAACAGGCUGAGAAAUCAGUCCAACUACAUACUUCCUUUACAAGAACAAAUAGUUCACAUCAUGCUCUAAAAUGCGUAACUUUCAAGCUGGUAAAAAAGUGGCCAACAAAUUCAAAUCAUUACAAUAAAUGCGUUCACAAUAAUUAAGUGCUUACCAUUUUAAAAAUUCACUAAGAACCUGAACUAGAUUUCUGUACCCAGACUUGUUUCUGCAAAUUUGGAGAAUAAACAUUAACAGAAUAACACUAUUAAACAUAUCAGAUAUUACAGCACAAAUAUAAUCACCUCAUGAGAACCAUAGGCAGAAGCAUUGCCUCUCUUCCCUGGUUUCCCAUCACUCACAACAGAUGAUCCAUCAGCAACUGCUCCGCAUCGGCUACCAUGUUUAGAGGACCCUGCAUAAAUUUACAAGAAAUAUUGAUGAAAUGCAAACAAACACAAAACAGACAGUUAAUCAGCUUCCGAACACAAAGCUAACCACCAUCAAAAGAACUGUUACGUCCACUUCUGACAGUUUUAGGUUGCAUGCUCCGAACAUUAGAUAAAUCAACUUUAGUAUCACCAUAAGCCCCUGCCAAUUGUAUAUGGAAAAAGAAACAUCAAGUUCUCCCUAAGGAAAAUUAUGUUUUAUGCAGUUCUGGUUUGCUGCUGCUACUCACAGAGCACAUAAUGCAAAAUCCCAAGUGCAAACAUAUGCAAGUUCAAUGUGUCAUGAUAGCAAUCAACUACAUUUAGUAGAAAAUCCCCAGGAUAAUGAUUAUCCCAAGUAACAAUAAAAGCUGAGAUUUAACAUACCUUCUGAAGAAUCUAAAGGCAUCUGUGCAGAUUGAGAAGCAGAUGAUGACAAGGACUCAUCACUUGCAUAUGAUCCAUCAGAACGGCGAAGGGUCCAUACACCACGGUCUGGCCUGUCUUUGUUUCUCCUACGCCUCUCUGGCUUCUCACUACCAUGCAAGUCACUCCCGACCUUAUCGUCUGAACUGUUAGUAUCCUUCAACAUUAAUUGUGCAUGUGAAUGCCGAGAAGGUCGUCUGUCCUUUUCCAAAUUUGGGGCCUGAAGCUGCUGCUCUGACUGGACCCGAGAAGACUGACGAGCAUCCUUGUUUAAAAGUACACCUCUGAUAAUUCUGCCUUCACACCCAACAUUUUGUUUGAUAGGAGUUGAGCCAAGUAUUUUUGUAAUUGGCGAUGCAAUAUCCUGUUGACGUAACAUGCUUCCAGCCACCUGUGCAAAGAAUUAUAAUCAUAAGGAAUGCAAAAUCGCAAAACAUGGUGAUUGAGAACUAUAAUUCCUUCCAGUAUCCAUGUGAAAACAACAAUCUUAUUAGCAACAAUAUCACAUAUAGAAUGAGAGUAGCAUUGUUCCUUUCUCCCCCAAUUUAACCUACCCCCCCCCCAACCAAAAAAUAAUAAUAAAAUAAAAUCCUUACCCAUUCCCCAAGUAUGCAUAAAUGCACUCUAGAACAUGACAAAAAAGGAACAAGAGGCUCACAUGAGAAAAUUCUCUCUCUUUCCCUUUAAGGAGCAGAACUUUCUUUUUACCAGCAUCAGUAAUUCCAGAAACUCCUGGAAAAACAAGAAUGAGAAAUUUAAACUGGAAACAUGAAACAUGAGAAUGCAACCACAAAAUGAAAAUUUCUGACUGAUUACAAUGCCAAAUAAAACAUACAUAAAGCAAAGAAUAAUAGCUCACUAAACAAAGGAAAAUUAGAAUAAUAUAUAUUAGGCAUUUAUCCAUUAUCACCCAUACCACUUUCCUCUUCAGAUAUUUGAGUUCCCACAGGUGUAGCUAAGGUAGCAUGCUUAUCAGAAAGUUGCUUAUCAUCCCUUUUGGAAACCAGAAUGUAAGCGGACUUGUCUUUGCCACUUGCAUUUUUCAAGCUAUCCCUUAGAACAUACUGCCACCAAAAGGACAAGGAAUUAAUGAUAAAGAAACUUCCAAUAUCCGACCAGGAAAUCCAUCAAAACAACUAGAUUUAUUAUUAAAAGGGGGAAAAAAUCAAAAGCAAAAGUAUCGGUAAAUACCCAAAUCUACACAUCUUUACAACAUGAAAUUACAACUCCAUUACUAUUCAAGAGAGAAAGAUAUCAACUCAAAAAAUAUUAUAUAGUUUUUCCCUAAAUUAACCAAAUAUACACAUACCACCGUAGUACUACCCCUUCGCUUUUCAGAACCUCUUCUGGAUGAUGCUGAACUUGGACUCCCACCAGAUAACCCACCAGCUCUUUUGCUCACUUUCCCAUUAGACAGUGACCUCUGUGAUAAAAACACUAUUAGAACCAGUAAGUUGCAUAUGAUGAAUUGCUGGCACAAAUAGCUCACAGAAAAGCACUGAAAGAAAAUCAGAAACAAAUUAAAAGCAUAAAUAAAAGGUCCGAACUUCGACAAGUCUGAGAUUCAGGCUCUGUAAUUAAAAAAGUUAAAAAUGAAAUCCUCAUACUUUUUAGAUUUAAAAAUUCAAGUCUAUUUGGGGAAACCGUUAGCAUUUUCUAUCAAAAUUUGCUUGCUAUCAAAUAUGCUUCUGAAUUUUGUAGGGUUGUAUGAGUGUAUUGAUGGUAAAUUUUGAAGGAAGUCAACAAUUGGACCACAAUUUGACAUCUAAAAAUAGAUUUAUUCUUAAAAUUUUGAAGUAUAGGGACUAAAUCUCAAACUCCAUUCAAGUAAAGGGACUAGCGGCAUAUUUUGACCUGAAUAACAUAAAAUAAAACCAGGAAAGGAAAAGUUGGGGAAAAAAAAAGACAGCUUACUUCAGUCCAUUUAUCAAUAAGUCAAAAGGAUGGAGGAGAAAAGUAUUGAAAUCCUUGGAUAACAUUUUAUCGUUCUUCAGUAAUGAUGUCAAUGAUUGAUUUUAAGAUCGUAUUUCGCUAUCAAAUCACACUAUAGUGAACGAAAGAAAAGCCUAUUUGACUGUAAAGGCAAAGCUUGGUAAGAAAAACACCAAAUUAUAGCAAACACAACACAGCUCCUAACUUUUGUCAACUAUAAUAGGGUUGCAAAUAUUACCCGAGAUGCACCCUUAGCAGCUCUUUUCUGUCUAACAAAAUCCAUUAAAGGUGUAACUAUCGGACUAUCCUUUGAUACACCUGAAAAAAGCCAUUGUGGCAUAACAGAAAAAUAGCAAUACAUAAAGAUAAUUUUUAGUCAGUCAAUAUAACUACAAAAACUUUCUUCUUGUUUUUCCAAAAGGAUCAAAAUAACAACUUCAGAGAUAUGAAUAAGAUUCAUCCAACUAACCAGCUCUUUCUGCCUCCCUUCUCUCUAAUUGCAUCUCGGCACUAGGAAGAUUCUCAACUGGCUUUGCAAGGAAUUCAAGGAACUCCAAAUACUCAGGAUCUAGAUGUUUAUCAAGAAAAACUUGAAUUCAUGAAGAGGAAAAUAGUGGCAUAGAUAAGCUUUCACAAAUUCCACUUCUUUUCAAUUAUGAUUAAAUAAAAUCAGCUUAUUACCUUUGGAUAUGGUCCCUUCACGACCAUCCUUAUCAGAGAACUGCUUUGGAACACGUUGAGAAGGUGCAUACUCAACAACAGCUUUGAACUGAGCCCCUGAAAAAGAGAACAGAUAUUUUACUUUGAAAUCUACAUGUAGAAUCACUUUAUUGCAAAUAGAGGCUAAGAUAAACGGGGUAUUAAAGAAAAUGAGAUAUUCUACAUAAGCUUGUCAAAAAUAUCUUUUCCAUUAAGCAAUCAAGGUGCUCUAACAUCCCCAAACAACUCGUAGUUUUCUGAGGUGUGGAUUAAAGACAGAUUCAGAUCAUAUGCCUAUUUGAGGCUUAAAAGAGGAUUAAGUUUCACCCUGCUGCAAUAAAAACUAAAAUAGUAUAGCUUAUAACAAAUGAAAGCUACACUACAUCAAUUUCUAAGAAGUUAAAGGUUCAAGAAGCAUACCCUUCUCACUAACAAAUACAUGACCAUUAAAGAACUCUGCAAACUCUAAAACAUCCUCUGGCCUCUUGAAGUCCACGUAUGCUCUUGAAUAAGACAAAUUCUUCUGACUACAAAUAAUUUUGAAAAGUAAAACCAUAAUAAGAUAAUCUUUUGCUGUAAGCAACCCCUAGAAUUUCCGUUAUGAAAAAAAUACAACGUGAUAAUGCAAGACCAGCUGGAUUAAUUAGCCUCUCAGCAGUAUCUAAACGAUUUAUUCAUAUUUGAUCGGAAGAAUCAAGAACAUGGCAAAAACUAGUACAAGACAAGAUAAACACUCCUACUAAAGAAAGGCACUGAGACUCUGAGUAAGCAAAGCAAGGCCAAACAUGUCCCUUUACAAGAGACCCGCAAUUAACCCCACAAUGGCAUAAUCUCCACAUAAGACACAUUGGAUAUAUAUAUAUAUAUAUAGAAUCAACCUUUAUGAGGGCUGAAAGCAGUAAUUUACUGAAAAUGUAAAGGAAAACACCCAUGCAAUUCACUAAAGGAAAAUACGGCCAAAGUUAAAGAAAUAGAGACCGAGAGGGACUCCAUUAACAAAAAGAAAAAAUAAGGAUAAGAAAAUACUAAAAAAGUCCAAUGAAGAAUAUGAUCCAACCCACCCCCAAAAAAAAAAAAAACGAAAGAAAGAAAGGACAACCUACUCUUCCCGGGACGAAAGGAGAGCCAGUUGUAACGGCCAGAAAAGGCACUAUCGACUUGUUCGAGAAGCAUGGACUCCGUGAUGGACGGAGGUAAGUGGCGGAGAAUCACCUUGGUUCGAUCUAAAGUCCCCUUCAUGCCUUCAAAAAACCUAACCCUAAAAAUCACAAACCACAACAAAAUCCCCCUCAAAAACCCUUUAACGAGUUUGAAAUUUAAGAAGGAAAAAACGCGAGUGUCGCUGUGAGAUCACAUCUUCAAUGAACGGAAUUGGGAAUCGACCGAUUAGCACAUCGGAGCCCUAAUUUUUGCGAUUUGAAGCCCAAAUCGCCAUGCAGGAGUGCUUAACACUAAAUGAAGAAACAUAAUAAAAAAAGGAUUCCUAGGAAGAACUUGUAAAUUCUUUAUUUAUAAUUUAUGAUAUUUCGGUUAUGUCUUCAUUCUAUUUUAGGCUAUUUUAGUUUCAUUCUUUUUAUUUUAUUUUAAAAAGUGCCCGGACUUUUGAGUAAAAUUGAUAUAUAUAUAUGGUUUUUAGAAAACAAUUAGGGAUGAUUUUUUUAUAUUUAGGGUAAAAAAGUUCAUAAUUUUUUUUUCCAAACGAUUAAUUUAUUUGGUGCAUAAAUUUAAGCAAUUGUUUUCCUUUUGCAUCCAGAUCUUAUUCUCUUAUUUUCUCAUUUGAUUCAUUUUAUCCUUUCUCAAUUUUUCAUUCAAUUUCUCUUAAUUUUAUAUUUCGUCAUUUUUUUUUUUGUUUUUAACUGAUUUUUAUAAUAACAAUUCCGUAUAUUUAUCUCUAUAACAAUUACAUUUCCGACAUCCAAUUGUAAAUAGUAAAAAAAUAUUAUUAAAAUUUUUAAUUUUAAUUAAGUUUAUUAAUAAGUUGUUAACAUUAUUAAUUUUAUAAUUUUUUUAUGUUUAUAUAAUCAAGCCAAAGAUCGAAUUUCAGAUACAUACACAAUUUAAUUGUUCGUGCUAUUGAAUAACACUUGCAAGAGGGGAGAUUUUUGCACAUGUCUCGUAUGCUCGAGGGGACUAAAUUAGAUCCCACAUUUAUCAGCGCUUUGGCGGAAAGAUGAAGACUUAAGACACACACAUUUCAUCUUCCGUGCAGCGAAUGUACAAUUACACAAGGACGUAGCUUUACAACUCAGUUUACUAUUGGAUGGGUCAGUCAUUACAAGGGCAGUGGUCGUUGGCAAUUGGAGCGCAAUUUGCGACCAACUAUUAGAUAAGGUGUCGGACAAGUUUUUUGGUAGUCGGAUAGAGAUGAAGUGGUUGGAAGAAAAUUUCAAUUAUGUUGACAACUCCGCGAGUGCCAUUUGAAAGGGAACAAUAUGCCCAAGCAUUCAUCUUGAGGUUAAUCGGAGGUCUUUUAAUGUCUGAUAAAUCUCGAAAUCUAGUACAUUUAAUGUGGCUACUACAACUUAUUGACUUGCAAGAAGCGGGGUGACUUAAUUAGGGAUCAGCUAUAUUGACCAUAUUGUAACAAGAGAUGUGUCAGGCGACGCAACCACAAAAAAUUAAAAUUGGUGGUUGCAUACUCAUUCUGUUGUCAUGGACAUGGUAUUGACUAUCAUUUUUACGUCAUUGAGUGAACACCUAUUAUUCUUUCCCACUCGUAAUAAGGUAAAAUUCAUUUGAUAAUAUAGUUAUCAUAAUAUUUUUCAUUAUUAUAUUUUUGAAAUAACAUAUUAUUUAAAUAGGUAGAAUAAUAAGGCGAGUCAUGUGAGCAUAAUGAACGAGCUCAAAGAUAUCCAACUACUGUUAGAUCAACAAUCAGAAGCCGAACUUAGUUUUUGAAAUUUUAAAUUAUAUAAUAUUUAUGUAAGGAUUUAAAAUUUAAUAUUCGAUAAAUAAUAAAAUUUAGGCUUAAGGGUGUAAAAAGCCCGUAAACUUCUUCAAAAAAACAAUUAAGCUCAUUUUUUUUCACUCAAUUAGGUACUUGAACUUUCAAAAUGCAUCAAAAAGACCCUCAAUAUUUUUCAAAAAAGCAAUUAUGUCUCUGCUCUUAUUAAAAUUAGAAAAAAAAUUAAUAAUAAAUAAUAAACUUUAGAAAAAAUUAUUAAAUUUUAAUAAAAAUAUAAAAUAAAAUAAAUUUAUUAAAUAUUAGAUUUUUAAAAAAAAUUGUAAAAAAAUUAAAAAAUUUUAAAAUUUUAUAAAAAUCAUAAAAAUUUAACGACCCCUAGUUUUUUUAAUUAAAGUCAUUACGUAUCGCAACACAACUAGAGGUGUUCAUGGGCCGGGUCGGGCCCAAUCAAAGUUUUAGGUCUAUUUGCUAGGCCCGACUCGAAAAAUGAAUCUAAAAUUUUGCCCAAGCCCAGCCCGGAUAAAAAUGAUAAAAACCGGGCCCAACCUAUAUUAUUUUUUAUAUGAUUUUUUAUUAUAAAUUUUUAAAAUAUAUAUAAUACAUCAAAAAACUAAAAACAUUAAAAUAAAUGUUUCCUAACAAAUUGAAAAUAUUUUUUAAAAAAAUAUGUGUACUUAAAUAACACUAUAUGUGCAAGUUAACAAGCAAUUGCCUCUAAAAUAAUAACAAAAUUAACAAUAAAAUAAGAGUUAUAUAAUAUCCAAACAAUAACAAUAAAAUAGUACCAACAUAAUAGUGAAUAGGUAGCAAAAUAGUGAAAAAAAUAACAAGAAUAUAGUAAAAAAAACAGCAAGGAAAAGCAGCAGUUUUUUUUUUUUGCAUAUUCGAGCCGGGAUGAGCCCGGGCCAAAAAAGCCUUACCCGAGGCCCAACCCGUUUUCUAAAACGAGCUUUAUUUUUUUCCCAAACCCAUUUUUCGAGUCUAUAUUUUUACCCAAACCCUCCCACUUUUCAGGCUGGCCUUCGAGCCGGGUCGAGUGACCUGACCCAUGGACAGGUCUAAACACAGCGUGAUAUAUGGCGAAAAAUGAUAAAAAAAUAAAAAUUAAUAAAAGUUAUAGAAAAAUUAUAAAAUGCUUCUUUUGAUACGAUAAUUUUUAUAAAAAAUUUUACGAAAUUUAUAUUCUUUACAUUUUAUAAUUUUUUACAAUUUUUAUAAUUUUUUCUAAUUUUUAAUAAAUUUUUAAUAAUUGAAUUUUUUUAUUAAAAUUUAAUAAUAUUUAUAGCUUUUAUUGAUUUUAUUUUUUAUAAAUUUUUUUCUAAUUUUUAAUAAAAGCAUGGGCUUAAUUGCUUUUUUUUGAAAAGGUUUGAGGGUCUUUUUGAUGCAUUUUGAAAGAUCAAGUGCCUAAUUGAGUGUAAAAAAAAAUAAGGGCUUAAUUUCUUUCUUUUUUUUUAAAGUUUGAGAGCAUUUUUGAUGCAUUUUGAAAGUUCAAGUAUCCAAAUGAGUGCAAAAAAAAGAGCAGGGGCUUAAUUGCUUUUUUUGAAAAUGUUUGAGUGCUUUUUGCACCCUUAAGUCUAAAAUUUACAAUUUCAUACUAUAGUUUGAAUGGAUGUCAUACGUUGAUCCGAGAAUUCAAGAAUGCAUCCCGAUCGAAUUUUUGGUCAACCGCAAUAUCUGGCACGUCAAGGUGCCAUUGAUAUUUUUUGCGACGACAAAGAUGCACGAAUCCGAUCGAGUGCUGCACCAGUUUGGGUUUAGGCAAAGUAUUCCGUCGUCACCCUAAGACAUCAAAGAACUACACAAAGUCAACUUGCGAGAGAGAACCGAUGAAGAUUGGGCAAAAUUCCUUGAAGAAUAUAUCUACAUUUAGGAGAAUAUGUACGAUUUCAUACCUAUAUGCGAAUCAAUUCUCGAAUUGGAAUUGGCGACCUCUAUUGAUUACAUGAUAUGAUUUAGACAUCACGGUAAGCCAUAUCUAUUGCCGAAAGAGAAAAGGACUAGGCAACUCCGUCGUAGGAGGCAAAGACAACCCUACAUGAAUCCUAGGUCGGAAUACAUGCCUUGAUGGAGUUACCAUUAGCUCCAACCCCACACGUGGUACUGAUGAUUGCCCUACCUCCUAGUCAACAUGGUUCAAAUUAUUUCGGUGUUUUCACUAAUCCUAUUUUUUAUACACAAGCACUGUAUCGUAUCAUGUAUCAACACUUUCUGCAGGUGUAUUUUUUACACCAUCUCCAUCCCCAGCACCAUAUGGAGAGUCAAUGCCAGUAACAACAUCAAUGUAUCCGCCAUCUCUGACAAUUCCAACAUUUUAUUCGAAACCAGGUUAUGCGACAUCUUACACUUAUCGACUGAUAGUGUCGCAAACACCCUAGCGUCAUUGUUCUACCAAGGUGGUUCAUCUUUGCAACCACCUGUUACUCGAAAGGACGAUAUACGAGGGCAACCUAGGACGACACGAUGCUCAAGCACGGAGGAACGACGAGAAGAAGAUGAUGAAGAUAGAGCUCGAAGUGAAUAUGAAGAUGAAGAAGGAGUCAAAACCUCAACUACAAAGAAAUCUUAUUCACAACCGGUAUCCAUCGGGUUGUGACACACAUUCAGUCGAUGACAGAUUAUUUUUUAAAAAAAAAUUGUCAGGUAAAUCAUCAUUUACUUUGUUAGCUUUUAAUUUGUAUUGUGUUACUUUUUUCAUGCAUAAUGUACUUAUUCCAAUUAUAUAAAAAAAAAUGUGAUAUGUUGUAUUUUACAUCAAUAAUAUACUUACUUACAGUCUAAGAAAAAAUUAAAAAAUUGGCUAUUGUAUUUUUCAUAUCAGUAGUAUAUAUGACAGCCUCCGGUUGUACCAACGUCCAGAGUAGAAAUCUUGCACAAAAUAUAUGAAGAAGCGGUGUCCAUAAGUAUACGAGUCAGGUUGUAAUAUAGUUACAACGGAGUAGAUGAAUACUACGGGGAUUGUACCCAAGGGAGGCGAAUACUAAAUUAAUUCUAACCUAAGCAUAAAUAGAUCUAAUUAGUACUUUAGAUGAAUUAUAUUACGAUCAAAUAAUAAAUUUAUCAAAUCUGAGCAUGGGUGAUUAGCUUGCUUCGGUAAUCAUAAUCAACUGUUGUUUUAGGUUUUCUUGUUCAAUUAACUAGCUGAUAUCCUAGCAGGAUCUUUCGAUAUUCUACUAGAAUAAUGAGUCGGCAAGAACUACUUAUCUCUUGACCUCACAGUCCAGACUAGUUCAGGGUUAAGGUGUUCACGGAUAGGUCAUACCAAUUUUGGAUUAAUUCCCACCUUAAUGACUUCCUAGGGUCGUCAAACCUAGGGUUUAAGUUAUUCAUUUCCUGAACAACUGAUCCGCUUAAGAGAACCCUACAAAAUAGUUAAUUAAUCAUGCCUCCACUCAUUAAUCCCCCACAAGAUGAUUAGUUCCUCAUGGAUCUCAUAACAAUAUAAACUUGAUAGAAAGAAUAGGCAUGAACAAUAAUUCAAUAAUUAGAAUAGAAUGUUGAAUCCUAAACUACUUAUACAAAUUUCAGUCAACUAUAACUUACUUUAUUACAAAUUUGAAACUAAAAUACAUAAGUAAAUACAACGAGUAAAUACAGAUACAACACAAGGCAAUUAAAUUAUAAUGAUAUCUAAAUUAAAAACCUAAUUUAUUAUAGAUACUUCAAGUGUGGAUUUUUAAGAAGUAUUUUAAUCUUUGAACAUGCCGCCAAGCUUGUUUUGUAUUUAUAAUAUCCUAAUAUGCCCUUUUCUUUGGAGUAAUCCUGGCAUCAUUCCUUCUAGUGCAUACUCAUAAUCAGCCUAAAGCAAAAAUAUAAACUCAUGUAAGCUCAUAAGAACUUAGUGAGAAAAACGUCCUUUACCUGCACAAUGCUUGCACAUUGUUACUGAAGAAUUGUUAAGACUUUCUUAUUAUCCUGGUCUUUCAACUUGUUUCUGGCAAAUAUUUUUCCCAGAAUUUCAUUCUUCAUUCUCUAUGGAUAUCACGCCUUACUCUGAACUCAUUACUUACCCAUCAACACCUUCGAUACGCCACUUACCUCUUUCAAGAUGAUCUUUCAUAAGUCUUUACUCAUUUCCUUUACAGAGAUCUAUAUGACCGAAACACCGUUACUCUUGUAUUCGUAACUUUAAGCCAUCGUUUCACCACAAUUCAUGUUUGAUCACAUAUACAGAUAACAGGUGCCUUCAGAUAUACGAUUAGAAAAACCCUUAUUUAAAAUAUGCUUCUUUUAUGUUUACUCAUCACCUCUUCUACAUCUCAUCACUUCAUUACUCAUAGUUGAAUCAUGGUCUUGCAUAACACUUUACCAUAGCCCAUAAAGACACUGUGCCUUUCUAAUCUUUCUAAUCACACUUACAAGUCAUAUUGAAUGUGCCAAAACAAUUUAACACAAAAUUCGCUACCAGAAAUCAUUCCUUUAGGGUACACCAUUGAAAGCCUUACUAUGAUAUGCCACAAAGGCAAUAUUUUCAAAAUUCACCAUAUAAGUCGUUCCUUUAGAGUGCGCCACAAGGGUUUGUCUUUUAAAUUAUUGCUACAAAGGCUAUCAUUGCAGGUUUCACCAUAGAGGCUAUCCCUUCAUAAUUCACCACAAAGGCAUUCAUUUCAUAUUGCGCCACAAAGGCUUUCUUUCUUUCCUGACAUGUUUAUAAUAUGGAUUUACCUAAACUCAUGUUAUGUGAGGUUUGCCCGUCAUCAUCCUGGAACACGCAAAGAACCCCAUUGGAAAAUCACCGUUCUUUAAUUCCUUUCAGAAUGUGCCAUGAACAUAGGUUUUUCCUUCAAGAUUUAUAUCAGAGAUUGUGUUUUUAAUCCCAACGGACCCCUUUAGACUCCACCGCGGUGAACAGACACAGAUUCUCUUGACAAGCUCUUCAUAUUCUGACAUUAUUUAAGACUCAACGCUUUCAUGCAUUAACAUACACCCAAACUAGUUCACAUCCCUUCACAUUUUUACCAGAUGUACUCAUACAACCAUGCUUCAACAUUAGGAUACUUAUCUCAUACUUAAGCUUGACAGAUUUCAUACGAACUAUACAUGCCAUUCUUAACAAACAUUAUUACUUUACUUUUCUAGUUUCAAUUUCAUAGUUCAAUAAAUUUCCACAAAGGUAUCCCAUAUGAAUAGUAUACCUACAAGAGUCAACUUAAAGACUCACCUGACAACCACGGACAGUAGUUUGAACUCUAGAUCCAACCUUUAUCAAGAUUCUGCAGCAACCACUACUUACAAAAUAGGGGAACACAAUUAAAGCUCAUUCGAGUAACCAUACUAUCAUCUCAAACCUAGAUGAACCACAUACAAAGCCUUACUUCUUCAUUUUACUAUUUAUGCACUCAUACAGACGUCUCUUUCAUAACACAACAUGUAGAGCCAUAAAACUUACUUUAACAUGGAGCAAUCACUAAUAAAAUUCGGGAUCUCAACUUCAGCUUAAAGAAAUGCCUUUAGUUCUUCAAGCCUUAGAUAACCUUACAUUAGAAGAAAGAAAAAGAGAAUUCCCAUUUUCCAAACAUAAAUAUCUAUUAUUAUAUUCUAAGUCCUUAUUGAAACUUGACAAAUGUCACAUUAUUACUAAAUUAUCUUAUCAAAAGUUUACAACUUCCAAGAAACCUAAUUUAAUAUCCCCUUAUCUUUUAACUAUCUUGGUUCGCAUUCAGUUGGUUUCUAACCAGCUUACCUUGCAACUUAACUUGCACAAUACCACAAUUAAUGAAUGCACUAUAUCCCUAAUGUGAACUCAUACUUUUGAUACCAUUUUAUUUGGUCAUUGGUUUUAUUCCAAUUAAUAUAGUAACCUGACAAUGAACCUUUAUUAACUUAACCACAUAAUUUUAUAUGCUCGUUCUAUAUGCCGAAAGAUGUACUUAGGCAAAGCUUAUUCGGCCGAUCAUACUACUUUAGGACUAUACGCCAAACCUUGUGCCUACUAGAACUGGGGUGUUACAUAAGAAGCGAUUUGUGUGAAGGGAAAAAUAAACAUAUUAGCCUUAUAAAUUAAGAAUCUGGUGAGCUAGUAACCUUUCUAACUCUUUUGUAUCUUUUUUAUUGAAUGAAAAAGGUAAGAAACUUGUAAGUUAUGGUAAAGUUCAUGGAUGUGAAAAAUAAAAAUCUUAGAUAGCUUAUAAAGAUAAUUUGCAUGUUAAUGGAUUUCGACGGUCUCACUUAUGAAUGCUAUCGUUUUGAUUGUCUAAUGGUUAUUUUGUUUAGCUAACCAAGGAGGAGGCCUAAGAGACGAAGGAAAAGUUAAACAAUUGUAGGGUUCAAGCAUCCUGGUGUUUUGCGGAUGAGUUUCUCAACUGCAACUCUCAGUUUUCAUUUUGCAUGUUACAGGGUUGUGAUAGUUGGGUUAUGUUUGUUGGAAAAUUCUGCUGUAACAUUUGGUGACGUUGAACUUUGUUGUUGCUAAUGUUGUCAAUGUUGUUUUGUUGAAAGUGAAAGGGUAUGUAAAGCUCAUACCAUUGAUGUAUUGAUUGAUAUUUGAAUUGCCCUUAUGUUGGUAAGCUGUAAAACUUAGAAUGGGAGGCAUGCUAAUGUCUUCUGAUAGUAAAUAAUGUGUCCAGGAAUAAGAUACAAUAUGACGCAUUGGCGUUGUGGUGGGAUAUUGAUUAAUGAAGUUCUGGCGUUGUGGCAAGAUGUUGAUUGAAUGAUGUAUCAGUGUUGUGGUGGAAUGAUAAUUGAAGAAGUAUUGGUGCUGUGGCGGGAUAUUAAUUGAAGGAGGACUAGAGUCCGCAAAGACUUCUUCUCGUGGUUAUAAAUUAUGAUAGUCCGCGGGGACUUGCCCUCAUGUUACAAGUCAUGAUAAUUCGCACUUGACUUUAAGAGCACAAGUGUGUAACCAUUCCAGAAUGAAUCUGCAAACAUGAUAAUCUGUCAAGCUUGAAUUCACAUAGGUUGUUAGCUAAGUGUGAGUUUGCAGGAUCAUUUGUGAGCAUCAAUUCGUAGGGAAUAUCUUACAAGUAUGAUUCCAUAAUGGCCAUAUUGUAUGUAAGAUAGUCAGCAAGUCUUGUUUUCAAGCUUCUAGGCCAAGUUGGUCCAUUGAGACUCUGCUAUAUGAAAGUUAACGAAAUAAGUCCGAAAAGUACAAGUCCGCGUGAACAAAUUCACAUAAUGCGAUUCUACAGGGCUAAGUUCUCCAAGCAUGAUUGCAUGAGAAAUAUUCAUCAAACGUGAGUCUACAAGAACUAUCUGUAAGUAUAGAUUUGUAUAAACGAGUGCAGGUAUGAAUCUGCAAAUCUGAGUUCACAAGUAUAUGUCAGCAAACAUGAAGCCACAAAUGUGAAUUCACAGGCAUGUUUUUGGGGUGUAUUAGCCAAUUAUAACUUUGCCAAGAUUUUUCACCCUGUAUAAGUUGCAUUGGGUAAAUCCACCUAGAUAUUCCACAAUGCGUAUGUCCACAGAGAGUAAAGGUGAUCGAUUUAUAUGAGCAAAGUGUGUGUAUGCGUGUUACUUAUACUCAUACAUGAACUGUUAAACGUACUAUUUGUCUUUAUGCAUAAAUUAUAUUCUUCGCAAGCUAUAUGUGUGGGCGAGUAAGCAACUUGAAAAUUCACUAAGUUCACCUUGAACUUACCAUGUUCCUUGAUCUAUUUUGUCUUCGGGUAACAAAAGCUAUUUUGAACUUAAAAGGGAGGGACUAAGCCAGAAUUUGCUGUAUCUUGAGUGAGCCUAGCAACUUUUGAGUUUUAAACAUGUACAUAUUAGGGGCGAUCUAUAGGCUUAGCUUAUGAAAUUGUAAAUAUUGAAAGUCUUGUUCCAACUAUGAUGUGUAUAUAUUUAACGUUGGGUAGAUGAAUGAGGAAAUUUUAUUGUAAGAAUAGUAUUCGUUUUGGUGUAAGCACUGUGAAUAGUAGAUUGAGUGGUAAAAGCUUUAAAGAUAAGACAAACUGUUCGCCAAGUCUGAAAUCUAUCCGAGUAGCAUCCGGGAAGUGUGUUACAGAUGACCCUAAAAAUAAAAAAGCCAUGCGACAAGAAAUAGAAGAACUUAUCUACAAAAGAUUGGCUCUUGAAGUUAUCUGAAGUAUGCAAAAUUAAGAAUUUAAAUACUGCUGCUAUUCUUCGCGCUUGGUUCAAUUACACGACGAACUUCGAUUUAAAAUUUGACGUGGGUUGCUUCAAAAUUAAGAUCUUCAUGUUAGAAUGAAAAGCAAAAACUGCAAUCAAUUUGGAUAAGAAAAUUUGAGUCCUGCAACUUUGCUUUUAUUAAACAAAGAAAGUAGAGCCUUACAUGACCAAGGAUUUACACUUUCGAUUAUACGAGGGCUUCAACAGGAAAUCAAAUUCUAGUCAACAUUGCAGACUCCACAAUUAUUUGAAAUUAUAAAAGGCUGCAAGCGGUUAAAAAAUGAAAAAUGGCACUUGCUUUAGCCACGUUGUUGGAGAUUGGAGAAAUGGUGAUCAGGGAACGGAUGAAGUGGAGCAUGAAGCUAAGCUGGCAGUGGAAAAUGAAAUAAAAAAAAAUUAAUUAAUUUUGAUUUUUUUUUUUGCAUGAAAUGAGAUAUGAUGAAUCAAAAUUAAAAAAAUUUAUUCUAUCAAAGUUGAAAGCUCAAGAUACAAAUAUAAUCAAGCAUCAAGAUGAGACCAAAUUUCAAGGUUGUCUCUUUCGCAAUACGCAGAACAUUUGUGUAUGUGAUUAAAUUUUGAGAGAGUAUUUGUAGAUAAAGUAAAUUUAUGGAUGAAUUACAAAGUGUUAUAUAAAUUAAGUUAAAAUUAUUGUGGGUCAAAGUCAAAAUUAUCAUGUGUCAUAAUUAAUUUAAUUAAGAGAUUGAUUAAUAAAAAUAAAAUACUUAAAAGUGAUAAUAUCAAGUAAAUUAAUAAGAGAUAAUUAAAAUUAUUUUGUUGAAGAGAAGAUUGAUUAAAAAAAAGUGAGAAGUGAAAGAAUUGGCAUAUAAAGUUGUAAUACAAACAGUAAUGAUGGAAGAAAUUGGAUGAUAACAUCAUAUCGAGAAUGACAAUUAAAGAAAAAAGGAUUAAAAAGUCCAAACAUCUUUAUUUCACAUGUUUCACGACGACACAAUAAAAAGAAUUUGUGCAUGAGAAAAAGUGAAAAAAAGAUAAAAUGAUGGGUGAGGUAAAAAAUUGAGAGGGUAUAAAUGGAGCAAAACAAAGCAUCAUAAGAGCGUUGUUGGGAGUAGGGCUUUAGUCUCUUUGAUUGACACUCUGCUCCACAUAAAAAAAAAGAGGGCAGCAGACUUUGCAUCUCUGCCCCUUUUUGCUCUUUUGCUUAUUAGCUUAGCUUUCUCCAUCUGCCACUUUCUCCCUUUCCUUUCAUCAAAGUAAGUUCGGGUUUUCCUCUUUAAUGUUUAUAUACGUGUUUCUACGUAGGAUUCUUGAUUUUGAUUACCUUUUCUUUUUCUAACAUAUGUUGAAUGAAUGAAGCAGGAAUAAGGGAAGGUGAUUUAUAUAUAUGAUGGGGGAGAGGAUCCCACCAGGGAGUUACUUUCAGUAUCCGCCUUCUGGAGUUCCUGCUUCUCCUCAUAGGGCUUCUUCUCUUCCUACAGAUCGUGAUAGGUCCGAUUUUUUUUUUCUUAAUUUGCUUUAAUCAAUCAAAGCCCAUGUUCUGUUUUGGUUCUUUUGGGAAAGUUUUACUCCAAUUUUUGAUGGUUUUCUUUUAUUGAUCUAAUAAUUGAAGUUUCUUCUGCUGAUCGAUAUGGGUUCUUGAAGUUGUUUUAAGGAAAAAAAACUUUUCUGUUUCUAUCUUCUUGUUUUUGCAUGAUUGAUUGUUAUGUUUUCAAUUGAUGGUUAUGUUCUUUUGCCCCUCAGGUUCAUAGUUCAUUUGUGUAUGCUUUACAUAUUCCAUUUUAUCUAGAUAUGGUUUUACUUUAUCAUUGUUAUCUUCAAUGUUAACUUACAAUCUAACAAUGGCAGAUAUUUAGCUGAAUUAUUGGCAGAGAAACAUAAGUUGGUACCUUUUACCCAAGUUCUGCCUCUAUGUACCAGGCUCGUUAAUCAAGGUUAUUGGUUUUUUUCCCCUUUUUUCUGCAAUAUAAGAUUCAUUAGCACUUAUCAUUGGUAUCGUUGGAAACUGGUUUUGAUUAUUUUUUGGUUGAAUGAACAUCACACUAAAAGUAAAUCUAUCUGUAUCUAUUCAUGUUAUGCGCUUCUCAAGGAUGUAAAUAUAAGUUUCAUUUUACUAGAUUGUUAUCUUAGAUUCAUCAUCAUGAGUGCAUUGUCGGUUUGCUUCUUCCAAGAAUAAAUCUCUCAUGUUAACGAUAUUGAACUGAAAUUGUAAACAAACAACAGCCUAGUACAAACUGUCCACCUAGCUAUAGUUGAUCUACUAUUAGUCUAAACUAGCAACAUAUGAUUUUAAGUUAUUACAGGCUGAAUUUAUCCUAGACUAGAUGGUUGUACUAAAACAUGUGGCCUAAGCCAAAAAAUAAACCCCAAAUGUUCACUUUUACCAUUGAGGUAAUUUUGACUGCAUAUUGUCACUUUUGUUUUUUUCUCAUGUAACUGCAGAGAUCAGAAGGGUCUCAAGUCUUACUCCUAGUUUUGUCGAUCAAGAGCGAUUUGAACAUGAUAGUCCUUUCAGGUCAUUAGGUCAACAUCCCAAUGGGAGACAGAUGGAUUUGGAGGGUUGGUCUGUAAUGCAAACAGAGGUAAUGCUGCUUAAUGGUUAUAUACAAAUCUAUUGUUUUAAAUUAAAAUUUUUAAUUGCUUACCAGCUUAAUAAAUUUCAACUGCCUUGUUAUUGGCUCCCACUGUGAUUAAUUCUUACGAUGAAUAAUUUGCUUCUCAUUAAUAUUAAAUGGAAGGAAGAUGAAAUUUGUUAAAUGUUGUUAUCUUGCUUCCAGGAAAAUGGGCAUAUGGAACGAGUUCCUCCAAUUCAAGCUGCAUCAGUGGGUUGGCCCGGUUUGCCUAGAGCCCCUACAACACCGAUUGUAAAGAGAGUUGUUAGACUUGAUGUUCCUGUGGAUAAAUAUCCAAAUGUAAGUUAUGUUGAAAAUUGUUUGUUUUCAUUUUCUUCUUUUGUAAGAUAAUAGGUCAGACUCAGUGCCCUUGCAGUACAAUUUUGUUGGCCGAAUUUUGGGACCACGGGGAAACUCCCUAAAGAGAGUUGAAGCCAUGACAGAGUGUAGGGUGUACAUAAGAGGCAAGGGUUCAGUCAAGGAUUCUGUAAAGGUGAAGUCAGUCAUGAAUUCUUUUUAUUUCCAGCAAGUAAUUUUGGUAAAAGAGUGUAGUUUGAUAUGCACCAUAGGUCAAGUCUUAAGCUACUUCUAGCUUGGUCAUUUAUACAAGUUCUGAUUAUAAUGGAACCGUGCAAUUGUUUUCUACUUUCUCUUGAAAAUUGGAGUGUAGCUGGUUCUUGGGCUAGUUUUAGGAGCAUGUUUUUCAUUUUUUUCCCUCUCAAUGGCAUUUUAAAUUGUAGGUGAUGUGAAAUUUGCUCAUGUAACUUCAUAUAUGCUAGUAAUCUGCUUCUCCGUUUGCAUAUGACAUGCUUUGCUGCCGAUUUCAGUAUCAUGUUUAUUUGGGUUUUGUUUUGGGCUUUUUGCUGUUUGUCUCUUGUUUAUAGUUAAUGUGUAUUUUAUGCUUUUCACUUUUCUACUACAAGAAGCAAAAAGUAAAAGCAUCAUCGAAAUGGCAACUUAGUCUUUUGCAUUUUUACAAGUGACUAUUGUGGAUCAAUCAAUGCAGUGAUCACCUUUACUACAUAAAGUAACUCCUUAAAUACAGUAGUGCAUGAGCUAGUUCUGACAGUUUCUGGUUUAAGUAUAAGAUCAAGUUUUCCUUGGUUGUUUGCCCACUUGUUAUCCAUUCCUACUUCCUUUAAAUUCUCACAACUGGCGGCUGGCUUUUUCUACAGGAAGAGAAACUGAAAGAUAAACCUGGAUACGAACAUCUUAAUGAGCCACUGCAUGUGCUGGUGGAGGCUGAAUUUCCCGAGGAUAUGGUAAAUUCUCGUCUGGAGUAUGCUGUUGCGAUACUAGAUAACCUUCUGAAGCCAGUGGUAUGAAUGAGCAAAAGCAAUUUCUGCUAUCUUCUAUGGAUAGCUAACCCUUCCAUUCCAUUUCUGUUUUUGUGCUAACCCUUCUCCAUUCCACCAUUUCCAGGAUGAAUCCUUGGAUAGCUAUAAGAAACAGCAGCUUAGGGAGUUAGCUUUGCUAAAUGGUACCUUAAGGGAAGAGAGCCCAAGCAUGAGCCCAAGUAUGAGCCCAAGCAUGAGCCCAGGUAUGUCGCCUUUCAACAGUACGGGAAUGAAGCGGGCGAAGACGGGAAGAUGAAGAAAUCCCUUGUUUUCUGCUGGUUCUGAUCAUCAAUUGAAAUCGAGAUGGCUUGGCUUGGCUUUUGUGAUGGAUGAUGUAUUUCACCUUAACUUAGGGAGGCUGAGUUAGGAAGAUCUAAGUCAAAACUCCCAUCAGUUUUUGGGCUGCAUAUGGGUUUUCUUCUCCACUGAUAUUCCUUUUCUUUUCCUUCUUUUAUGUAUUAUUCAUUGCCCCUCCCAUAAGGUUUGACGUCAGUCUCUAUUUCCACUAGUUCGAAAAUAACUUGUUUCCCUAAUUAUUUUCGCCUGCUUCCGAUGUGCUCCCAUGAUUCUUUGUACUGACAAUUUUACAUGCAUAUUUCUAUGUAUGCCCUUCGUCAUAAGAUACAAUCAGUCCCUUGUAUUAUCUUUUAUCUUCAUAGCAAGUAUUAUCUCUCUAUCUUGUUCAUUUUACGUUAGUCUGGUUUUGCUUCCACUGGUAUUAUGCUUCUAUAUCCACUACAAUUUCUGGAAUUCAUGGCUGCCUUCUUGCGAGGAUUAAUGAAAUAUGCAAAGCAAAAUGAUGCAAUCUUGUAAAACAAUAGAAACUAUAUCUCCUUAAUAUAACAUAAAUAGAGCAUUUCAAAUCCAACAUCUGAGAACAUAAAAACUUAAUUGUAAUGUUACCUUAAUCAAAAACUGAAAACAGCGAUCUAUAAAUAAAACCUGACAUGCAAAAAGGUACCAGAAAUAUAAAAAAGUAAAAUUAAGAACAUAUUCUAUCACUUAAAGCACUUGGCAUCCAAGAGAGGCUCUCCCUCAAAUGGCUCGCAGUCUUCAAUCAUCUGAUUCACCCGUUCCUUCUGGGCUGCAUCUGACAGGUCAACCUUCUUCCACUCGUAGAGUUCCAUGUCAUAGCACUCGUCAAUCACAAAUUGAGGAAUCUCUUGCCCACGGAAAAGCCAUAGUCCUUUCACCUUGAAUGGAGGGUUAGCACCGAUCACCAACAUCUUCCCAAAUGCAUACUUGCGGGCCAAAUCCAUUCUCUGCAGGAAUCCUCCAACCUUGUUCAUUGUGACAAAUGAAACUGUAUUCUCCUCAUUGUACUUGUAGUCACAAAACCACAGUGAGUAUCCCUCGGGAUCAUACAUGUCCCAGAAUCCUGACACGAAUCAAGUAUCAGAUAUCACAAGCCCAAACAUUGCUUUUAAAAGGGAGUGCUACUGUGAAAACAACAGGGAUACCUUUAAUUGCAACCUCUCGGAAAUUGGUCUUUGUGUUAGAGUAAAGCCUCUUCCAGUCAUCCAGUACCAUCUUACUUGGAGGCAGCAAAUCAAGAGGAUUCUUUGGUUUGGGCUUUGGUGCCUCCUCCUCCUCAGCUGCCUCUGCCUUUGCUGCCUGUUUCUCAACCUCCUUUUUGGCUUCUUUCUUUGGUUCAGCCUUUGGUUUAGUUUCUUUUGGCUGGGCAGCAGGCUUCUUUGAAGGAACAGGUGGUAGAGAGACUGCCUGCUUCACUUCACCAAGAAUCUUCUUGAUUUUUGGCUGAUUAACCAAGGUCCAAAAGUACCUCUCAACAUGAGGGAACUCCGAGGUAAAACUCUUAGUCAUGAUCUGGGAGAAACCCAAGUAGAGGUUACAUGUCAUGAUAAUGUCAGCAAGGGUGACAAAAUGUCCAACAAGAAAUGUGUUGGAAGCAAGAUGAGUGUUCAAAGCGCCAAGGGCUCUCUUCAAUGCAGCAAUAGCAGCUUCCUCAGCCUACAUGCAAAAUACAUAUAAGAGAUUAAAAUGAAAUAGGUAGGCAAAAUCAUACCAUUGAAUUAAAAUGAACUACUACUGAAUUACAAAAAUAAAAUUUAACUCUUAAUAUAGAUUAAUAAAUACAUCAGAAUGGGGGAGAAAACAACCUAGUCUCUUAAAAAAAUAAUGAGGAGAAAACCCAUGCCUACUUGAUUAUCAAUGCAAUGGGCAUUCCCUUCAACCAAAAUUACUUAAUAGUGCUUGAGUUGAUUCCUUUCCAGAAACUAUGCAGGGGAAAACACUACCACAUUAAGCAUGUACUAAAUGUUGUCUAACUAAUCCUCUCUAAAAUAAAUAAAACAAGAAUCAUAGACAGGUAAUCAAUGCCAAUUUUCCCUUCACCAUUCCCUCCUUAAUAUUUUGUAUUUCAAUGACUAAGUUGCCUUAUUCCAAUUUUAACAUAGGACCUAUUGUCUUAUAAUUAGAAAGAAACAAAGACUAAGUAUGGCCCCAGCAAAUCAAGCCCAAUUAAAAUGACAAAAGAAUCUGCGAGGAAAGACAGUAGAACUUACUGGAGGAAGGUAAACACCGUAACCAAGUCUUGGAUACAACCAUUUUGCAAUAUUAGCAUCAAUUUCCAUGGCUGCAAAAUCAAUCCAUUGCUCGAUAUGACCCUAAGAAAGCCAAAGUAAUACAUACAAACAAUUACUUCCAUGGUUUAAAAUAAACUUAACUGAUGACAGAAGAAUACAAGACCAUUGUACUAUAAGAAUCUUACAUAAUCAAUCAAUGUAGAACCACAUAUAGGGUUGUUAACCUUUGAGCGAGCAACUGCAGAGAAAAGUAUACCAAUAAGUAAAAACAAACAUUAGAGGAAGAAAAUUUAGGAUAUGGAGUCAGCAGAUCUUCUCACCAUAACGAGCAAUGGCAUUGCUCUCAAAUACAGGACCCUCAGGUGUUUCCAACACAGGAACCUAGAAGAGUUAUAAAUAUCUUCAGUGAACAGACCUAGAAAAAAGGUUACAUAACAUGUAUAAAAAAAAUUCUCUAGUUUAAAUCUAUUAAUAGGCGUUACAAGGUCACCUUCCCCAAAGGGUUCAUCUUGAUGAACUCAGGAGUCUUAUUUGACACACCCAUCUCAAAAUUUUCAACCAUUUUGACCUGCACACCACUAUAUUCUGCAGCAAUGAGUGCCUUAAAGGCAUUUUUGUUUGUUUUUCCUGCAUGCAAGACCUGCAUGUAAAUCAACACACCACAUUGAUUAGAAGAACCGGUUGAUUAAGAAGUUGAAUUGAAUGUCAAACACCAGUCAAUCCCUACAACGAAUCCAGUAAAAUCCUGAAAUUGAUCCUUUUCGCCCCAUAAAUUCUCUUAAAGACCAUUCACUUUACAUUCUAAACUACUAACCGGUACUUAGCAUUUCCAUCUACCAUACACAAUUAACCUAAUUGACGUAACAUCUCGCCAUCCAUCUUUCUUCUGGUCAAUGGUUCCCAGUUGAAAUCGAAGGUGGUAGAGUUAAAAUCAAAAUCAAUUUUUUUAUCGUUAUGAUUAGUAUCUACAAAUCCAUAAACUAUUCCAUUGAUAGUAAUUAUAUAAAACAUAUUCAAUGUGCCACUUCUUUCGCAAUGUAAAAAAGCUAGUUACAAUUUUCACUUUCUAAUUCUACUCGAAAUAACUUCCACUUAAUCAUUAGGUGUCAAUUCUUUCAACAGUUAAACUACCAAAAGAAAUGAAACUAAUAUAUAUGCACAGAUAUAAAGCUUACCAGAGCCAUGGCUUGAUAGAAAAGAGCGCUACGAUUUGAGAACUGAGAUCUGGAAAAAAAAAAACAGAGAACAAAAUAAAAGGAAUAAGGAAAAAUAUUCAAGCAGGAGAACUUGAUUCCCAUGUAUUAAGGAGUAAAAAUGAGAGAAAGGAUUAAGAAAGAACCUUGAAGACGAAAUCGCAGCGAGAAGGAGCGGGAGAGACUGCGGGACAAAGAGAGAAUAAAAGAAAGGGGGACUAGGGUUUUUGUAGAGUAGAGCGAGUGUGAUGUGGGGUUAUCAGUUCGGGUUCCGGUUUAGAUCCAGAUUUACUAACCCCUUUCUUUUUCCGGUUUUUUUAAGCGUGUCUUUGAGGUAAUAAGUCAUUUCAAGAAUAAUUAAAUAAAAAUAAAUUAUAUAAAAAAUUCUCAUAACCAUUGAACCAUUGUUUUUCUCCAAUUUUCCUUUUCACAACAGUUUUGCUUUUUAUGUAAUUACACACAACUAAUUGAUCUGAAUCGAUUGGAUCACUAAUUUUUAAUUUAAUUGUUUAGAUCACUCUGAACAACACUACUUUUCUCAAAUUUUUUAUCUUGUGUCUAUUUUUUUUAUUACCAAUAUAAAUUAACUUGGAGUAUAAUGAUUUAUAUUUUUGCUCAUGCUUGAGGUUGUUUGUUUAGAUAAAAGUUAACUCAAGUGAGUUGUAUUUAAUUAAAAACUCUAUUGGUUUGAGUUCAAACAUUAUUAUAUGUGAAGUUUUAUUUUUUAAAAAGAUUAAACUACCCUCGAAUAAUCUAAUUUAUUUUAAAUAUGAAAAACAUUUUUGUAAUUUUUUGAGUUGAUGUCCGGUUAACUCGUAUCACUAACUCAACCAAGGGUUUAAAUAAUAGUAUAGAUUAUUGCAUUUUAAUUAAUUUUUAGAAGGAAUUAUUUCUAAAAAUAUGUUUUUUUGGUGCACCUCAAUAGUCAACACUAAUAACUCAUUUCCCUAAACUCUAGACCCCUAAUUUCAACAAAGUGUAUAAUUGUUGAAAUGUCCACUUGUUGGUCUAAGUGACAAACGCAAAGCACCAAGAUCAUUUUUUAUGCACUAAAUCAUCCACGGUGUUAUUAUAUUGGUUUACCUCAAAUCAAACAAUUUUUACUGAUCCCCAUUGUAACUACUACAAUAGAAAAUCUUACCCAUGCCCCUAAACCUAACAUUCAACUCGAUGAUUUUUGUUAAUCAUCGUGCUUAAACAAACCCAUAAAAAGUUUACAUGUAUAAUUGAAAAACCUUAACCUAUCUCCUUAAACCGUAAAUCCCCAUAGUUGUGGGUUGAGUAAGCUAGAAACCAUGGGGAUUUUUUGAACUUGGCAUCUCUUUCAAAUAACAUAAAAACCCUAACUUAUUUUCCUAAACCUUAACCCUAAAACUUUAAUCCCCAAACAAAACCUUAAACACUAAAUAGAAACAUUUAAUAAAUUCCCAUCAAAUUCUUUCCUCUAAGGGUUUUUAUGCAUCUCUAAUUUCAAUAAAAAGUAACCUCAACUCUCAAAUUCAGAUGCCUUUUGUGAUAAUGGAUUUCCUCAAGUGUUAGAGCGCCAAUUGAGUAUGAAAGCUUCUUUUAAACUAACUUUAAAUAGGCUUUAGGGUUUAUGAUAAACCUUGUUUAUGAUUAGUAUGAAAGAUUUCACUAUAUCAAAACAAUGUUUCAACACUUAUGGAAAACCAUGAUCUAAAUCAAGAGAGUUCAAGUUUUCCUUGAUUGAAGUUAGAUUUUGGUUGAAAUCAUUGAUCUAAAAGUGAUAGUAGCCAGAAUAGGUUGGAGGAAAUUAGUUUUAAAGGACUUUAUCAAAAUUUUAAUUUAGGGUUUAAGGUUUGAGGGGAAAAGGUAAAUAUUUAAGGGUUAAAAGAUUUUGGUUUGGGGUUAGAAGGAAAAGGUUAAGGUUCAACUCUUGUUCAUUAGGUAAAUUGACUACGAUCUUGACACCCAUGGGUUGUUCAGUUUUAGUAUUAAUAAAAUGCAAACAAAUACAUAACAAACAAUUCUUCAUCUUCCAAAAUCAAAGCUAACCACUAUUUAAAGAUAUUGAGUUUAGUACCCUAAAUGUAGUAUAUUUAUUUUGUAUAGUUGUAUUUUUCGAGAAAAUUGGUUUAAUAAAAAUAUUCAUUGAUUACAUUAAUAGCCUUUGUAUAUUAUCCUCAACGAUUUUGUAUGCAAAGAAAAAUGGAAACAAAGAUUGGCUCACUAGUUAUCUAACAUUUAACAAAUGCUAAAUGGUAUUACGUGGUCGGAUAGUAAUACAAAAAAACAACUUAUAUUAGUAGAUAAACCUAAAUAAGUCAUUAGUCUAAUUGGAAAUGAGCAAGCCGCUUUAAAGACUUAAGUCGUCUACCAAGUCCAAUUGGGGAGAUGCUUUGUCUUGAGCAUCAAAACGAAGGACUCCCAGAAGAUAGAGACAUAGAUGUCACUGACUGGACUGACAAUACAUUGGACAUGACCUAAGUAGGAUAGAUCCUAGAUUGUUUUAUGAAUUUAUUCACUUGAGACAUUCAUAGUGUGACAUACCUUAAUCCUGAGUGGAUGAUGGACUAUGCAUGUAUGACUCAUAUACUUUGAUGGAAGUAAAAGCCUAAAUUCAAAUAAAUAAGGAACCGAAAAAUCGGUAUAUUGCGUAUACGACUUCUACAACAUAUAGCAUCAUUCACAAUAGUGGAAUUCAUAGCUCAAAUAAUAAGUAAAUGAUAUCCUCUCAUUGGCAUUACAUGAUAGAUGAAAAGUAAACAUGGCCACGAGUCAUUUGUCUUUGUGAUAAAUGACUUGAUUACUAUUUAAUAGUACUAGGGACUGCAAACCCUAGUAUAUUUAACUAGGGUUGUCGCCCCGCCCUCCAAUCCUAGUUAGACUAGGAUUAUGUUUUUCUAUUGAAAUAGACUUCUAAUAAUUCAACAAGGGUUUCAAUUCUUCUCCCUAUAAAUAGAUGGAAACAGUAAGGCUAAAUACAAAACUUUGAGAUAUUGUUAUUCUGCCCGAAAAUAGUGAGAAUUUAUUUUCUAAGUAUAAAUUCUAUUUUCUAGAAUAACAAUUCUAUUGGUUUAUAUUAAAGAGAGAUUUUCUUUUCCACUAAAAGUAAAGUAAAUAAUUUAUGGUUCUGUGCUUUAUUUGAAUUUGUUCGAGCCCACAAUCGAAGUAGUUCGUGGUACAGGAAUAACAAAGAAGGCCAUUCGAUUGAAAGCCAAGAAUGACAAGGACCCGUUUAGUCGAAAGCAUAAGUGCAAUUUCUGUAAAGGUUUUAUUGAUAUAACUAUCACAAAUCGGUUUGAUUUUCAAAAUUUAAAUUUUUCACUGGGCAAAAAAACUGUUUUCAAAUCAAUUUUUUUCCAACUUUCAUAUUAACCAAGAAAUAAUAACUAGACUUAUGAAAGAUGAUACCUUAAGUUUGCUUAAGGAAAUUGAUAUUCCACAAUAUGAAUAUUGCUUGGAAGGUAAGAUGACUAAGUGAUCUUUUAAUGCAAAAGGAAUGAGGGUUGUGAAAUCUUAGAACUUGUGCACACUGAUAUAUGUGGCCCUAAGAACGUCAGUGUGCGAGGUGAUUAUGAUUACUACAUAACAUUUAUAGAUGACUAUUCCAGAUAUAGGUAUGUAUACCUAAAGCACCGUAAAAGUGAAACUUUUGAUAAAUUAAAAGAGUUUCGUGCAGAAGUGGAGAAAGAACUAGGUUUACCCAUAAAGACACUUCGGUUUAAUCAAGGUGGAGAAUACUUAUUGGAUGAGUUCUUUGGUUACCUCAUAGAGAAUGUAAUAUUAUCUUAAUUAACCGCGCCAGGAACCACACAACAAAAUGACAUGGCAGAGAAAAGGAAUCGAACCUUGUUGGACAUGGUUCAAUUGAUGUUAAGUUAUUCAUAGCUUCGAGUCUCCUUUUAGAGAUAUGUUUUACAAAUGACUUGCUACAUUUUGAAUGAUGUACCAACUAAGUUUGUACCUAAAACUCCAUACGAAAUAUGGAAUGGCAGGAAGCCAAGUCUAAAUCAUUUAAGGAUUUGGCGAUGGCCAGCCCACGUGUUGGAUAAAGAUGUGAGGAAAUUGGAUUCACAGAUAAAGUUGUGUAUGUUUGUGAGAUAUCCAAAAGUAAUAAAGGGUGGUUUGUUUUAUAACUCGAAAGAGAAAAUAUUGAUAGUGUCGAUUUAUGCUCCUUCAUUGAGAGGAGUUAUACGAACGACUUUAAAUCUUGAAGUAAAGAAGUACUUGAUGAACUUUGAGGAAGUACACAAAUCCUUGGUUUUAAAUCCAACUUCUAAUAAUAGACUUGUAAACAAUCAUCAACAUAAGGAGCUUCAUUGUAGUGAGAAGGUUUCUCGUAAGCCCGAGUUCUUCUAGUCUAGCAGAAGUGUUUUAAACACUGAGUUUUUUGAACAGGAAGAUGAUGACCAACUCACAUUUAAAAAAAUGAUGCUGAAUGCUGAUUCCAAGCUUUGGGAAAUAACUAUAAAAUCUGAGAUGAAUUCUAUGAAAUCCAGCUAAAUGGAUAUACAAGAAGAAAAGAAUGUGAAUGGAAAGUGGAAACUUAUAAGGCUAAACUUGUAGCAAAGGGGUAUACUCAGAAAGAAGGUAUCGAUUACGAAGAAGCCUUCUUUUUGGUUUCCAUACUCAAGUCAAUCUGUAUAUUGUUAUCCAUUGCGACGACUCUUAAUUAUGGAUCUGUCAAAUGGAUGCCAAGCCGAUAUUCUUUAAUGACUAUCUUGAAGAAGACACUUAUAUGAUGCAACCCACUCGAUAUAUAGCUAAAGGAAAUUAGCAUAAAAUUUACAAAUUGCUUAGAUUCAUAUAUGGACUUAAGCGAGCAUCCCGCUCAUGGAAUCAAAUAUUUGAUCAAAUGAUCAAAACUUUUGAAUUUGAGCAAAAUAUUGAUAAACUUUCUGUUUAUAAACAUAUUAAGGAUGGAAAGAUGGUUUUUCUUAUUGUAUAUGUCGAUGACAUUCUACUCAUUGGAAAUGAUUUAAGUACAUUGUCAUCGGUUAAAUUGUGAUUAACCCAACAGUUUAGCUUGAAGGACUUAAGAGAAGCUAUCUUUGUUCUAGGCAUUCGAAUUCUAAGGGAUAGAAAGAACAAAGUGAUAGCAUUAUCACUAGGUAUAUACAUAGACAAGAUAUUGAAAAUUUAUACGAUAACUGAUUCAAAAUUUAGUCAUUAUACUAUAGUGGAAUAACUUCACGACCAAAUAAGUUUAUAAUUAAUAGACGAAAAGUUGGACAUUAAUUAUAAAUUAUUUAAGCCCUAAUUACGUAUGUACAAUUGGUCCCCCCACUAGCUCGUUGAAAAAAAAAUUAAUUGCAUGUGGAACAAAAUGAAUAGAAAUGAAUGGAAAUGAUAAUGUCAGAGAAAUGAGUCACAUUAACAAAUUAAUGUGUUUUCUCACCAGGUAUAGAAAUGAAUUGAGAAAUUAAUUUAAGGUUUUCGAAUGAUUAUUUAAUUAAUUAUAAUUAAAUAAUUGAAGUUAAAAAAUGAAAUGAAAUUAAUUUUCUAUUAUGAAUGCUUUGAAUAAUGAAAUUAAAUAUACUUCCUCAUAAAAUCUUUUACAAUAAAGUUGUUAUAACUUUAACGGAAUUAGAAUUGAGUUGAGAUAAUUAUUUAAUUGAGUAAUUAAUUUAGUUAAUUAAAUUAAUUAAUUAAAUAAUAUUUAUUUUUGAAAAUAGAAAAUAAACAUUAGGUUGGAUUAAAUCAUAAAAUGCUAGGUUAAAAGUUUAGGAAACUCAUAUAAUUGAACCCAAUACAUGAGAGGUCAAAUUUGUCCCGUAUAACAUGUGAGCAACAACAACCCAAAGGGAAUUUAAGAGGAUGUGUUGCCUCCUCUCUCUUAGUUAGACAAAGAGAGUGUUUUCUAUUAAAAUAAUUGUUGAGUAUGACUCCUAUUUCAGUCAAAUUUGAAAAAUAAUCUUCUAGUUAAACUCUGUUUAUUUGUUUCAAUCAAAUUAUGAUUAGUCUAGAUUAUUUUUUUAUUAUUUGACCUAUGAAUUUAGCCUAUAAAUAGGCUCUUUUACAACUUUAGAAAAUACACCCAUUAGAGAUUAGAACUCAUACACUUUUGGAGAAUUUUUGUGUUUACAUUUUGAGGGUUCUUUGUUUUUUGGGGUUUCAGGGUUUAGUUUCUAUCUUCAUCUUUGUACUAUUCGUUCUUUUUUCAUUAUAGUAAAAUUAUUUUUGCCCGCAGUAUUUUAUCUUCUUUGGAGGGGUUUUUCUACGUUAAAUUUGUGUGUUCAAUUUCUCAAUUUCUUCCGGUAUUUUUACUUGUUCGUUGCUUAAUUGGGUCAAUCCCCAACAAUAACAUUAUUUGUUUAAGCCUUAUUCAACCAAGAUUCUUCUAUCUCUCUCUAUGAAUAGAUAGCACCGAUUGACUUAAAAAACACACUUAUUAGUUAUUGAUUUAUCGUUAUUCUACCAAAAAAUAGUGAUAAUUUAUUCACUUAGAAUAAAUUAUAUUUUUUGGGAAUUACGAUUUUUACCAGUUUCUUAAGAGAAUUUUUUUCCUACUGAAAGUAAUAAUAAUUUCUUGUUCGUUGUUUGGUUCGUGUUUCUCGAGCCCACGCUCAACCCAAAUCCAUCUUGCACAAUGUAUAGGUACUUUUUGGUAAAACGUUUAUUGCUAUAAACAUCAUAAAUCGGUUUAGUUUUUAAAAUUUUUAAACUUCUGCUAUAACUAUAAAUCGUUAUGAAGGAUUUUGAAGAACCAUAUUUUUAAGUGGGACCGUGUGUAUUAAAUCAAAUAAAAUUAUGAAGAAUUUUGAAAAACCACAUUUGUAAGUGGAAUUGGAAAAAGGAAAUUGAGCUACUGAGAUCCCCUCUUGAAAUUACUUAUAAAUUCUGAAAUUCUUUAAUAUAUUUACCCAAACAAAUAAAUUCAUUUUUAUAAAUUUAAAAAUCUUGAUAAAAAUAAAAUCCCUCCUAUAAAUCCCUCACCCAAACACACUUUUAAGUACCUAUGCAAGUUAGGAAGCAAAUGAUGACAAGGACUCAUCACUUACAAAUGAUCCAUUAGAAUGUCUGACCGGCAUUACACGUGUGUGCAUAAAACAACAAAUUUAUAAAAAAAAAUUUAUAGCAAGGUUUUACUGCAAUCAUGCAGGUUAGUUGUAAUAUUUGUAGUGUUACAAUGGAACACCAAAAUAUUCCAAGGAUCGAACUCAAAGGAGUUGGUGAUUUAAUGAUCUGCCACGAAUUAUUGACCGCCUUCAGACAUACUAACAUCUAGAGUGUGAAUAUUGCAGCAAAAGAUAUAUAUAAAUGAUGCGGUAUCUGCAAGUACACGGGUCAGGUUGUAAUAUAGUUACAACGAAGUAUGUGAGUACUCUGAGGAUCGUACCCAAAGGAGGCUAAUACUAGCUCAAUUUCAACCUAAACACCAAAAGAUCUAAUUAGUACUUGAAAUAAGUUAUAUUACGAAAAUAUAAAUAAUAGAGAUUUUUGGGGGUUUUUUAUAGUAAUGAAAAUAUGACAAGUAAUUAAAUAUUGAGAAAUUGAAAAGUGAAAUUAAUCAAAUCUGAUUAUGGGUGAUUAGCUCACUUCAGUAAUCUUCAUCAACUGCCGCUUUAGGUUCCUCAUCAAUCAACUAGUUGAUAUCCUAGUAGAAUCUUCCGAUGGAUCCACUAGAACAAUAAGUCAGCAAUGACUACUUAUCUUCUGACCUCACAGUCUAGACCGGUUUGAGGUGAAGGUGUUUACAGAUAGGCCAUAGCAAUUUUAGGUUAAUUUCCACCUUGAUAACUUCUUAGGGUCGUCAAGCCUAGGUUUUACGUUCUUCUUUUCCCAAACAGCUGAUCUGUUGAGUAAUCCUACAAAACAGUUAAUAUAUCAUAGCUCCACUCGCUAAUCCCCCAUAAAAGGAUUAGUUCCUCAUGGUUUUCGUAAACAAUAUAAAGUUGAUAUAAAGUGUAAACAUGAUAAUUGAAUCGAAAGUAUAAAGUUUAAGAAAAAGCCUGAUUUGUAUUACGAAGAAGAAUGAAUCCACAAAGUUUAAUCGUAUCCACAAGUCAUAUUUCCUGAGAUAAAACAAAGAACAAGCUGAAAUAAAUAUAAAACCUAAGAAAAGAUAAAUACUAAACUAAAAAUAAAAAGAAAGAUUCUAAGCUAAGUAAUCAGUGUCUAUAACAUGUGCCAAAUGAGCCUAUUUAUAGAUUUGAGGUGAUCGUCGUCCUUAACCCUAGGUUAGCUGACAUUCCCGAACUUUAAGUUGGAUUGUGCGGACCAAAAUACCCCCUGGCUCGUAUUAAUUCCCGUCAAGAGUUGAUGUUGCGACACAUCAAAACCUGUGUCGCGACAUAAAAGUCAGUAUACUUUUCUUCAAAGUGUCUUUAGGGGUAUGUCGCGACAUCCUUAAGCUGUGUCGUGACAUCAAAGGAAAUCUUAGAAUUCCUCCAUUCUGCUCCCUAUGUUGCAAUAUCGAAUCCUCUGUGUUGCGACAUAGUGACUAGUAUCAGUUUAGCACGCCUCCUAAUGGUCUCCUAUAUACUCACAAAGUUCAUUAGCUCACCCUUAGACCUCGUUCGACCCCUAAGGUCAAGAAAAGACUCAAUUUAUACAUUUUGUUGAAUUUAAUUAAACUUACUAAAACAUAAUUAAAAUCUAAUGAUAAUGCUUAUUUUCAAGCUCUUAAAGUGAAAAAAUUAGUUUAAUCUACUAACCCAAUUAUGACAGAUCAAUUAUAUUAUUAUUAUUUAUAUCACUUUUUACACGUAAUUUUAGCUUGUUUAAUAGUAAAUAAAAUUAUCUUAGUAUAUAUUUAUGUUUUCAUACUUGAAGUAAUGAUGUAUGCUUUUUAGUAGUUUUUAUUACAUUUUAGAUAUAUAAAUAUGGUUGCAUGGUCCUGUAGGACAAUCUGGGAGCAAAAGAUGCAUAUUCAUGAUGGAACUGUUGCCUAUGUCGCGACACCAACACAUCGAUGUUGUAACAUCAAAGGCAGAAGCAAAAACAAGUCAAUGAGCGAAACUGCUUGGUAUGUCGUGACAUAGCCUUACUAUCUUGGAGCGAAGACCUAAUAAAUUGUACAUAAAUUGAAACCUUGAACUCUUCCUUAUCCUUGGUCUUUUAAUACAUUACAAAAUAGACGUUAGGCUAUAGAUAUUGAGGGUUUAGGUAUAUACAUCAUGGUGGUUUCAAAAAAAUUUAGAGCGAAAAAAGAAGAAACAAUAUGAUACAAUGAUUAUAGGUCAAGCAAAAAUGUGCAAAAAAAGAAAAAUAUAGAAAAAGUAAAAAGUAAAAAUAAGAAGAAAAAGUACAAAAUAAAAGCAAAAGCCUUAUGAGUGAGAAAAAAAGUAAAAUGUCAAGUGGCAAAACAAAAAGUCACAAAAGUGAGAAAAACUCAGUCAUCAAUGCACAAAAACUCGUUGAGCCAACCAUAGUUAUUAGUAUUAUAUUGUAUCUUCCUACAUGGAGAGAUAAGGAAGGUGAGAGAGGGAGAAAAAAGAAGGUGAGCUUGAAAGGGGCACCUAGAGAGAGAGGGAAUAAUGUCAUGUGCCUAACUAUUUCUAGUGUUUGAACUAUUUUGAGCCAUAUCUUUCUUUGAACUCGUACAGUCCUAAGCCUCAGAACAUUACAAGCCUAGAAGACCAAUGUGACUUAAGCGUUCUCUGUGCAUAAUCUUCUAGUAUUGCUAAUGUAAUGACCUAAAUUCAAGGUUAGCGGAAUAGUGGUUUCGUAACCAUAAAUCCGAUUUAAAGAAAAAUUUAUUUUAAUAUUUUGCAUGAAUAUUGAUAUGAUAGGAAAACCGUAUGAAAAUAUUGAUAGAAAAAUUUUACCGAUUUAAUGGUUAGUUAGAAAAAGAAAUUAUUGAAGAAAUUGGGUAAAAAUAAGGUAUGGGGACCUUGAUCUCGUAAAACUGAGUCAGAAAUAUUUUUAUAAAUAUUUAUGAAAUGUAAGCAAUGUGGUAUUAAAAUUUUGUUAUAAAAUUUUAAUGUUUGGGUAGUCAAUUAAAUGAAAAGGACUAAAUUGAAAAAGGUGUAAAAGUGGCUGGGAUGAUUAAAUAGCUUAGGUGUCUAAUGAGAAAGGAUUUAAAAGGCAAUUAGACCAAAAUUUAUUUGGGCUGGACGGAAAGGGCAUGAAAUCAGCAAGAAAAUGGAUUAUUUAAGGGUAAAAUUGGAAUAUUGCAUCAUUAACUAAAUAAAAUUAGGACUAAUGUAGAAAUAUCUAGAUUUCUUGUGAUUUCUCUUCAUUCUCAUCAGCCAAAAGGCCAUAGGAGGGGUUCUUUAAGCUGGUAUUUCAUAAUUUUUGCACCAAGUGAGUUAAUCCUUGCCUUUUUCUUGUAAUUUUUGUGUUUCUAAGACUUUUACAACUAGGUUCUACUAUUAAAUUCAUUAGUUUUUGAUUUCAUGGAUGGAAUUGAAAGUCACCAUGGUUGAGUGCUGUAAGUUUAUGAUGAAAUAACAUGAAAUUGAAGCUUUAAUUUGUUUAUGAGAUGAUUUUAUUAGGUAAUUUUAAUAGAAAUUGAUUUUUAAGACCUAAUUGUGAAAAGUUGGAAUUAAAGUCUAGUGCUGAAAUUUUGAUUCCCAAAGGUUAUAAAGUAGUUUAAAGUGAUAGAAUAAAGUGUUAAUUGAGAAAAAUCAGCUCAAUUGAGAGGUUAAUUGAGCAGGGACGAAAUUAUCAUUUAUUAAAAGCUUAGGGGAAAAUGGUAAUAAACAUCUUGCACUAAAACAGCUUUGGACAGCAACAGUAGGCUAACUUUAAAAAAAUCACCAUAAAUUGUGGAAAUCUAAUUAGAGGAUAAAUAAAAUAUUGAAUUAAAGCUUAUUGAGUCUAGUUUCUUAUAGUAGAAACGGUGUAAGUAAUGGAAUUGUAAAUCAUGAGAUAUAUUAAAUUUUGUGAGACAAGGUCAGAAUGAAUUCGGAAUCCCCUGUUCUGAAUUUGGAAAAUCAUUAAAAAUUGGAGAAAAAUAAUUAAGGGUUAAAAUUUACAUAUUUAAACUAUUAAUGAGUCUAUUUUUAAUAGAAACAAACGGAAAUAUCAUCCAAAUUUUGUACUAAGAGAUAAUUAAUUUUUAGCAAAGAAAGGUCGAAGUUGUCAAACAACAGAACAGGGGUAAGUUUGAAGAUUUUACUGUACUCAUUGGCUGAACCAAAAAUUCUGAAAAUUUUAUGGUGAAAAUAUAUUUGAGUGUAGUUUCAGAAGCAUCAAAUGGUUUUUAAUAUGGAAUUCUGUAGCUUGAGAUAUAAAUAAUUUAGUGACUACGACUCAAGUAGACAGCUUUGAGUGAACAGUAAAUAAUAGUGGAAUUAUAGAGAAUGUUACAUAUGAACGUGAAAUGUAUUAAAUUGAUGAUUAAAUUUAUUUAUUUAGAUCCAGAAAAUUCAAAUAUGAAGCUAGAUCGAGGAAAGGAAAAAGUUCGGGAUUAGUAGAUUUUUGUAUACGAACAAGUAUCGAGGUAAGUUUGUGUAACCUGAAUUAUAUUCUUAAAUGCUUGAAAUGUAUAUUAUUGAUGUGAAUAUGAUUUAAAUGUUCAUUGUAUGAAAAUUGAUGAGACAUUGAUAUAUUUGAUAAAAAGGGGGAAAAAUCCCGGUUGAAUAAAAGGAAAAUUCGAUGGAUCUUUAAAAAGGAAUUGACGGUAAAGAAAAGAUCUAUCCCGGACAGGUGAUCCUACCCUGAUAUAGCCCUCUCGAAGAAUAUGUGUAAAAUAGAUUUAGCUCAGACGGGUAAUCUGAAUUAGGGUUUGAAUUUAGCCUGGACUAGUAAUUCAGAUCCAAGCUCAUUAGAGUAAAUUGUCGUUGUAGGGGAUUUAGCCUAGACUUGUAAUCACAACAAUACUCUAUAAGUUUAUAUUACAGGGGAUUUAGCCUGGACUGGUAAUCCUGCUGUAAGGAUGAGGUUCGCAGGAGUGUGCUCUCUGAAAUGGAAAUGUGCGCACAUGAAUAUGAAUUGACGGACCCGGAAUAGUACGCUAAAAGUGUACCUCUAAAAACCCAUCGAAAUUCCGAGAAAUUCAAUGGGAUAAAUAUGGUAAAUAAUAAGGGUAAUAGAAAACAUGGAAUUGAUGAGCUCAUCAGUCAUUAAUCUUUGUAUUGAACUCAUAUGAUGCUAUUUGAUUAAUGUUUUGGUUGAGUUUGUGUGAUAGGUAAAUGGUAAAUUGAAUGGAUGUAUGAAUAUUUAUUGUAUUGUAUUGGAAAUAUUAGGUAAGUAUAAUUCUUGUUACAUGACUUUACUAAGCACAACGUGCUUACCCUGUUUCCUUUUUCCCUGAUUUGUAGUAUUAAGAGCUCGAAGGUUGGAUUCGGUCGGAGAUACAUCACACUAUCAACUUCAACAUUUUGGUAUAUCAAGAAACUUUAUUUUGGAAUCACUGAUGUGUAUAAGUUGAUAGAGUAAAUGUUAAAGUGAAAUGAAUGUAAAGUUAGCCAUUGGUAUGGCUUGAAAUCCAGGUUUUGGUAUGUGAUGAGGUUAUCUUAUGGAUAUGCGUAAAUCUAUCUUGAAAAUAUGUUGAAUUUGAUUGGUUGAUUUGAUUUGAUAUCGGUGUAUGUUUUGGGCUUCGGAGGCCUAUCUAAGGGACGUCAUAAUAUGUUUCAAUAAAAGAAUAGUAUUUAACUCGUAAUAACGAAAAAAAAUAAUUUGAAAAACUCUGGCAAUGCCUCGUACCCUAUUCCAGUGACGAAUAUAGGUAAGGAGUGUUACAGCUAACAAUUGUACUUAAUGAAAAUUUUUUAUUCACAUGAUUGUAUCUACUCAAUAUCUAUUUGAUUUCUAUUAACGGUGAUAUUGUUAAACAUUUGGUUAUGAGAUUUGCUUCUAAUUUAUUAGUAAUGUAACUUUGUAAAGUAAUCUUAGUUUACUUUAAAAAGUUUUCAAUGCAUCGAACUAUCAAUAUUAAGUUGCAUGUGCGAUAAAAUUUUUUAUAGCUUUACUAUUUGACAACCAUGUUCGUAGUAGUAAUAAAUUCCAAGGGACGUCUUCUUUUUGCAUACUAUAUGUCUAAAGUUGGUUUGCUUGAGGACAAGCAAAAAGUUAAGUGUGGGGGAGUUACGUGUGAGAUUCUUAUUUACAUCCAUCUUCACUAACUUUAUCUUGUUUAAAUAAAGAAAUCAAGUCAUUUUCGUAUUAUUUUUUUUCCUUUUUCCCAUAUAUGUGUUUUGGUUGCUUGAGGACAAGCAACAAGUUAAGUGUGGGGGAGUGAUCUACCAGGAAUUAUACUAUUAUUUACAUCCCUUUGUAUACAUAAUUGUAUCUUGUUUAAUAGUAAAUCAAGUUAUCUUAGUAUAUAUCUAUGUUUUCAUACUUGAAGUAAUGACAUAUGUUUUUUAGUAGUUUUAUUACAUCCUAGAUAUCUAAAUAAGGUUAUAUGGUCAUGUGGGACAAAUCGGGAGCUAAACAUGCAUAAACGGGCCAAAAAUGAUGCCUAUGUCGUGACACCAAGACACCGAUGCCGCAACAUCAGAGACAAAAGCAAAACAAGUCUUGGGGUGAAACUGCUUGUUAUGUCAUAACAUAACAGGCACCAUAUUUGAUUUUGCAACACUACAUGCCUAUGUUGCAACACCACUUCUGCGCGGUCCAAAAGUCCUAGUGCGUGAUAGUUGCAUUUUUUAGGGAAAUUAGGAGAAUUUUUCCUAGUCAAACUCUAAGCACUUCAAAGAUAGUUUAGGCACUUUAAUAUUCUGAGUUUAGCCUAUAUAAAGGCCAUUGUAAUAAGUUCAAACACACAAUUUUAAGGAGACAAAAAUUAUUCUUAGGUUUUUAUUGCAUUCUUAGUUUCUACUUAGUUUAUUUUAUGUUCUUGUAAUCAAAAGAUCCUAUUCCAAAGUGAGACUUUUGCGAGCGGAGAUUGUUCGGAGCCAUACUUUCAUCGAUAAAUCUAUGAGCAUCUCUUUCCUUUAUUUUAUUCUUUAUAUUUCUUUCUUUAAAAUUGUUAAUUGAAUGUUUGUGUAAAGAUUAGAAUCAAUAUAAUUUAUAUAUAUUUCGCAUGUUUCAAUUGUACUAAUCUUAUUAAUUGAUUGAUUGAUAGAGUUUAUUUGGGUUGGUUAGAUUUGGUUGAGUGUUAUUAAACCCUAGGAUUGACAACCCUAAGAAGUCAUCUAGGUAGGAAUUAACUUGAAAUUGGUAUUGCCUACAAAGCAUCACUUAGCAAAUCAAUGGUUAGAGAAGGAAGAACUUAAACCCUAUGAUAGACGAUCCUAGGAAGUCAUAUAGGUGUGAAUUAACCCAAAUUCGGUAUUGCCUAUCCAUGAAAACCUUACCCUACCCCGAUCUGGACUGCAUCAUUGAGAGGUGAGUAGUUCUUGUCGUCUAGUUAGGUUAGUAGAAGUUGAGAAGCCCUGCUAGGUUAAUUAGUAACCAACUAUUUAGAUCCCUACAUCAAUAAUUAAUUAGGUAAAACAAUUGGAUCUAGGCUUAAGGAACUCCCGUAUUCGAAACAAGGGAUAGGAGAAGUUGAUACAUGAACUUAAGAGUAGAUUUAAGUUUAGAUCACUUUAUUUGGUUAUUAUUAUCAUCUUACUUUUAGAUUAACACUACUAAUUUAUACCUUUAGUAGAUUAGUAGUUAUUUUCGGUAAUUUGCUUAAUAGUAGUUUUUUUUUCACACUGCACAAUCUUCAGAAUACUUACCAAGUAUUUCAUUGUAAACAAACUAUAUUACAACCUGCCCCUUAUACUUGUGAACACAACCUUAAUUCCAUAUAUUUUGUAACAGUAUUCAUACUCUCAACGUUGGUAUGUCGGGAGGCAGUCAUUUAGCGAUUUCUAUUCAAAAGUGCAUGCAAGUAAGGAGACCGUGAUGGGCACAGUGAGGUGUCUAUUAGUUGAAAGCAAGUUGCCAAAGGAAUUUUGGGUUGAGGUAGUUAACACUUCAGUCUAUUUGGUGAACAGGCUGUCAACCAAGGAUGUGAAAGAAAAGACUCCAUUUGAAGCUUGGUACGGGUAUAAGCCUUUUGUUUCUCAUUUGAAAGUAUUUGGCUAUAUUUUUUUUUCAUGUACCUCAGGUGAAAAAAAGCAAAGUAGAAAGGAAAUCGUAGCCUGGGAUUUUUAAGAUGCUACUAUCUGAUUCUUAAGGAAAUACCAAUAUUUCUUCCUCCCUUGAGCUGGAAGUUGCGAUUUUGGGUUGUUAUGAGGAGAUAUUUUAUGUUUGGUUAAGUAGUAUGACUUUGUAUGCGAGUUCUGAAAGAGUAAGUUUGUUAGAUUUGGUAAAACAAAAAGAUAAAGAUAUGAGGCUUUGUUUGGGGACUUCUAAUGUUAGAAAUGUUAGUAAAAAGGUAUAUGAAUAAAUUUUGAUGUGCUUCUAUGUUCUGUAUCAGUGCUUGCUGUUGAUUUCGUAAUGAGAGUCUAGAUCUAGAGUUUUUCUUUGCGACAAGUUAGAAUCAGGUGAGUCUCUAAACUGACUCUUGUAUGUAUUAUUCAUACUAAAAAAACUGUAGGAAAUUUCUUGGAAGGUGAUGUGUGAUCUUGUAAGUUGCAGUAUGUUGUGUAUGUGACUUAGGAGUGACUAUUAAAGGAUAUAUAUGAGUGUGUGAAUGUUUGUUAAGAAUGGAAUACAUAUCUGGUAUGAAUAUGAUAGUUCUAGUAAGGCGAGGUGAGGUAUAGUUGCAUCUGAAUGUCAUGAAAGUAUAUGUGCAUGUCUUGGAUGUAUGCUAUGAGGAAUGUUCUAUUAAGAGCAAGUUGUUAUUCAAAUGGUGAAUAUGGAUCGUGUCAGUGCAUGUAGAGUAUCUGUCUGUCUUCACGGUAUUGUCUAAAGGAGUCUGUUGAGACUUUAAACACGAAUUCUGAAAAGAAAAUUCCAUGGCCAUGGCACAUUCCGAAAGGAACUAAAGGACGAGGAUUACCCAAUGGGGUUAUCUGCCUAUCCCAGGAUGAUGAUAGGCAAACCUCACGCAACGUGAGUUUAGGAAAAUCUAUAUCAUAAAUACGUCAGGAAAUGAAGCCUUUGUGGAUAACUCUAAAAAGAAAGCCUUUGUGGCUAACUCUAAAAAGGAAGCUUUCAUGGCGAACUCCAAAGGAAUAACCUCUAUGGCCAAUUGUAAUAGGAUAGCCUUUGUGGCGCAAUGUAAAAGGAACACCUGUGUGGCGAAUUAUGAAAAGAAUAGCCUUUGUGAUGGAUUAUGAAAGAGCAUCAUUCGUAGCAAACUUCAAAUGUGAUGUCCUUGUGGCGUGUCUUAAUAAGGCUCUUAGUGGGAAAACUUUAAAAGAUGUCACUUAUGGCAAUUUUUGAAUUAAGCUAAUUUUCGUAUUCAAUCUGGCUUUUAAAUGUAUUCAGAACACAAUCAACAAGGCAUAAGUUAUCUAUUAAUUAUACGGUGAAGUAUCACAUAGGACUAUCAAUCGAUUGGAAGUAUUGAAUUGAAGAGAUAUAUAGAAAUAAGGAAUUAGUAUGGAAAGUUUAUUUCAAAAUAAGGAUUUGGAAUUGUACAUUUGAAGAAGGUAUUUGUCAUCUACUCACAUGAUGGCUUAGAACUAAGUAUGGUACAGUAAUAGUGUGUUAGUUAAGUUGAUCUUGGAAAGGAAAUGCAAAGAUACUUAUAAAUGCUAGGAUGAAAGGCAUACGUGAUGUAUCGAAUACCCCAAUGGAAAAAGAGUUAAUUUUUGAGUAAGGCAUGAUAUAUAUAGUGUAUGAAGAAUGGAAUUUGAGGGAAGCAAUCGCCAAAGACAGGUUACUGGGCAAGAACAAUAAGAUCAUCUCAUUGAAUCAUCAACUGUAUUGUGCAAAUAUCACAUAGGUAAUUAUAUAUUCCUCACUUAGUUUGUAUAAACUUAUCCAUGUGUAUGUUAUAUUAUAGGUUUGAUUGCAAGGCUACACCAAGAGGGACGAUACCAGGACUACUCUAAAGGAGUGGCGUAUCGGGAAAUUAUGAAUGCAAUUAGUUGAUAUGUUCCUUAGAAUUCAUAUUUUUUUUGUAAUAUAUAGGUUUUAAAUUAGAAAUAUUUAUACCUUAAUUACCAUGUGUUGCAAAUGUAGUUAUCUACUGAACAUACUUAUAUAUUUAGUUUGAAAUCUGCAAUUGAAUAAGUUGUAAUUGUUUGAAAUUUGUAUAAGUAGGUUAAGUUUUUGUUUGUUUAUGUUGGUAAUGCCCAAGAUCUAGAUCCAAAAAAACGGACCAAGCUCAACAAAGGACUUCUCCUCGGCCAUGACUACAAUAAGCUCAGUGAUGCAUUGUCGGUGCAAAUAAUGUUCUUCCCAAAACUUCAAUCCAUCUUCAAACUAGUAGAAUGCUUCUUUUUCACUUAUAUCAGAUAUUUAAAGCAUUUAUUCACUAAAGUACUAAAUAGUGCCUUCUUGAGUAAGCCAGUGCAACUUAGCCCGAGCUUCCUUCUCGGCAUAUUAUUGGUAAAACUGUUUUUUCAUCUCCUUUUGGAACUCCUCCUAAAUUUUAAUUUUAGUCCUACCAUGUUUCUCAUCCGUGAACCUACGAUGCCACCAUAAGAGAGUAACAUCAGUAAAAUAAAUUAAAGCAGUGUUUACCUUAGUGACAUCUAUAAUGACCCAAAAUUCACGGGCAUCGAAAAAGUAUAAUAUCGAGCCUCCGUCUUGAGUUUAAAAAUAAUUAUUAGAAAUAUUUACGAGACUAGUUGUGUGUUUAAUUAGGUUUUAGAUAGGUGAAUUUGGCUCAAUUAAGAGUAAUUAGCAAAAGGGAUUAAAUUACAAUAGAAGUGAAAAUCUAAUCAUAGAUUAAAAGAAAGUAAAAAGGGCUAAAAUGGCAAUUAAGCCAUUUAAAAUGAUUGAGGCGGCAUAAAGGAAUAAAUUUUAAGAUUUUAUUUAUUUAAUUAUAUGAUUAAUGAUAUUUAUUGUUUAUUAUUAGUUAUUAGUUAUUAUUAAAUUAAAAGAUAUUUAGUAAUUAAAUAAUUAGUAUAAGAUUUUUGGGUAAUAAUAAAUUAUGAUUUUGCCAAGUGUGUGGUAAAAAUAAAAUACAAGUGUAUUAUAUUUCUUUAUUUACUUGAAAAUUAAGUAAAAGAUAAUUGUUAAUUAAAUAAUAAUAUUAUGAGAUUUUUAUUUGAUAAAUUAGUUAGAUUGAGACAAGUGUAUGUAAUGAUUUAAUGCAAGUGUACUAAUAAAAUACAUACAUUUGUAAUAUUUAUAAUUAGUUAAUAUAAUAUAAAGUAAAUGAAAUAAAAUGAAAUAAAAACAAAGCAAAAGAAAGGAAAGAAACAGAAUAGAAGAGACGAAACAGGGGAGAAACAGGGGAGAAAGAAGAAAAAGAAGAAAAUAGGGAAAAUAGGGUUUUUGAAGCUUGAAAUUUAAUUUGGUAAGUCAAAUUAGCCCUUUUCUCUUAAUUCUAAUGUUUUAAAAGCUUUAAAACAAAGUUUUGAUGGAAUUAAGUUGAUAUUUUGUAAGUUCAUAGGUUUUCAAGUAACGUUUAUGUUGAACAAAAGAGAUGAAUUAAGAAUUAAAUUGAAUGAAUUUUAAGUUAGAAUUGAAAAAGGGAUUAAAUUGUAAAAGAAACUAUAAGUUUUAUGUUUUAGGGACUAAAUUGAGGGAAAUUCGAAAUUAGCAAAAAUGCUGAAAUUUCGAUAGUUAAAUUUUAGUUUGGAUGAAAUUUGAAUAGAAAUAGAGUGUGAAUUGAAUUAGGAAAGCAAGUGAAUUUAGUUAGGAUUAAAUUGAGAAUUAGGAAGAAAUUGAAUAGAAAUUCAAUUAUUUAUUAUAAUUAGUGCUGUAAUUAAUAUUACAAAUUAUUAUUAUUUUCGUAGCUAACAAAGAACCCGAGGCAUCGGCGUCAAAAGGAAAGGAGAAAGUUAUCGAGGACUAAAACGGGAGAUUUACGGUUUGUAUUACUAUAAUUCAAAUUAUUUAUUUUUAAAUGUUUAAUUUUAAUUUAUGUGUUUAGUAAAUGAAAUGUGCGGUAAGUAUUAUUAUUAUUAUUAUUAUUAGUGGGAAUUAAACUGAAUAUUUGAUAUGAAUUAAUAUUUGAAUUGUUUGUUGAUUGAAAGUGGGAAGUGAAUUUAAAUCGAAUAGUGACUGAUAUUAAAUUGAAUGGAAAUGUAUUGAGUUGUGAAAAUGUGUGAAUUGCGGAUUAAUUAUUGAUUGAAAGGUGGAAAAAUGAUUGAAUUGAAAAUGUGAGAAAUUGUGAUUGAAUUGGGAUUAUAUGUGAUUUAAAUACCCUAUUAACUAGUCGGGCUGAGUCGGAUAUAGUUGGCAUGCCAUAGGAUUGGAAGAGUUCAGGGAUACUUCGACCUCGAGUCGAUGAGACACUGGGUGUCACUAUAUUUUUUCGGAUAGAUUCGAUGAGGUACUGGGUACCAACUUUCUUCGGCUUUGCCGAUGAGACACUGGGUGUCAACUAUUGCUUCGAACUAUCCGAUGAGGCACUGGGUGUCAUACUGGUGUGUUUGGUUGGAUCCGUGUAUCCGCCAAAGUCCGAGUUUUGUUAAUAGGGUAAUUAAUGAAAUGAUAAACCGAACGAGCUACUGAAAUGAAAUGAAAAAGUUGAAUUGUGAAUUGAAAUGUGAAAUGAGAUUGAGAAAUGAACCUAAAGUUCAUGAGAUGUUCAAAUUCAAAUUGUGGAUAUGUGAUAUUGAUUGAUGGAUUGCUAUUGUUGAGAUAUUGAAUUUAAAUUGUAUAUACGAUUUAUGCAUUACAUGUACAUUAUUGUUAUAAUUUGAAUUAUGGUAAUACCACUGAGUAUGAAUUACUCAGCGUACGGUUGUUUCCAUGCGCAGGUCGAUAGAAGUCAAAGGUCUCGGUUCAGCAUCCAGAUUAAUCCCGGCUUCAGCAUAACUUUGGUGAUGUAUAUUUUCUUUUGGUAAUGUGGCAUGUACAUAGGAAUUAUAAGUUUUAUAUAAAUGGUUAAAAAUGUUAGUAUUAUAAGUUUAUGAAUUAUAAUGAAAGAAGUUUAUCUAUUUUAAUCUAAUUAGUCAAUGGAUAAAUUUAAAUUGAUAUUAUGUUAAUUGAGUUUGAUUAGAAGUAUUUAGAAUAGAAAAUGUGAAUGUGAAAUGAAUUGGUUGAUUUGGUUAUAUUUGAAAAUGUUAUGGAUUUUAAUUGCAGGGGGUUGUAUGUAAAAAUAAGCAGAAGUGCUGCCGAAAUUUUUCAAAAAAAAAAUGAAUGAAGUUUAUUAGCGAAAUUUAUAUGAAUUUAUGACUCUCUUUUAUAUGUUCGUUAAUUGUUUAUGAAUUAUUUGAAAUUUGUCUGAAAUGUCCGGUAAUGCCUCAUAACCCUGUUCUGGCAACGGUUCAGGGUUAGGGGGUGUUACAGUUGUUGGUAUCAGAGCUAUCAGGUUUAGCCGAUUCUCGGCCUAAAUCGAGCUCGGAAUUGAGUCUAGAUGUACAUGCCACUGUCGAGUCAAACUGAGUCGAGAUUUUUGGAUGCUGACCUAUUUGUUUGCUUUGUUUUAUAGAUUAAAGAUGUCUGAAGAAAGAAUAAAUGAUACUGAUGAAAGAAUGUAUACUGAAGAUAGAGAAUUAGAUGAAACAGAAUCUGCUGCACCGAGUGUGAAUCUGUUAGGCAACCAGCCUCCUAAUGUGGAACGGGAAAAUGCCAGAGAUAGAGAUGAAUCCCAAUUACUGAGAAUUAUAGCUGAUGCAUUACAAAGAGUAGCGAGAACUACUCCUGCUACGACUUCAGUACCUACUGUUAGACGGGCCCCGAUAAAAGAACUGAGAAAAUAUGGUGCCACUGAAUUUAUGGGUCUAAAAGGAGUCGAUCCAUCCGCAGCUGAAAAUUGGAUGGAGUCGAUUAAAAGAAUUUUGCAGCAAUUAGACUGUACCCCCCGUGAGUGUUUAAUCUGUGAUGUAUCGUUGCUACAAGGGGAGGCUUAUCUAUGGUGGGAAUCAGUAGUUCGACAUCUAUCAGAGAGUCAGAUAACGUGGGAUCUAUUUCAGAAGGAAUUCCAAAAGAAAUAUAUCGGAGAGAUAUAUAUCGAAGACAAGAAACAAGAGUUUUUAAUGUUACAACAGGGGGAUAUGUCAGUAAUAGAUUAUGAGAGAGAAUUCUCGAGACUCAGCAGAUAUGCCUCCAAAUUUAUCCUGACAGAAGCUGAUAGUUGUAAAAGAUUUCUAUGGGCUUUGCGAGACGAGAUCAAGGUACAGUUAGUAUCUCAUCGGAUCACUGAGUUAGUAGAUUUGAUUGAGCGGGCUAAAAUGGUGGAACAAGUUCUAGCCCUUGAUAAAAAGACUGAAGUUGUUAGACCAACCAGGAAAUGUACAGGAACUACGAGUUCGAACCUUCAGCCGAAAAGACCAAAGGAGUCUCAAGGUGGUUGAAGAUCCAGUUUCAGAUCAGGCAAAGGUGGUAGAAGCAGGGGAAGAUAGAUGACGGUAUCUACUGGCAAUGUGAGAGGUCCUUGUCGAGAAAUAGAAAUUCCAGACUGUCAACACUGUGGAAAGAAACAUAGAGGGGAAUGUUGGAGAUUAACUAGAGGUUGUUUCCGAUGUGGUUCUACAGACCAUUUUAUCAGAAAUUGUUUGAAAACUGAUAGUACUGUACCCGUGACAUCACAGAGAUCGGUAUCUACUGCUAGAGGCAGAGGGUUAGGAAGAGGUGGUUCGGUUUCAAGGGGAGGAAGUAUUAGGAGGAGUAGUGAUAUUGCUACCCAGCAGUCUGAAGCUAAAGUACCUGCCAGAGCUUAUGUGGUCAGAACACGGGAAGAAGGCGACGCCCACGGUGUAGUAACAGUAAGAUCAGAACUGUAUGUGAGUUUCCAGAUGUAUUCCCUGAAGAACUACCGGGUUUACCACCUGACAAAGAGGUUGAAUUUGCUAUAGAAGUGUAUCCGGGUACAACACCAAUCUCUAUACCACCGUAUCGAAUGUCGCCCACUGAGUUAAAAGAGUUGAAAGUGCAAUUACAGGACUUGCUAGAUCGUGGAUUUAUUAGACCGAGCAUUUCACCUUGGGGAGCUCCGGUAUUGUUUGUUAAAAAGAAAGAUGGAUCGAUUCGGCUUUGUAUUGAUUACCGGCAGUUAAACAAAGUGACGAUCAAGAACCGGUAUUCGUUACCCCGUAUAGAUGAUUUAUUUGAUCAACUAAAAGGAGCUUCAGUAUUUUCGAAGAUUGACUUGAGAUCUGGGUAUUAUCAGCUGAAAGUAAAAGAAAGUGAUGUUUCGAAGACUGCAUUUCAUACUCGAUAUGGUCAUUAUGAAUUUUUGGUAAUGCCGUUCGGGUUGACUAAUGCUCCAGCUGCUUUUAUGGAUUUGAUGAAUCGUAUUUUUCAGCCAUAUUUAGACCAGUUUGUGGUGGUUUUUAUUGAUGAUAUAUUGGUUUAUUCAAAUUCGGAGUCAGAGCAUGAUCAGCAUCUCAAAACCGUGUUACAGAUUCUGCGGGAAAAAUAGUUGUACGAGAAACUGAGUAAAUGUGAAUUCUGGUUAUCAGAGGUAGUAUUCUUGGGACAUGUUGUAUCUGCGGAUGGGAUUAGAGUUGAUCUGAAGAAGAUUGAGGCAAUUGUUCAAUGGAAGGCACCAAAGAAUGUAUCAGAGGUACGCAGUUUUCUUGGUUUGGCUGGGUAUUACAGAAAAUUUGUAAAUGGGUUUUCGAAGAUAGCUUUGUCGAUGACCAAGUUACUACAGAAGAAUGUUCCAUUUAUCUGAGAUGAUCAAUGCCAGAGAAGUUUUGAAACAUUGAAACAAAUGUUGACAGAGGCACCAGUCCUAACUUUACCAGAAUUAGGGAAAGAUUUCAUAGUGUACAGUGAUGCUUCUUUGAAUGGUUUGGGUUGUGUAUUGAUGCAGAAUGGAAAAAUAAUAGCUUAUGCAUCUCGACAGUUGAAACCACAUGAACGUAACUACCCGACACACGAUUUGGAGUUAGCUGCUGUAGUAUUUGCAUUGAAGAUUUGGAUACAUUACUUGUAUGGUGAGAAAUGUUAUAUUUACACUGAUCAUAAAAGUCUCAAAUAUCUUCUGUCACAAAAGGAGUUGAAUCUGAGACAGAGACGAUGGAUAGAACUUCUGAAAGAUUAUGAUUGUGUUAUAGAUUAUCAUCUAGGAAAGGCAAAUGUGGUAGCAGAUGCAUUGAGCAGAAAGGCAGCGGCUGAAUUACGGACAAUGUUUGCUCGGCUUAGUAUUAAUGAUGAUGGAAGUUUGUUAGCUGAGUUAAGAGUUAAGCCGGUAAUGUUUGAUCGAAUCAGAGCAGCACAACUAGAAGAUGAGAAGUUGAUGAAGAAAAGAGAAAUGGUACAGCAUGGUACGGUAGAAAAUUUUAGUAUUGACGAGCAUGAUUGUUUGAGAUUUCGGAAUCGAAUUUGUAUUCCAGCUACUUCUGAGAUUAAAGAGCUGAUUCUUCGAGAAGCACAUGAUAGUAUUUUUGCUUUGCACCCAGGUGGAACGAAGAUGUAUCGCGAUCUACGAGAACUGUAUUGGUGGCCAAGAAUGAAGAACGAUAUAGUUGAGUAUGUCAGUAAAUGCUUGACUUGUCAGCGGGUAAAAGCAGAACAUCAGGAACCAACAGGUCUGUUACAGCCUAUUACUAUUCCCGAGUGGAAAUGGGAUCGCAUUACCAUGGAUUUUGUUAUGGGGUUGCCAUUGUCAGUGAGUAAAAAGAAUACCAUUUGGGUGAUUGUUGAUCGACUCACAAAGUCAACUCAUUUUAUAGUAGUUAGAACCGACUGGUCAUUACAGAAGCUUGCCGAGGUUUAUAUUCGAGAAAUUGUUAGAUUACAUGGUAUUCCGGUAUCAAUAAUUUCAGACAGAAAUCCUCAAUUCACUUCGAGAUUUUGGAAGCAGCUGCAUGAAUCAUUGGGUACUCGACUUAGUUUCAGUACAGCUUUUCAUCCUCAAACUGAUGGACAAUCUGAACGGGUAAUUCAGAUAUUAGAAGAUAUGCUUCGAGCUUGUGUCAUUGAUUUUGAAUCAGGUUGGGAACGUUAUUUACCAUUGGCCGAGUUUGUUUAUAAUAAUAGUUUCCAAUCUAGUAUUCAAAUGGCUCCGUAUGAAGCACUUUAUGGUCGAAGGUGUCGGUCACCAGUAUGUUGGACAGAAUUAAAAGAAAGAAAAGUGAUUGGGCUGGAAUUAAUUCAAGAGACAGAAGAAACAGUUAAGAAGAUUAAAGAUAGACUGAAAGCCGCUUUUGACAGACAGAAAUCUUACGCAGACUUGAAACGACGAGACAUUGAAUAUUCCAUUAGUGAUAAGGUAUUCCUCAAAGUAUCGCCGUGGAAGAAAAUUUUGAGAUUUGGUCGGAAGGGAAAAUUAAGUCCGCGCUUUAUUGGGCCGUAUGAGAUUGUGGAAAGAAUUGGGCCUGUUGCUUAUCGAUUAGCCUUACCUCCAAAGUUACAGAAAAUUCAUGAUGUUUUUCAUGUUUUGAUGCUUCGGAGAUUUAGAUCGGAUUCUUCUCAUAUCAUUCCCACUGAAGACAUUGAAAUUCGAUCUGAUUUAACUUAUGAAGAAGAACCAAUUCAGAUAUUAGCACGAGAAGUGAAAGAAUUAAGAAAUAAACGGGUUCCUUUAGUAAAAAUUUUAUGGAGAAGUCAUAGUGUGGAAGAAGCGACUUGGGAACCGGAAGAGACAAUGAGAGCACAAUAUCCUCAUCUCUUCUCAGGUAAAUUUCGAGGACGAAAUUUAUUAAGGGGGAGAAAUGUAAUGACCCAAAAUUCACGGGCAUCGGAAAAGUAUAAUAUCGGGCCUCCGUCUUGAGUUUAAAAAUAAUUAUUAGAAAUAUUUAUGAGACUAGUUGUGUGUUUAAUUAGGUUUUAGAUAGGUGAAUUUGGCUCAAUUAAGAGUAAUUAGCAAAAGGGAUUAAAUUACAAUAGAAGUGAAAAUCUAAUCAUAGAUUAAAAGAAAGUAAAAAGGGCUAAAAUGGCAAUUAAGCCAUUUAAAAUGAUUGAGGCGGCAUAAAGGAAUAAAAUUUAAGAUUUUAUUUAUUUAAUUAUAUAAUUAAUGAUAUUUAUUAUUUAUUAUUAGUUAUUAGUUAUUAUUAAAUUAAAAGAUAUUUAGUAAUUAAAUAAUUAGUAUAAGAUUUUUGGGUAAUAAUAAAUUAUGAUUUUGUCAAGUGUGUGGUAAAAAUAAAAUACAAGUGUAUUAUAUUUAUUUAUUUACUUGAAAAUUAAGUAAAAGAUAAUUGUUAAUUAAAUAAUAAUAUUAUGAGAUUUUUAUUUGAUAAAUUAGUUAGAUUGAGACAAGUGUAUGUAAUGAUUUAAUGCAAGUGUACUAAUAAAAUACAUACAUUUGUAAUAUUUAUAAUUAAUUAAUAUAAUAUAAAGUAAAUGAAAUAAAAUGAAAUAAAAACAAAGCAAAAGAAAGGAAAGAAACAGAAUAGAAGAGACGAAACAGGGGAGAAACAGGGGAGAAAGAAGAAAAAGAAGAAAAUAGGGAAAAUAGGGUUUUUGAAGCUUGAAAUUUAAUUUGGUAAGUCAAAUUAGCCCUUUUCUCUUAAUUCUAAUGUUUUAAAAGCUUUAAAACAAAGUUUUGAUGGAAUUAAGUUGAUAUUUUGUAAGUUCAUAGGUUUUCAAGUAAUGUUUAUGUUGAACAAAAGAGAUGAAUUAAGAAUUAAAUUGAAUGAAUUUUAAGUUAGAAUUGAAAAAGGGAUUAAAUUGUAAAAGAAACUAUAAGUUUUAUGUUUUAGGGACUAAAUUGAGGGAAAUUCGAAAUUAGCAAAAUAUGCUGAAAUUUCGAUAGUUAAAUUUUAGUUUGGAUGAAAUUUGAAUAGAAAUAGAGUGUGAAUUGAAUUAGGAAAGCAAGUGAAUUUAGUUAGGAUUAAAUUGAGAAUUAGGAAGAAAUUGAAUAGAAAUUCAAUUAUUUAUUAUAAUUAGUGCUGUAAUUAAUAUUACAAAUUAUUAUUAUUUUCGUAGCUAACAAAGAACCCGAGGCAUCGGCGUCAAAAGGAAAGGAGAAAGUUAUCGAGGACUAAAACGGGAGAUUUACGGUUUGUAUUACUAUAAUUCAAAUUAUUUAUUUUUAAAUGUUUAAUUUUAAUUUAUGUGUUUAGUAAAUGAAAUGUGCGGUAAGUAUUAUUAUUAUUAUUAUUAUUAGUGGGAAUUAAACUGAAUAUUUGAUAUGAAUUAAUAUUUGAAUUGUUUGUUGAUUGAAAGUGGGAAGUGAAUUUAAAUCGAAUAGUGACUGAUAUUAAAUUGAAUGGAAAUGUAUUGAGUUGUGAAAAUGUGUGAAUUGCGGAUUAAUUAUUGAUUGAAAGGUGGAAAAAUGAUUGAAUUGAAAAUGUGAGAAAUUGUGAUUGAAUUGGGAUUAUAUGUGAUUUAAAUACCCUAUUAACUAGUCGGGCUGAGUCGGAUAUAGUUGGCAUGCCAUAGGAUUGGAAGAGUUCAGGGAUACUUCGACCUCGAGUCGAUGAGACACUGGGUGUCACUAUAUUUUUUCGGAUAGAUUCGAUGAGGUACUGGGUACCAACUUUCUUCAGCUUUGCCGAUGAGACACUGGGUGUCAACUAUUGCUUCGAACUAUCCGAUGAGGCACUGGGUGUCAUACUGGUGUGUUUGGUUGGAUCCGUGUAUCCGCCAAAGUCUGAUUUUUGUUAAUAGGGUAAUUAAUGAAAUGAUAAACCGAACGAGCUACUGAAAUGAAAUGAAAAAGUUGAAUUGUGAAUUGAAAUGUGAAAUGAGAUUGAGAAAUGAACCUAAAGUUCAUGAGAUGUUCAAAUUCAAAUUGUGGAUAUGUGAUAUUGAUUGAUGGAUUGCUAUUGUUGAGAUAUUGAAUUUAAAUUGUAUAUACGAUUUAUGCAUUACAUGUACAUUAUUGUUAUAAUUUGAAUUAUGGUAAUACCACUGAGUAUGAAUUACUUAGCGUACGGUUGUUUCCGUGCGCAGGUCGAUAGAAGUCAAAGGUCUCGGUUCAGCAUCCAGAUUAAUCCCGGCUUCAGCAUAACUUUGGUGAUGUAUAUUUUCUUUUGGUAAUGUGGCAUGUACAUAGGAAUUAUAAGUUUUAUAUAAAUGGUUAAAAAUGUUAGUAUUAUAAGUUUAUGAAUUAUAAUGAAAGAAGUUUAUCUAUUUUAAUCUAAUUAGUCAAUGGAUAAAUUUAAAUUGAUAUUAUGUUAAUUGAGUUUGAUUAGAAGUAUUUAGAAUAGAAAAUGUGAAUGUGAAAUGAAUUGGUUGAUUUGGUUAUAUUUGAAAAUGUUAUGGAUUUUAAUUGUAGGGGGUUGUAUGUAAAAAUAAGCAGAAGUGCUGCCGAAAUUUUUCGAAAAAAAAUGAAUGAAGUCUAUUAGCGAAAUUUAUAUGAAUUUAUUACUCUCUUAUAUAUGUUCGUUAAUUGUUUAUGAAUUAUUUGGAAUUUGUCUGAAAUGUCCGGUAAUGCCUCGUAACCCUAUUCUGGCAACAGUUCGGGGUUAGGGGGUGUUACAACAUCAUCCUAAUACCCAACGACUGAUAGUGUUGUUCCAUUUCCCACAAGAAGUUGUCCACUUCUCUAGUGGACCUUCCCCCUCAAACUUCUCUGGUUUGGGAACAUCCAUCUUCCGUUGAUUUGGUCUCGAAGCCAACAUCUUAUUGCUCAAAUUAGCCUUAUAGAUUGUGAGCUCCCCCUUAAGCUCCUCAAUUUUUUCUUUCAAGGUCAUCAUUGUGGCCUCAAGAGCAUCAUCCGUCACGGUCAACUUAUCCACAAUGGAACUAAGCAUCCAUUGCAUCACUUCCACAUUAGAACCGAGAGACUCCAAGAUAAAUUCCUUGAAUUUCUCCUUCAUCGAGUUUAACUCAUUGGUGCGUCGCUCAACUACCUUGAGUGUCUCCCCCAUAUCUCCAAUAGGCUCCUCAAGAUUGGUCACUUGAAUUGCCAAAGCCGACAGCAUUUCCCUCGAUCAAUUAGCUUUGCUAGAGCUCCCGUGGGUCUCCAUAGGCUUAAUUUGAUCUUCUACUCCUUUUGUCAUCUCAAGUGGCACUUUCAAAACCUUAGCUCUAAUACCAACUAUCACAGGGGUAGAACUUUAGUCUCACAAUCCGUGCGACCUUAGGCAAAUUCUUAGGUUCAAAUCCGCCUAAGUUAGUCUAACUCUUGCAAAGUGAAAAAUCUUGAUAGAAAUUCUCUAAGGUGCAAAAAAUAAAGUGAAAGUAAAUCAAAACAAAAGAACAAAAAAUGCCACAAGAAAGCAAAGUACAUCAAGUGUUUGAGUAAAUGUUCUCAAAGUAUUCUAUUACUCUGGAAAUAAUACAAAAAAUAGGAUAGGAUACAAUGGAAUAUUACAAAUGAGGGAGAAUGCCUCUAUUUAUACUUGAGCUCCCCAAGCCAACGAUAUAGAUUGAGUUACAUUAAUGAUUGAGAUUAAAUCCUAUCUACAAUUGAGAUUCUUAAAGGAUUGACUUAAUCUUUUAAGAUUAUAAAAUCAAGUCUUAUCAUGUUACAUAUCUUCUAAGAUUGGUUUCCUUAUUUGCCAAUAUAGCCCUAAUUUUCCAUAAAUGCUUCACUGGACUAUCAAUGCUUCAAGUAGACAGGCUUCUCCAUAUGCUCCACAAAUCGGGCCAGUUCAAAUGCGUCGAAUGAGCCAUGUUUCAUCAUUUGACCUCCAUGGGACAAUCCUUGGCAUUCAUCACGGGCUCUGAUCCGUGACCCAUGACAUAAGCACAUAAAUGUUUAGUAAGUUUAAUUGACAAGUAUUAUACUUAUCUUGCUAGGUGGACCUACAAAUUCAUUGCUCAACAAGCUUCAUAUUCUCGUAUUAGUUACUUAGCAUAAGAUAAGGAAAAUGUGUAGGUAACCAUGUUCAUUAAGUCUAUACAAGCAAAUUAUAACAUGUCCAAUAAGUGUUCAUUAUAUUCUAUUGAUCACAUGUGCACCUAUUUCCACUUUAUUACUACCUUUCAAUUCCAAUUUACGAGUUAAGAUAAUCAAGUUCAUACCUUUUUCAACCUUAAUUCUUUUCUUUAACCAUUUCUUGUCCAAUUUCAAUUUUGUAGCCCAUGUAAUCUUAGUAAAAUAGGACUCGGCUACUAUGAGAAAACCAAAAAUGCUAAGCCCAAAGGCCAUCACAUAUCAUAUCAUGUAGGCCUCCGAAGAGGUAUUGAAAGUCUAAUGGUCUAUAACAAAUGUUCUACCAAGGGUAAGCUAGAACUGGGUUUUCAGAAAACAAACCACAUACCUCUGAACCUCACACCACAACAAAUGUACUUAAGUGUAAGGCACAAAGGCAACAUAUAACAAAUAGGUUCAAAGGCGACAUACACAUAUAACUCUAAUUGACAUGUCAAUCGUAUCCUAACCUUUCUACCAAGUUUACAUAAGCUAUCAUUAACAUACUAAAGAAUUCACAUUUAAGUACCAUUAAGGCAAUUUUUCAUAUGUAUCGUCAUAUUUCCAUAAUGCCACACUUUAAUCACAAGAGUUAAGAUCUUCAAUUGAGGUUUUCAUACCACAUGAAUUUACGUGUUUGUUUAUUCACGUUAACAUGGUUACGUAUAUCAUAAUCAUACUAAAUCUUAACUUGACAUAGUCAAUUACCAUAUUUAACACGUUCUUUCAUAUUUAAUUCUUUGCAUAACAUAGUUCAGUAUAUAAACAUAUUAACUAGUAUAUUCCAUUAAGGUUCUGUUAAUAUACUCAUUAAUUAAUCGUCCAUUCAUGAUCUUAACAUGUUAUAUUCAUUAUGCAUCAAAUUAAAUGUUGUUGAGCUAUUUAACACCUAUAAACAUUGUACUAAAGACACAUAAUAAGCAAAUAUUGUAAGUUCAAGUGAACUUACCUAUUAAGAUCAUUUAAUGAUCAUCAAUUUAAAUUUUCAUUUCCUUAACUUAAGAUUCUACUCAAAAUACACACAACACAUACAAGCAUUGAAUUAAUAAUUUGAAUCUCCUUUGGUUAGUCUUACAAGCAUUGGAUUAAUUGAAUUCAACACUUGAUAGCCAUAUAGUGGCCAUUUUACUUGUUGAAAAUUCAAGAAUGCUUAACCUUUGAGCCUUAGACUUUUAUAUCCAAAAUUGAUAUAACUCGUAAUUUUCCUAUUCAAUUUUUGUUCCAACUUUAAAGUUAUAAUUUCAAGACCUCAAAUGAUCCAAAAACAUGUUUAAACUCCAAAGUUCUCAUAAUUAUCUCUAAGGCUUCUUAAGUACUCAACAAUGGUGGUAUGAACAUCCUUUAACCAAUUUUUAAUCCACCUUCUUUUCUAACUUACACUCUUCUAAGUUCAUCCCAACAUAAGCAUUGAACUAUCAUGAUCAAGCUUCAUCUCUUUCAGUUCCAAGCAUUCAUCUAUGAUUAUCUAAGGAUUUUUCUCAUCAAUUUUAACAUCGAAAAUGAAUGGGCUCAUGCUUAUCUAUUAUUUUAUGCUAUCAAUUAAACCAAAAUUCAAAGGAAACUUAUCAAUUUCUUGAAGAGCAACUCACGGCACCAUGAAACCUCCAUGAAAAUUUUCUUUUUCUUCUUUGUUCUUAAACCAUGGAGAAUGGAUGAGGAUGACCACAUAAUAAGCUUAUUCUCCCACCCACUAAGUAUAUAUAUACCUAAUUAAUCAAUUUAUUAACCUUUAAUAAUAAUCAUCCAAUGUUGGGAUUUAAGCAUGGCAAAUUGAGCGGAAAUGUAUGGCUUUUACCAUGCUUCUCCACUAAGUAAAUAAAUGAUGGUUUAUUUGUCAUUUUAAGGCAUUUGAUUAAUUUUUCAUCCAAUCCUCCAAACCUUGCUAGUGCAUAUUUAGAUCUUAUGCAUCAAUUACUAAUUUAUCAAUUUAAUCCCUUUAAUAAUUCUCGACAAUAUUUCAUAUCUACUUCAUUAACUUCUCGAUUAAUAAUAAAUUUUUGAAACGGCUUGAUCGAGAAAUCGAAUUAUUCCUAUCACAGCGAAAAAUAGAUCAUCAAACUAUUUUAAUUUGAUUUAUUAAUGUCUUUUCCAAAUUCGUAUUUAAUUAAUAAAUAUUCCACAAUAACCUUCAUUAAUUGAUAAUUUUUCCUUGUAUUAUAGGAGAUUUAUAAAUAUUCAUAUUGUAGCAUAAGUAAACUCAAUUUAAAGUGCACAAGGAAAUAGUCAAAUAUCUCAAACUUCAAGAGCCUUUAAUUAAGCCACAAUGUGUUCGCACACUCUAUUAACACUAGUGAAUUUCAUUAAUUAUAAUUUGAUCAUUAGAGUACUAGCUAAAAUUUUAUCCCAAGAUUCAAAUUGUCUUUCAAUAAAUCCUCGACAAUUUUGUGGUCUCUAACUCAAAAUUUUUUUACUUUUGUGAUAUUCGUAAAGAACAACUUCAGCAAGUAAUUCAUCUUUAUGAAUAGUCAUCACUAAUUAAAUCAUGCAUAUUAAAUUUGAUAUCAGAAAAGCUUACAAGUCGCAUCAUAAAUACAUAAUUGUGAUAUAUUUGAAUGGUUUUCCACCUCAGCAUAGGCUUAUUUUAGAGUAAAUUUGUAUGCAUUUUAGGGAAAAAUACCAAAAAAACCAAUUUUUUUUUAAAUUUACCGAAAUGGGCUCAGUAUUUUAUUAUUUACCGGAAUGGGCAUUUUCCCCGAAACCGCGUCCACGUCAGCACGAUGUCAAGGUACGUGCCAGGAAAUCGCGGCCACGUCAGCGCGCUUUGCUGACAUGGCAACAAAUCGCGUCCUCUAAAGCGCGAUUUGUGUCCACGUCAGCAAAACGCUCUGACGUGGACGCGAUUUCCUGGCACGUACCCUGACAUCGUGCUGAUGUGGAUGCAAUUUCGCCGUGUCUCCCACGUUAGGGUUUUUAGGGGUUUUAGGGCUUUUGGAGAAAAAAGUAAACAAAUAAGGGAUUAGGGUUAAGGGUUUCGUAAUUAAAUUAAUUAAAUUUUAUUCAAAAUUGGAUUACGUUUCGUGUUUAUGGGUUUUUAAGAUAAAAUCAAAGCAGGAUGAUUUAUCAGAAGGAUUUUUGAAGUCGCACCCACGUGUACGCGCUUUUGCUACAGUAGGUCUUGGGAAAAUAAUUUCGACUUGAUGUUUUUGAGCAAAUAGUUUAAAAAACAUUUCAAGCAGAAUGCUUUGUGAGAAGAAUUUGUGAAAUCGCGCCGUCGUGGACGCGCUUUUACUACAGUUGGUCCUAAAAGAAAUAAUUUCGAGUUGAUGUUUUUGAGCAAAUAGUUUAAAAAACGCUUCAAACAGGAUGCUUUAUAAUAAGAAUUUGUGAAGUCGUGCCCACGUGGAUGCGCUUUUGCUACAGUAGGUCCUAAAAAAAUAAUUUUGAGUUAACGUUUCUGAGCAAAUAAUAUAAAACAACGCUGCAAGUAGCAUGCUAUUUGAGAAGAAUUUGUGAAAUUGUGCCCUCGUGAACGUGCUUUUGCUACAGUUGGUCCUGGAAAAAUAAUUUUGACUUGACGUUUCUGAGCAAAUAGUAUAAAAUCGAUUCUAGAAGGAUGCUUUAUGAGAAGAAUUUGUGAAAUCACGCCCACGUGGACGCGCUUUUGCUACAGUAACAUGUUUGGGCUGAGGCUAUAAAUGAGGCAAAAAAUGUUCUGAGAUUGCAUAAGUCACAGCAAAAACAAUUUAGAGAGGCUAAGAAGGUUAGAGUUUCAAAUAUGAGUGAACGUAUUAGUGCUGUUAUUUACUACAGUGGUGAGGUUUGCCACACUGAGAAUGGUGUUGUUUUUUUGUCGAAGAAUACGGUGCGACUGGUUUUUAACCAAAACAUAGAUUUGACAGAACUUCGUAAAAGAAUUAGGCGUAAAAUUUUCGAAACGACGCCAAUGAAAGUUCUGUCUAUUACAUAUCGAUUUUGUUCCUCUGUUGAUCCGGUGACAUAUGACUCGUUCGACAUAAAAGGUGAUCGUAGCUUGGAGGCAAUUGUGCAGACUCAUCUUGCUAGUCGAGCACAUUAUAUUGAGUUAUAUGUACAAUUUACAUUGCCAAAUGAUGUACUUGCGACCAGUGUUCGAGAUGUAUACACGACCCCUGGCCAACAUUCGGUUAGCGGGUUAGAAAACACGAAACAGCCCAUGUUUGGUAGUGGUGUUGAAUGCACAUCCCCCGCAGGACCUCUGUCGGUGGAUGGGACAUGUACGUCGGUGGUUCGAUGUUUGAUGCUGGAAAUACGUACUGGGGAACGUCAUCAAGUUCUAGUGAUUAACAAUCUACAUCCAAUUGGGGACGUUAUGAAAUGCCCAGAAAAAAGGAUGAUGUACUCCCUACGACGUCAAUUGGUGAGGGGACCUCAUACGCUGCAGAUGAUUAUGGGUUAGAAGAUGACUCCGAUGUGGAUCUACCUCGAGAGCUCGGGCCUGAUGGUGUAGAAGUUGGCUUAUUUUCUGAACCGGAGUCUAUUCCAACAAAACUUGAAGAUGCUGAAAGGAGUUCAGAUGAAGAAGAAAAUCCACGAUUCAGAGCAUACUCACCUUCAGCCCACAUGCAUAAUGUCGAUCUGUCUGCAGAUGAUACAUUAGAGUUUCCAGAUCUACCACACUGGUUGCGUGAUCGUACCAGUUCAGGGCUAGAUUCAGGUGAAUUUUAAGUUGGUAAUCAGUUUACCAACAAGGAUAGUUUUAUUGGUGUUUUGAAACAACAUAGCAUCAAAAAAUGCGUUAACUACCACGUCGUUAAAUCCAAAUCUGAUAAGUUUGAAGCGAAAUGUACGGUGCAAUAUGGCACAUGUUCAUGGAAAAUCUACGCUUCGUUAAGGAAAAAGACAGGGUUGUGGGAGAUUAAAAAGUACAAAGGUCCACAUACAUGUGCUGCAGGUACAAUAUUGACGGUAUCUGAAUAAUACUUUUAUUAUGUAAUGUUGCAUUAUUUAAUGUAAUCCGUUUAUAGGUGUUUCACAAAAUCAUCCGAAGAUGGAUUCAGCUAUGUUAGCUAGCUUGAUACUGCCCACGGUAAAAGCAGAUUCCAGGAUUUUAGUACCGGUGUUAAUUGCCAAUAUUCGUAGCCAAAUGGGGUACACGCCCUCUUACCGUAAGGCUUGGAUAGCUAAGAAAAAGGCGUUGAAGAAGAUGCAUAGUUGGUGAGACGCCUCAUAUACUGAAAUAUGACAGUGGUGUCAAGUGCUAGAGAGAUACGUCCAAGGUGCCUCACAGACCUUGAAACGGAACAUGCGUACUACAACGGCCAAUUGCUACGUGGAUGCCAAGUGUUCAAACGUCUGUUUUGGACCUUUAAGUAAUGCCAAGACGCAUUUCCAAGCUGCAAGACAUUGGUACAAAUUGACAGUACCUUUAUGUUUGGUAGGUAUACUCAUCGGCUAUUGCUUGCAGUGGUACAGGAUAGCGGUGGGAGAAUUCUUCCAAUUGCAUUUGCAAUAACACCGGGGGAGUCGUCUGAUGACUAGGAUUUCUUUCUCUCUAGGUUAAGGAGGCAUGUGUGCCUCCAACCUGAUAUCUGUGUUAUUUCAGAUCGGGGCACCGGUAUACUAGUUGCAUUUGAUCGACAGGGAAGCUUAUGGCAGUGCACACACCAUCGAUAUUGCGUAAGACACGUUGCUUCCAACUACUACAGGCAAUACCCAUCUAAGAGCGAACGACGACAAGUGACCAACAUGGGUAUUUAGUCUAUAUCUGUGUUAUUUCGUUUCUCAAUUUGAAUUAGUUUUAUUAGUAGAAGUUGUAUGUAAUAUUCGCUAUGAACUUAUAUUGGCAGGGUAUGAAAUAAAUAAAUAUCGUUUCCACGAGAUGUUGGCAACUUUACGUUCAAUUAACGGAGAAGGGGCAGACUACCUUUGUAACAUACGUUUCGAACAGUAGGCACAAGCAUACGACGGCGGCCUACGAUAUGGCCAUAUGACGUCAAACCUGGCUGAAUGCAUAAAUUCUAUUCUUAAAGGAACAUAUUUUCGUUCAGCGACGCUAUUUCCAAAGCGAGCAGCAAGUUAUGCAGGCCAGAUGCAGGGAGGACAUGUAUGGUGCAGUAAGGUAGUUUAAGAAAUUAACAAGGCCAAGGCGCAGGCAAACACCAUGCACACAGUGUGUCACGAUCGAGACAACUUAUGGUUUCACGUGACAGAGUUUGACAGACCGCACCAAGGUGUUGUUGGCGGACAAUAUCGUGUACACUUGCGAAAUAGGACUUACAACUGUGGGAUGUUUGAUGCACUUCGUUAUCCAUGCGCUCAUGUUAUUGCAGCUUGUCAGAAUCUCCGUCUAGAUCCGAUAAAUUGUGUGGACGAAGUGUACAAAUUAGAAAACAUGUACAACGUCUGGAGACUCGUUUUUCCACUGGUCCCAGAUGAACGUAAGUGGCCCCCCGUAUCUCUUUCUCAUUUUAAGCUGUUACCGGAUAGAGAAUUACGUCGUAAACCAGAGGGUCGACCUUGCUCGACUAGAAUACAUAACAAUAUGGAUAUCCGAGAAACAGUCAAUCAACAUAAGUUGUGCAGAUGGUGUAGGAAUCCAGGCCAUACAAGUCGAUCAUGCCCUAAUCGCAAUAGUUGAAUGUAAUUUUUUUAAAAAAAAUUAUAUUUUUUCAAUUAUUAACUGAUAAUUGUAUUAAUUGUUAGUAAAAUUAUCAAAUUAUAUCAAAUAAUUAAUUGUUAGUAUCAGUCAAAACAUUUUUUCAAAUCUAACAUUAUGUGAAUAUAAAAUUAUUAACUGAUAAUUGUAUUAAUAUUAGUAAAAUUAUCAAAUUAUAUUUAAGUUAAGGGUUAGGGUUUUUAAGUUAAGGGUUAAGGGUUAAGGAUUUUAAAGUUAAGGGUCUAGGGUUUUAAAGUUAAGGGUUUAGGGUUUUUAGGUUAAGGGUUAGGGUUUUUAGGUUUAGGGUUUAUGGUUUUUAAUUUAAGGGUUAUGGUUUUUAAGUUAAAGGUCUAGGGUUUUAAAGUUAAGGGUCUAUGGUUUUAAAGUUAAGGGUUAGGGUUUUUAGGUUAAGGGUUUAGGGUUUUUAAGUUAAGGGUUAGGGUUUUUAAGUUAAGGGUUUAUGGUUUUAAAGUUAAGGGUCUAUGGUUUUAAAGUUAAGGUUUAAGGUUUUUAGGUUAAGGGUUAUGGUUUUUAGGUUAAGGUUUAGGGUUUUUAAUUUAAGGGUUAGGGUUUUUAAGUUAAAGUUUAGGGUUUUCAGGUUAAGGGUUAGGGUUUUUAGGUUAAGGUUUAGGGUUUAGGGUUUUUAAUUUAAUGAUUAUGAUUUUUAAGUUAAGCGUUUAGGGUUUUUAAGUUAAGGGUCUAAGGUUUUAAAGUUAAGGUUUAGGGUUUUCAGGUUAAGGGUUAGGGUUUUUAGGUUAAAUGUUUAGGGUUUUAAUUUAAGGGUUAAGGUUUUUAAGUUAAGGGUUUAGGGUUUUUAAGUUAAGGGUCUAUGGUUUUAAAGUUAAGGUUUAUGGUUUUUAGGUUAAGGGUUAGGGUUUUUAGGUUAAGGGUUUAAGGUUUUUAAGUUAAGGGUUUAGGGUUUAAAAGUUAAGGUUUAGGGUUUUUGGGUUAAGAGUUAGGGUUUUAGGUUAAGGGUUUAGGGUUUUUAAUUUAAGGGUUAGGGUUUUUAAGUUAAGGGUUUAUGGUUUCUAAGUUAAGGGUCUAUGGUUUAAAAGUUAAAGUUUAGGGUUUUUAGGUUAAGGGUUAGGGUUUUAUGUUAAAGAUUUAGGGUUUUAAAUUUAAGGAUUAGUGUUUUUAAGUUAAGGGUUUAGGGUUUUAAGUUAAGGGUCUAAGGUUUUAAACUUAAGGGUUAUGGUUUUUAGGUUUAGGGGUUAUGGUUUUUAAUUUAAGGGUUUAUGGUUUUUAAUUUAAGGGUUUAGGGUUUUUAAUUUAAAAGUUUAGGGUUUUUUAAGUUAAGGGUUUAAGGUUUUAAGGUUAAGGGUUAAGGUUUUUAGGUUAAGGGGUUAGGGUUUUAAAGUUAAUGGUUAGGGUUUUUAGGUUAAUGGUUUAGGGUUUUAAAGUUAAAGGUUAAUGAGUUAGGGUUUUUUGGUUAAGGGUUUAAGGUUUGUUAAUUAAAUUAUGCAUUUAAUUAUAAAUUAUAAAUUUAUAAAUUUUUAAUAAGUUAAGCGUUUAGGGUUUUUAAGUAGUAACUCAAAAAAAUUUCUAUUUUUAUUACAUCAAAAAAUAUCAAAAUAUUCAAAAUAUUUGUACAAAUAAAUUUAAAUACAAAAAUCAAUGUCUAUGCCCGCGGGAUUCAGUGCCACAUGGCAGCCGUCGACAGUUACGCGCUGGAUUCCUCCUUGUCCAGCUUUUGGCGGCGAUUAUAGUUCUUCCGGCGGCGGUUGUGGUUCUUCCGGCGGGGAUUCUGGUUCUUCCAGUAGGGCAUCUGGUUGUCGGAGUUGUGACGAUGAGCCACCUUGAUAGAAUUGUGAAUGUGGAGGUGUUUGCAUCACCAACGGCAACGGUGUUUGAAACCCAUACGGUGGUGGGGAUUGGUAAAAAGAAGAGCUCCCCGACGGCCCCUCUUGCGAUCCCUCGUGCGUCGCUGGCCUAUACAUCGGCGGUCGACUCGGCGUAACAGAAAUAGAGCUGAACCGGGCCAUUGGCUCCAACCUGCCAUAGGACUCGAAAAAGGAAACAUAUAAGGGUUAGGAUACAUAAAAGGGCUAGGAAACGCACCUGGCAUCAUCUGAAAAGGCGGUUGCGUGGGUAUCAUUGGUUGAACUGCUGGGUCGGGUGAAUGUCUGGGAGUCGUUGAAGGGCCAGCGUCGUCGUCCUGUCGUCUUGGAUUUAAAGGAUCGCGUCUUUCCCUUUGGACACGUAAUUGCCGCUGCCUCUCCUCUAGCGAUAGUAAAUACGGCUUGCCAUGGAUCCUAAACCAUGGCAUGCAUUCCGGCAUGCACGCUAACUCCGGAACGAUGAUCGGUUCCAUACUAGGUAUAUAGUCAUACCGAUCUUCCCACAUUUGGAUGUACUUGAACCAGAAUCUCGGCCAAUCCGUAUUCAAUUACCGAAGGUCGAUUUUGUGGUGAUCGUCAAACAUCUCAAGUUCCAUGGAAAUCGGUUGUCUACAUCCAAAUUGCCAUAACACCCUGUCUGACUGGUGCAUCUCCACGGUCGCGUAGUUGAUCAACGCGACUUUCGCCUGCCAAGCGUUUGGAUUUUGUAAGAACUCUUUCGGAAUUACUGCCCAAAUUGCCGGAUCCUCAUAUGGUGUCCAUUGAAACUAUAUGAAAAUGAUAGAAAUAUUAAUUAUAUACAUAAUACUAAAUACUAAAUACCAAUCGACUAGCGAAUGAUGGAAAUAUCAAUUUUAUUUAAUACUUACAUGUGCUUCCGACUAUUGGUCUAAUAGAAGCCGUAUAUCUUCAAGAGAGGUAGGUAAUCGAGCAUGACUUGCCGGAUGGUUCCACCUAAUUAAAUAAAUUUUUAGCAUACUUUUAUUUUUAAAAAUCUACAUAAUAAUUGUAAAAUCUAAUAUAAAAUUUACCUCGUUAUCAGUGGGAAUGUAUAUGGGUGGUCCACUCGAGGAUGUAGAAAUGAAAAGCGAAACCGUGCCCAUGAUUGCAGUAGGGACAGGCAACCUCCGAUUUUUGCUUUCCUCGGUCGCAUCGCCCCGUACAUCUCCUUAUAUAACGUUGUCAAGACGGCAGACCCCCAACUUAAUUCACCAGCUGCUCUAAAAUCAACGAGUUGCAGCAGCCAUCUUAGAUGUACGCGGCUCCGUGACAAGUCAGGCAUCAGAUAACCUCCAAUUAACUGAAGAAUGCAUGCCCGAGCAUAUCGGAUUCUUUCUAUUUCGGUUGAAUCUUCAUCCGGAUCCGGGAAUGUGUCUCGAAACCAGCCCAUCUCGAUCUUACCUCCCUCCAUUUUCUCCAGAAUAGCGCCCAAAAGCUCGUAGCACACCGCAAGCCAAUCGCUAGAUUGGGUAGACCCGGUGACUGGGUACCCGUCCACCGGCAAUCCCAAUUGUAGACUGACAUCUUCCAAAGUGAUAGUGCACUCUCUACAUCUUAAAUAAUAUUUAAAAAUUAAAUUUAACGCUUACCAUUUUCAUUUGUUCCACCGAUAUGUGAUGCUUAUCAAGACGAGUCAAUUCUUCGGCCAUUGCUGAAAUCGUACAAAUUUUUAAUGUUUAAAAAAAUUUUAAAAAAGUAAAAUUAUUUAAAAAAAGAGAUUUAAAAGAAAUUUAAGAGGAACUUGGGAGUAAAUUGAAAAUAAAUAUGAAUUUGAGAGAAAUUUUAAAGGAAUUUGAAAGCAAAAGAGUGGGGGUAUUUAUAGUUUUUUUUUUACCGUUCGGGGGGGCAAUGGUCAAUUUUUUGACCGUUGCACUGUUCACGUACGGGGCAAAUCGCAACCACGUCAGCGCGAUUUGCUGACGUGGACACAAAUCGCAUCCUCUGAAGCAGAAUUUGUUGCCACGUCAACGCGCUAUUUGCUGGCACAUACCCUGACAUCGCGCUGACGUGGACGCAAUUUCGAGAAAAAAUGGCCAUUUCGGUAAAUAAUAAAAUACCGGGCCCAUUUCGAUAAAUUUAAAAAAAAAUAGACUUUUUUUAGUAAAUUGCCCUACGUUUUAGUCUUGUUACAAUAUCCAAGUCUAAUGCCAAUAUUGAAGUAUACCGUAAUAGUAAUUAUUCUCUCUAUCUAGUACUCGAAACUGGUUUUAAAUAUCUUCCAUUCACUCGACAAAUAGUUAUGGUCUAAAUAAAUUUCUGGAAUUCAUGGCUGCCUACUUGCGAGAGGAUUAAUGAAAUAUGCGAUGCAAGUUGAUGAAAUCUUAUUAUUUGUAAUAUAAAAAACAAAACCCAUGCAUCCUUAAUAACAUAAAAAAAACACAUUCCAUAAUCAACAUCUGAGAAUUUAAAACUUAAUUGUAAUGUUGGCUGAACAAGACUCAAAAAGGGGAGAAAAGAAAAAUAAGUCCGAACCUGAAAAAAGUGACCGUAUAAAAAACCCUGACAGGCAGAACAGUAGCAAGCAACAUAAAACCAAGACAUAUUAUCACUUAAAGCACUUGGCAUCCAAGAGAGGCUCUCCCUCAAAUGGCUCGCAGUCUUCAAUCAUCUGAUUCACCCGUUCCUUCUGGGCUGCAUCUGACAGGUCAACCUUCUUCCACUCGUAGAGUUCCAUGUCAUAGCACUCGUCAAUCACAAAUUGAGGAAUCUCUUGCCCACGGAAAAGCCAUAGUCCUUUCACCUUGAAUGGAGGGUUAGCACCGAUCACCAACAUCUUCCCAAAUGCAUACUUGCGGGCCAAAUCCAUUCUCUGCAGGAAUCCUCCAACCUUGUUCAUUGUGACAAAUGAAACUGUAUUCUCCUCAUUGUACUUGUAGUCACAAAACCACAGUGAGUAUCCCUCGGGAUCAUACAUGUCCCAGAAUCCUGACACGAAUCAAGUAUCAGAUAUCACAAGCCCAAACAUUGCUUUUAAAAGGGAGUGCUACUGUGAAAACAACAGGGAUACCUUUAAUUGCAACCUCUCGGAAAUUGGUCUUUGUGUUAGAGUAAAGCCUCUUCCAGUCAUCCAGUACCAUCUUACUUGGAGGCAGCAAAUCAAGAGGAUUCUUUGGUUUGGGCUUUGGUGCCUCCUCCUCAGCUGCCUCUGCCUUUGCUGCCUGUUUCUCAACCUCCUUUUUGGCUUCUUUCUUUGGUUCAGCCUUUGGUUUAGUUUCUUUUGGCUGGGCAGCAGGCUUCUUUGAAGGAACAGGUGGUAGAGAGACUGCCUGCUUCACUUCACCAAGAAUCUUCUUGAUUUUUGGUUGAUUAACCAAGGUCCAAAAGUACCUCUCAACAUGAGGGAACUCCGAGGUAAAACUCUUAGUCAUGAUCUGGGAGAAACCCAAGUAGAGGUUACAUGUCAUGAUAAUGUCAGCAAGGGUGACAAAAUGUCCAACAAGAAAUGUGUUGGAAGCAAGAUGAGUGUUCAAAGCGCCAAGGGCUCUCUUCAAUGCAGCAAUAGCAGCUUCCUCAGCCUACAUGCAAAAUACAUAUAAGAGAUUAAAAUGAAAUAGGUAGGCAAAAUCAUACCAUUGAAUUAAAAUGAACUACUACUGAAUUACAAAAAUAAAAUUUAACUCUUAAUAUAGAUUAAUAAAUACAUCAGAAUGGGGGAGAAAACAACCUAGUCUCUUAAAAAAAUAAUGAGGAGAAAACCCAUGCCUACUUGAUUAUCAAUGCAAUGGGCAUUCCCUUCAACCAAAAUUACUUAAUAGUGCUUGAGUUGAUUCCUUUCCAGAAACUAUGCAGGGGAAAACACUACCACAUUAAGCAUGUACUAAAUGUUGUCUAACUAAUCCUCUCUAAAAUAAAUAAAACAAGAAUCAUAGACAGGUAAUCAAUGCCAAUUUUCC
rnacentral:lncRNA from 1 species